rnacentral:lncRNA from 1 species
UUUCUUUUUUUUUUUUUUUUUUUUUUGCAAGUACAUAUCAACCUCAACACCAAUUGUGAUCAAAACCUUUCAACCAAACAUCCAAAAACUAAUCUAAGCAUCAUAACACACAAUUUCAACAUUCAAACAAACCAAAACAUAGAAGACAAAAUAUGCCAAUGCUGGAAAAUUCUAUGCAAAAGGUUCGGCAAUCCUGACUUGUUCCUUUUCAGCAAGCAUUCGAUCAUAGCUCAAGUAUUUUUAGACCCAUACUUGCAAACUCAAUUCACUCAUCCAAUUUCCUUUUUCAACACAAGAUUAAAUAGCAAAGUAGGUGAUGAAACCCACUUAGUGGACUGUUGCGAAAAAAAGAAAAAUCAGUAGGACAUAAGAAUGAACGCAGCUUUCUAUUUACUUUAGCCUGGAUAUAUUCUGCAAUUUUCUAACACUUUCCAUUAAACCAGCCUAGGGAAAACUUGCAUAUUUUAGCUACAACCUCCCAUCCAGUACAUCAUGCAAACGAAUUAACCAAAUACCAGGAUUUUAACUAUCAAUUAUCAAUUAAAAACAAAACACGAGAUGUUGUUGCAGGAUUCAAGCCAAGAAAUUGAAUUGACCGACAGAAAAAUGAAAACGCAGCAAGGUUUCUCUGCAAUUUUCUUGUCCAUCACACCCCAAAGCCAAAGCUUCCAAACCAUGUUAUUAACGCUGCCCAUAUGCAACAGCCUCUACCUAAAAGACCCAGACCGAACACAUGAAAGCAAACAAGAUGCUCAGAACAACACUUGCAACCUACGGGCCAUCCUCAUUCAGUUACAUGGAGAAACAAAACACGAAAAAGCUGAUGGCUUUUCGGUUCACAAGCUCUCAAACACAUGAAUUCAAGACAUAGCUAUGGCAGCCAAAAGACUUAGCCUUUUUACUCACAAACAAAGCCACAGAUUCAUAGUGAACAUGAAACAAGAAAGAAGGAAAAAGUAGACAAUAAAACAGCAGAUAUUCCAUAGGCAAGGAUGCGUUAAGAUAUACUGAAAUUUAAAGGACAAGACUGACUUACAGUGCUCGUGCCUUCUCCCUUGGUGAAGAUUUGCGAUUGAUGACGGCGUGAUAAAGUGAUCACAGCUUCUCGUGAGGGUCAGCAGCUCCCCUUUUUCCUUCGUCUGUUUUCCUAUCCAAAGCUUCCUGCUUCAGCUCCCUUUCUCCCGCAACUCCUCCUUCCGGUCUUAGUCUUCCCUCUUUCUAUUUUCUUUUCCUUUCCUAGCCGUCACUCCUCCCUCCUUUCAUUUCUCUCUUUUCCGUCAAAAACCUCUCAGCCGUUGUCACCCAAAAACUUUCCCUCAGAAUUUUUCUCAGUUCCAGCCGCCCCUCUCUCUCUGUUGUCAGCCGUUCCCUCUCCUUGGUUUUCUUUCCUUUCUUCAGAUUUGAAGCCGUCACUCGAUACCCCUAAAAGCUGCGUUUCUUGUUCUAUUUAUACCAGAAACCUGCUCUCAAACCCUUACCUGAAAGGUGAGGAUGAGAGCGGAGGUUUUACUGGGCAUCUUAGAGCCCUCCGAUGCCAGCCACAUUUUUCCUGAAGAUGCCGCUGCAUGCGGCUCUUUUUUUUUUUUUUUUAAAAGUAAUUUAACAAAAUUGAUAAUAAAAUUAAGUAAAAAAACAACAAUUUAAUAACAUCGAAAAUAAAAAACUAGAAAUAAUAAACAGCAAAGUUGCAAUUUUUUUCAUUUUUCUUUUUGUUUCUUCAUUUUUUCUUUUUUUUCAUCAUUUUUUAAAGAAAACAUUAAGCCUAUUUUUCCCAGAACCUGUUAAAUAGCCUGAAACCCGCUUGCGGGUUUCCCCUCUUUUUUUUUUUUACUUUUUCAAUAAAAGAAAUAGAACAUAUUUUUCCCCAAUUUUCAAUUUUUUUUUUUGGCAAAACUUAUGCCUAAAGUCUUAUAAUAAAUAAAUAAAUAGCUAAGAGAGCCCAAAAUGAAUACAAAAUAAAAUAAAGUAAAAAUAAAAUAAUAGAUAACAAUAAUCUAAGAAAUACUAAAGUGCUAUAUAAAUGCUAAAAGUCUAAGAACCAAAAAUCAUGGAAUUAACAAAAUUAGGACAAAAAAUCUUUAAAAAUUUGGUGUCUACAGUUUGCCCCUCUUUGUCUGAGUUUUGGAAAAACUUGAGACAAAGAAGUAGACACCAAAUACUUACCUGCGUUAUUUGGCCGCAAAAUGAUUCCAACGAACAGGAAUUUAAAACGGGACUGACCCGAACAGAAAUUUGAAACGGGACUGGCCCGAACAAGAAAUUUAAAAAGGGACUGAGCCGAACAGAAAUUUAAAACGGGAUUGCCCGAACAAGAAAUUUAAAACGGGAUUGACCCGAACAAGAAAUUUAAAACAGGAUUGACCCGAACAGAAAUUUAAAACGGGAUUGACCCGAACAGUAAUUUAAAACGGGAUUGACCCGAACAGGAAAUUUAAAACGGGAUUGACCCGAACAAAAUUUAAAACGGGAUUGACCCGAACAGGAAUUUAAAACGGGAUUGACCGAACAAGAAAUUUAAAACGGGAUUGACCCGAACAGAAAUUUAAAACGGGAUUAACCCGAACAGGAAAUUUAAAACGGAUUGACCCGAACAAGAAAUUUAAAACGGGACUGACCCGAACAGGAAAUUUAAAACGGGACUUCACUGAGGAGUUUAAACAAUGAAUUGAGUUUUUACCUGGGAGUGGUUCAAACUUUUUGUACCAAGAGGGAGAUUUGAUCUCUGUGCUGAAGCAUAGCUGAUGUUGUUUCUUAUGAUCAAACAUUAUCACUUCGUCUUUGCUUACUGGGGAGCUUUUUCUGACAUCGAUUUUGGUGCGAAAAGGAGAGUGGUUGUUUUCGUUUGUAAACGCAACGUUCCUGCAAGAAAAGAAGAAAUAAUGGACUUGCCACCAUCAUUUGAUCCGGUUUGCCUUGAGAAUCGUGUAAACAUGAGUCUUGUGAUGCUUUUGCCUCUGUUCUGCGGCGUUCUUAGUCGAACUUGUAAUUUUGAAACCUUUCAAUUUCUGAGACUGAUAAAGUACGUAUUUACCACGUCACCAAAUCUAUGUAGCAGCUUUGUUGCACUUUACCCACUUUAAUAGAUGAUUGAAUCCCCUAUCCUUGCACAAACCUAGGGUUUAUCAUCCAUUCGAAUCCAAUGGUGAAAGAAUGAUGCAUAAAAAUUUGUCAUAUAAAAAUCAAUGAUAUAUGCAAGAUGAUUUCCUAUGUCAGGCAAAGAUGAGCAUGCAAAAGAAUGCAGACAACCACAAGCAGUCGAACGCAAAUAAUCGAGAGAAACCAAGAGGUUUAUAAAGAUACAUUUUGCAAAAGAAUAUUGUAAAGAAAAAUCAAAUUUGGCCAACGAAUAUCAUAUUCAAGACUUUGGAUAUAUUUGCUUCGGAAUUCGAUACUGGCAGAAGUAUCACAAUCAUGAGGAAAGUCAAUGAACCAGGUCACCAGCUGUUCCUUCUCGUGCUCGUCUUGUUGAGAAAACCUGCCUUGGCGCCCUUUCGGGUUUUCACCAAGGUUGCCCCCACCCUUUUUGUUUUUUUUUUGUCUCUUUUUUUCUUUUUUCUUUCUUUUUUUCUUUUUUUCUUUUCUUUCUUUUUCUUUUUUUUCGAGGCGCCCUUUCGGGUUUUCACCUAAAGAACAAUGAAAUAUCUCGACCAUGAUCGACUCAGAAAUAUGAGUUAAAGAUUUCAGGCAUCAGUAAAAUGCACUUCCCUUGUAAGAUUAGGCGAAGGCAUUACGGACAUCACUUGCCAGUUGAUUAACAAAUUUCCUAAUAGAAAUGCAACAAGUGACGAAAGCCAGGACUUUGGGCUUUGUAAUGAGGUCAGGUGGGGUGUUUUUCAAGAAAAGUUGAGGCUUGAAAGCAAAUUUUGAUGCGAGGUGUGAAAUAACUUGAGAUUGCACUAUUUUGAAAUCGUUUCCGAUUUUGAACGAAACUGAGGAAAAUUUGCCCCAGUUUGAUCGGAUUUUCUCUCUUUGCAUUUUCUUCAUUGCAUUUUCCUCACUUUUGCAUUUUUUUUUUUAAAAACUAAAUUUGCCCCAGUGUGGGUUCUCUUUUCUUUUUGAUCAUCUCUCUUUCAAAAUAAAUUUGUCCAGUGUGGGGUUUGCAAUUCUCAGGGUUAUCAAGCGAAAAUUUGUCAAUUCUGAUGGCUCAAAGGGGACAAGUAGAGAUAAAAUGUUUUAAGUGUAAAAGAAGAUGGCCUGACUUGCAUUUCGCCGUUUGUAUGAAUUUCUAAAGAAAAUUUGCAUGAUCAAAUGAAAAACUUCUUGCACAUGUCUGAGUUGAUGGGUUGAGGGAAUGUUCGUCCAUCCAUUUCUGCCAAAAUAAGUGCUCCGCCAGGUAAUACCUUUUGGACAAUGAACGGCCCUUGCCAAUUUGGAGCAAAUUUGCCUUUAGCUUCAUCUUGCAUUGGCAAAAUUCGCUUUAGUACUUUGUCACCUUCUUCGAAUGCACGCCGAUGGACUUUUUUGUUGUAAGCCCGGGCCACACGUUUCUGAUAGCACUGACCAUGACAGAUAGCAUUGACGCCUUUUCAUCGAUCAAAGUCAAUUGCUCAUGGCGCUGCUUUAUCCAAUCAGCCUCCUCCAAUUUAGCUUCCAUGAGGAUUCGUAGCGAAGGAAUUUCAACUUCAGCUGGUAAUACAGCUUCCAUUCCAUACAUGAGUGAAUAUGGCGUUGCCCCAGUCGAUGUCCGGAUAGAAGUCCGAUACGCCAUUAAUGCAUAAGGCAACUUUUCAUGCCAAUCGCGAUGCCUUUCAGUCAUUUUACGGAUAAUCUUCUUCAAAUUCUUGUUUGCGGCUUCUACAGCUCCAUUCAUCUGAGGCCUAUAAAUGGCAGAGUUGCGGUGUCUGAUCUUGAACUGCUCGCAUAGUCCAUCUACCAUGUCAUUGUUCAGAUUCUUGGCAUUGUCUGUAAUAAGCGUUUCGGGUACUCCAAAGCGACAGAUGAUGUGAUCUCUCAAAAAUUGGCAACUACCUUCUUCGUUACAUGUUUGAAUGACUCCGCUUCAACCCAUUUGGUAAAGUACUCAAUUGCCACCAAUAUAAAUCGAUGUCCAUUUGAAGCGGGAGGAUCAAUUGUACCAAUCACGUCCAUACCCCACAUUGAACAGGGCCAUGGGGCGAUCAUACUAUGCAAUUCAGUGGGCGGAGCGUGUAUAACGUCACCGUGCAUUUGACAUUUUAUAUCUCGGACAAAAUCUAUACAAUCACGCUCCAUAGUAAGCCAGAAGUAUCCGGUUCUCAUGAUUUUCUUUGCUAGCAAAUGGCCAUUCAUGUGAGGUCCACAAACGCCACUAUGCACUUCUUUCAUCAUAUAUUGAGUUUCGUCUUCAUCAACGCACCUUAAGAGGUUCAAAUCUGAGGUUCUUUUGUACAAAACUUCUCCACUCAAGAAAAAUUUUGAAGCCAUUCUACGCAGAAAACUCUUGUCCUUUGUACUAGCAUGCAGAGGGUAAGACCCAGUUUUGAGAAACUCCUUAAUAUCAUUAUACCAAGGAAUAUUGUCAGAGGACUUGUCUACAACCCAACAGUGGGCAGGCUUGUCUUGAAGUUGAAUCUGAAUAGGUUCGAUCCUCAAUUCAUCUGGAUACUGGAUCAUAGAAGCUAAGGUGGCCAAAGCAUCAGCAAAUGCAUUUCGGGCUCGCGGGAGAUGUCUGAACUCCAAAUUUUGAAAUUGCUUGGCCAGAGUGAGCAAACUACAAUGGUAGGGCAAAUUUUUGAAUCUUUGGUUAUCCACUGCUUCAAGGUUUGUGCACGAGCAAAUCUGAAUCACUGAAAGCUAUCAACUCUUUGAUUUCCAUUUCUAAAGCCAUUUUGAGACCAAAAAUGCAGGCUUCAUAUUCAGCCAUGUUGUUUGUGCAAGCAAAUUGCAAUUUGGCAGCAGUAGUGCUUCCCUUCGGGUGAAACCAAAACAGCUCCAAUUCCAGCUCCGAGAGAAUUCGAAGCUCCAUCGAAGAAAAGCCUCCAUUCAGAGCUUUGCUCACUUAUAUCGUCUGUGGCGCCUACAAAUAAGACUUUCUCAUCAGGGAAAUAAGUAUGAAGUGGUUGAUAAUCAUCAUCCCUUGGAUUUUCUGCCAAAUGAUCAGCUAUAGCUUGCCCCUUGACAGCCUUCUGUGAAGUGAAAACAAUAUCGAACUCUGAGAGAAUUAUCUGCCAUUUAGCCAGACGUCCAGUUAGCAUCGGCUUCUCCAAGAGAUACUUCAAAGGAUCAGAUCGGGAAAUAAGAUAAGUGGUAUGGCUCAACAGGUAGUGUCUCAGCUUUUGAGCUGCCCAGGCCAAUGCACAGCAGCUUUUCUCAAUGAAUGAAUAAUUAGCCUCAUACUGCGUGAACUUCUUGCUUAGAUAGUAAAUGGCUUGCUCCUUCCUUCCAGAGUCAUCAUGCUGCCCGAGGACACAACCAACUGCUUCUUCAAGCACAGAUAGGUACAUGAUUAAUGGUCGACCCGGCUUGGGUGGCACCAAGACUGGCGGAUGUAACAAAUAAUCCUUGAUCUUAUCAAAAGCUUGUUGGCAUUCUUCACUCCAGUACAAUGGCACAUUCUUUCUCAACAAUUUGAACAACGGCUCGCAUGUGGCAGUUAACUGGGCAAUGAAUCUCCCAAUAAAAUUGAUCUUUCCUAAGAACUUUUCACGUCCUUCUGAGUUUUCGGCACUGGCAUAUCUCGAAUUGCUUUGAUUUUUGCUGGAUCUAUCUCUAUGCCUCUUUUACUGACAAUGAAGCCCAACAAUUUACCAGCUGGUGCCCAAAGGCGCACUUUGCAGGAUUUAGUUUCAAAUUGUACUUUCGCAACCUUUCGAACAGCUUCUUCAAAUCAACCAAUGGUUCUCUGCCCUUUUAGACUUGAUUAUGAUGUCAUCCACGUAGACCUCCAUCUCCCGGUGGAUCAUAUCAUGAAACAGGGUGGUCAUGGUCUUUGAUAAGUAGCUCCGGCAUUCUUUAGACCAAAUGGCAUCACUCGGUAGCAAAAUGUGCCCCAAGGGGUGAUAAAAGCAGUCUUCUCCCUAUCCUCUUCUGCCAUCAAAAUCUGGUGGUAUCCAGCGCGAAACAAUCACAAAAAGAUUCAAUCUCAUGCCCAGCGGUAUUGUCCAGGAGAAUGUGAAUAUUUGGCAGAGAAAAUCAUCUUUAGGACUGGCCUUAUUGAGGUCUCUAUAAUCAACACAAACUCGCACCUCUCCAUUCUUUUUUGGAACAGGGACUGGAUUCGAAAGCCAAAUAGGGUAAUGGGAAACAAUGAUAAUGUUGGUUUUGAGCUGUUUUUCAAUUUGCUCUUUAUUUUGAGGCUCAUAUCUGGUUUGAAUUUUCGGUUUUUGUUUUACGGGUGGAAAAGUAGGGUCUGUGGGCAACUUAUGCACUACCACAUCAGUUGAAAUACCAGUCAUAUCAUCAUAGGACCAUGUGAAUACAUCCUGGAACAUAGUCAAAAAUUCAAGCAUCUCCUUUUUCUGCCUCUCAUUCAAAUGAAUACUAAUUUGCACCUCCUUAACUUCAUCUUUAGUGCCAAUGUUAACCUUUUCUGUUUCUUCCAGGUUCGGUUUUGGUUUCUCCUCAUAUUGUUCAAAGUCCUUUGCAAAAGAAUCGAAUACCUCCUCAUUAUCACUCUCGCUUUGGAGCUCGGAUUCCCAGACCUCCAAGUCGUGAGUGAUAUAGAGAUUGCCAUUAUUGAAUUCCAGAAUAGUGAUAUCCAAAGGGUCAAAUAGUUUUAUUUUUGGCCAUCUGAAAGAAUUAACGAAUGUGGGAUAAUAAGCAAACAAAUAUACAACAAACAAAUGAACAAGCAAUAUGACAGAAUAUAAACAAACGAAUAACAAAACAACAUGACAAGAACAACUUGUGCAUUUUCAUAAAACCUUUGAUUGAAAGCGAAAACAAAAGAAAGCAAGCGGAAACGAAAUGAAAACUUAACAAUAUUUCACGUGCAAAUUUUAGUCAAAGGUAAAGAUGCUUUCAUUAGCUAUUUACAGAUGCAGAAGUAUUUUCAUGAAUUCGCAUGAAUGACAAACCCCUUUAGGUUUACCGAAACUCCUUCUGAAUGGGCAGAAACUCGGCUGUCCAAUUGGAAAUUGAUCCUUCAGGGAUGUCGGGAAACUCGGCCUCAUCUGGGAAACUGUCUUCAAAUGUUGCCCCAACGAACAAUUGGGCCAAACUAGUUUCGAUUCCGUCAACUGGGUUAAUCUCUGAUGUGAUCACCUCGGUUGGUCGUGGAAAAGUAUAAUGCAGUGGUGGAAUAUCAAGGGCCUUUUGCCUGCCUUCUUUCUCUGCUCUCUUGCGUUCCUUCAUUUCUUUGAUGUCUUUAGCGGUUGGUCGGAAACCCAACCGAAUGAAUCCUUUUUCUCCACAAUUCCACUGGUUUCAGAAUUCCUUGUAGAUCACGUCCCAGCCCUUUGUCAAACUCAUAUCCUCCGCGGAUCAUUUCCUUAGCCAUCAUGACACUGGCCUUUGACAGAGCUCGUUCCUCUUUUGUUAUCCAACUUACGGAGACGAUAUCAGCUGUGCUAUGAGGGGUCACUGUGGCGUUUCGGCUACCAUCUUCUUUGGACCCAGAAUCAGCAAUCACGAGGCAAUCCUCCUCGGCAAAGAUAGUUAUCAAUUUGUCAUUUACUAUGAAUUUCAACAAUUGAUGCAAUGAAGAAGGCACAGCUCCGGACUUAUGAAUCCACGGCCUUCCAAGCAAAACAUUGUAAACACUAGGAAAGUGCAUAACUUGGCAGGCUAUUUGAAACUGUGCGGGCCCCAUCUCGACUACUAAAUCCACUUCUCCUAUAGGUUCUCUUUGUGCUCCAUCAAAACCUCUAACUAUGGUCCUGAAGGCCUCAGCUUGAUAUCUUGCAACCCUAGCUUUUCCAAGGUACUCCAAGGACAGAUAUUAAGCGCAGAUCCAUUGUCAAUCAACACCUUUGGCAAAAUUUUCCCGUUGCACCUCACAGCUAUGUACAGAGCCUUGUUAUGUCCAAUGCCUUCCGCCGGUAACUCAUCAUCAGAGAAAGUGAUUUUUUUGUAAAUAACACAUCCCAACUAUAUGUGAGAAAUUAGCAACCGAAAUGUCCUUAGGGAUUUGAGCUUUGGUCAACACUUCGAGCAACGCAUCCCUAUGCAUAUCCGAAGAAAAGAGCAGAUCCAACAUGGAUAUUUGGGCGGGCGACUUGCUUAGCUUCUCGACUACAUUAUAUUCACUUCUUUGGAGCCUUUUAAGAAAAUCCAAGGCUUCCUUCUCAGUAAUUGUUGGUUUAGCGGGCAGCUCGGGGUUAUUUGUUUGAAUCGGAACGGUAGCUCCAAACGGACUUGCAAUCCUCCCUGAUCUAGUGACCACUGACACCUCUUCUUUGGCAAUUGACUUUUCUCCAAUUUGUAUGACAGGUUCAUCGUAGUUCCAUGGCACUCGCUGCAAACUUAGAACAGGCUCCUGCUCUGGGAAUUCGAUGACCACUGGCUCCAAAGCCUUGCUCUCAGCUAGAGUGAGAUCCAAAAUAAAAGGCCUUUUAUCCUCCUCAAAUGGCACCUCUUAUAUAAAUGGUUGGUCUGUGACCCCAAACACCUCAGCUUCCCUUGCCAAUUUUUGGACUUGCUCCUCAUACUCUGCGUCGUCCAGAAUGACCCCAAUGGUAUUAGCGUGGUUCAAGGGGUUCCUAUUUAUAUUCGGCCCUUGUGCCUCCUUUUUCCUGAUUACAAUCUCUCCGGCUUCAAUCAUAUCUUGAAUUCUAUGCUUAAGAGCCUUGCAAUCAACAGUUGAAUGUCCGGGUGCCCCUGAAUGAUAAGCACAGACGGCUUGUGGGUUAUACCCAGCGUAUAUGCCAUAUGGAUAGGUCGGAGGGGGUACCGUGCCAAAUUUUCGGCGGCCUUCAACUGGUCAUACAAUUGGUCUAGAGGCCUGCCUAAAUCGGUAAAUGUACGGCUACGGGGUUGGUUGUAAGGUUCAGGAGGUUGAGGAUGGCUAUAAACAGGUCUAUUUGGGGAGGAAAUCUUGGGUUAUAUGGAGGGCGAGGUCGGUUUUGGGGUGGAUUUGGUUGAGAGAUUUGAAAAGGGCUAAAGGUGGGUUAGGAUAGCUUGGGCGAGGUCGAGGGUGGAUGGAUAUUGGUAGUAUAUACAUGGUGCGGGUUUGAAUAAUAAGGGUAAUGUGGUUGGUAGGUUGGAUUGGUUGGUAUCGGGGUUUGGGUGAAGGGUUCUGGUUCCAGAUAAAAGUUGCCUCCCCCUCUUUCUUUUUAAACUGCGGCUUCUUUCCACUGCUCCCUUGCCCUUGCAAAGCUUCUACUUGUGAUUUUAGGGCAGAGACGUUGACAAUUUUUCCGGCUCUCACAAAAUCAUCAUACUCUUCGAGUUUAUUCACAAUCGCAGCAAAUGUACACCCAGUCAUACGGAAGAUUUCUUCGAAGUAUGGAGGAUCAUGCGCCUUUAUGAAAGUGCGAAUAAUUUCAUCUUCGGUCAUCGGAGGCUCAACCUUGGCAGCUAUCUUCCUCCAUCUUUUGGCGUAUGUCUUAUGAUCUUCAGAUGGUCGUCUCUUGGUGCCUUCCAAAGUAGUUCUGGUCGGUGCUAGCUCACAGUUAUAUUCGUAUUGUCUGAUGAAGGCGUUGGACAGAUCAAGCCAAGUCUUCACCUCCUCUGGCUUUAAGUUUGAAUACCAAUCGAGGGCGUCUCCUUCUAGACUCUCUGGAAAUAACCUUAAUGGCAAGUUUUCGUCAUCCACCGGUCUGCCCAACUUGUUGGCAAACAAACACAAGUGUGUCUUAGGUUGCCCGUACCAUCAUAUUUAUUGAACUUCGGGGUCUUGAAUCCCACGGGCAGCUGUACAUUUGGAAACAGGCACAGAUCAUCGUAGUCUAACACCCCUUGUUUGCUUAAACCUUGGCUUUUCCUGAUGAACUCAUCGAAACGAUCCAACCGCUUAAGUAACUUCAUAUCAACCGGGGCAGACGACUCCCCACUUCUGGCUUGGUUUGAACAGUGUGCUCGGCACAACAGGCUCUGCGUAGUCUGAUAAAAAGCUUGUGGAUCCUGAGGCAUGUUUGGACCACCUUGACCACCUUGAGGCUGAAAUCCUUGCCCAUAGGAGGAUAGAACGGAUUUUGAGUGUAAGUAUACUGCGGGUUGAAAACUCCCUCAAAAGUGGUUUGAAUUGGAGGAAUGACAAAUGGUUCGGAUUCCGGUUGUUUGACGGGCGCAGGCUCGGGCUGCACUCCGCUACUAAUGAGCUCGUCGAUCAACUUCUUUUGGGCGGCCAUCUCAGACGCCAUUUCCCCAAAUUUGGUGAGUAAUUCAGUCAACUGAACCCGGGACUUGUGGCUUCCGGCUGGGUAGUUGCAGCGGUCUUAUCAGACGAUUCUGGCUGAGUACUCAUGUCUACACGAUUCCUUUGGCUUUACUUCGGGACGUGUAAUAAUGGGGCUUUUCCGAGAAGCUAUUUUGAAAUUUUACCUGAAAAACAGAAAUGGCGUGCUUUUAGAUUUAGCCCUGACUUAGCUUUUUCAACAAAAACAAAACAAAGAAAAAGAAAAAGACAGAGUUAGUAGAGUUCCAAAAAUUCGGAUGCAUGUCCUAUCGGGGGCCUUUUUGUGCCAAGGGUAGGCCUAGCAUGAUGCAACACCUUCGAAAUGGGACCCGUAACACAAACCUGUUUUUGACAACAAUUCCAAUGAGUGCAAAAGAAAAAUCGCUUUCAUUGAUAAACUUGCCAAUAUUUACAUCAUAUGUCACGAAGACGAUUCCGUACAAGAUUGCCAAAACUUCUAACCUAUCUAAUACAGAGUCUUUGGUUUCCCUAGCAUAUGGAAUUCUAACACGUUCAGCUUGGUCAUACAAUUCUCCGCAUUUCUUUUCAGCUCUUGACGCUUUCCUCGUUCAUUUUCGUACAAUUGCUUGUGUUGCUUGCUAUCCCUUUGUAUGUUUCGACAGACUUGCUUAAUUGCAGAAUUUCCUUAUCCUUUGCUUCGAUAAUGGCUUUCAACCUUCCCACUUCCUCGGUUGGUUCAUCUUGUGUUUCUUGUGUGGCGGACCUUCUCACCCAAUCUUCGUAUUACGGAGUGGUCAACCCUUUGCUUGAGUUCCGGGAUGUAUUGAAAUCUCUCCUCAUCCGAAGUGUCACCCAUGCCUCGAUAAUCUGGUCUUUCAUAGGGAGCUCGUUUGGGCACAUUCCUUUACUGAAAAUGACGGUAAGCUUACUCAUAUCAACCACAGGUGACACUUCUUGUGUACGUCCUAACUGUCUGAGGAACCUCUUUGGAGUGUACGCGGCGAUUCCUUGGGUACCCAAUAGGAGAACAAAAUCUGACACUUUAGUGCGGAGUAUCGGCCUAAUGCAAAUCGUCCAGUCUAACACCCACCUAAUGUCUUGAUCUGGCAACAUCUCUAAGUAUUUGAUGCAUUCAACCGCAUCGUUCGGCAGACCCCCUUCGUUGACUCGCUUAUGAUGCGUGAUUACCCAAUUAUACCCAGCUAGUGGCAAACUUUCCGGAACGGACGCUCGUCUCUUAAAAUGUUCUAGGGCCCAGGUAUGCAAAACUAUAUUAGCCCCGUAGAAGAACUUUUCCCCUUUCUGGCAGUUGGUACAAGCUAGAAAAAUGUCCGCAAGGAUGGUCGGGAUUAUGGUGCAUUGUUUACUUCGGAUUCCUGAAAAGAGGCCUUGUAUAACCUUUGUUAUCUUGAAAGCUAUUUUCUGAUCUCUUCUUGGGAAGAAAUAAACUCCCGCCAUAACUAUUGCAUACACCACUGGCCUUUUGCGUUCCCAAACUUCCUUGGAUGUGAAUGAAAAAUCCUCCCUAUAUUUCUCGAACCCAUUUCGUAGUGCAAAAUGCUUAAACAAAGUGUUCACGGGAACUCCCUGAUCCGACCCUCGCAAUACGGCCUCUCUCAAUCCUAUGAUCUUGCAAAAUUCUAUCUUGUCUGAAACGUAUGGAAAAAUCAAGGCGGUUCCAUGCAAAGGUAAAUUGAAGAGGCCGGCGAUUUCCUCAAGUGUCACUGUCAUGUGCUUAUUGCCUACCCUAAAGGCCGAACAUUCCGGAUCCCACAGAUGUACUAAUGCCUCUACUAGACAGCCAUUGGGCUUGAUCUCCUUAAGAUCUCCAAUUGGCCCUAAAUAUUGAGCUACUUGAUGUAAUUCGCUAGGUAGCAUAAGGGCAGGCCAUCUUUGAAUCUCGGCCGACGGUACCAAUAACUGGUAGAUUCGACGGGGGCACUCCAUCUAAAAAUAGAAAAGCGGGUUUGUCAAUUACCUUACCUACGGGUCCCAUUCUCCGGUUGGCAAGAAUUUAAACGUGCAAUCCCUUGAAGUGUUAUGUACCCAUGGGAACAAUCAAGGUGAGUUUAAUCCUAAUAGCGGGAUCCCCUAAAUGGCAUUCCCCUUCUAGGGUUUAUGCAUGAUGCCAGUUUAUUAAAACAGUAAAAUAUGCAAUUUGAGAUGAAACAUGAUCUAAGGGACUCUUUAUUUGCCAGGGUAAGCCUAAAAUGAUAUGGCAUUAUUAAUCUAUGAAUGCAAUAUACCAAAAUCUUUAAACGUGCAAUAGCCUAUCUACAAGGGUAGGUUCUAAAAGAAGGUCAUGCCAGACCUCUUAUUUGCUAGGGUUUGUGAAUGCAAUGGGGACAAAACCAAGAAAGUUAGUUCAGCUAGAUAAAUACACAUAACACAUUGUAGCAACGAUAAAGCAAAUCAAUACAAAGACAUAAAGCAAUAGAAAGGAAAAAAAGGGUUGGAUCCCUCCCCUCGUGAAUAGUGUCCCUACCAGGGUAAGGCAGACUCUACCCUAGGUAAACUAUCAUGGAUGCAUGCGGUAUUGGCUUACUAAUGCAUCUAGACUCGAUAGGCUUUAGGUCCCCGAGCCUUCAGACUUGGAAACCGAGGGUCAUCAAUUCCAAGCUUCCUUGUCGUUGGCUCGAGCGAUUCCCCAGACAUUGCUACGCACACAUCGUGUCACGGCUACAUGUCAUGAGUGAAUCUAUCGAAAAUCCUCAACCUUCAACUAAAAGCUAAAGGCUAUGAACCCAAAGCUUAAAAUGGAAGAUUGAGUGACUCCUCGGAUCAUGUUACGCACACAUCGUGUCGCGAUCGCAAGUCCAAGUGAGUCGCCUAAAAUCCUAAUAGGGUGGAGUGGCAUGACAAGCCACUAAAAGAAAAUAAAUUAGGGGUAGAAAUUAAAGCGUAUGCACGUAUGCUAGUGCUCGUUUGGAGGGGAGGGAUCAAGAACCAACGCGAGGCUCUAGGGUAUGUCCUCCACCCAAAUGCAAUGCAAAGCGCGAAAUAAAACAAGUAAAAUAUAUAUCCAAACAACCAAUCAUACAUACGUGAGUGAGGGAGUAGUUUGAUACGUGCGCGAGGCAAAAAGUUCUAAAAAGGAAAAAUGCAACCCUAAUAUCCAAAUGCUAUGCAUAAAAAAGGUAGAAAAAAGGAAAAGAAUAGCUAAAUCAAGUGCUUGGACCCACUUAGGAAAUCCCCAGUGGAGUCGCCAAACUGUCGCGCCCCACUUUUUGAAGGUGUGAAGGUAGUGUGUGGGAUAUGUAUGUGAACGUGUGUAAAAAUGAAAAUAAAAGGCCGUGGGAUUGUGAAAUGCGACGGUUUGGUCAAACAAAGUUCAAAAAGGGUUUUUGAAUGGAAAAUGGAGUCGCCACUUGAUAUAGAGUUAGGGUGUACCAAGUCACCCAAAAAUGAUUUUUGAAAAGAAAAGCAAACAAACCCUUUUUAAAGAACUUUUAGGUCUACGUAACCAAAGAAAGGGAUCGGGGGUCACAUUUGAUAAGGGAGAAGGCAAAGGCAAAGCCUAAGACACUCCCUUUACCCUAGCCAAAAGCUAGUUGCGUGACUUAGCCCACUUUUUCUAAUUCUUCCUCUACCCAAAGUAUGCGUUGCAUGUCGGAUGUGACUAAUGGAUAUGACAAAAAUGCAAUCCUAAUUCUAAAAUGUCUCUUAUGAGGCUUUUUGGUCCCAAUCACAUGAGUUGCGAUGGUCAAUAAGGAAAACUCUCAUAGAGGUCACGGGUAAUGCAAAUGAAGACCCAAAUAUGAAUGCAAGUGUGAAAAAUGUAAGAGGAAUGCAAAAUAAGAUAGAAAUACAAAUGUAAGUGCAAGUGUGCAAAUGUAAGAAAAGUGCAACAUAUGCAAAUGUAAGAAAAGUGCAACGUGUGGAAAUGUAAGAAAAGUGCAUGUGUGCCAAUUGAGAAAAUGAAGGUGUUUGUGUGCAAGUGGAUGAAAAUAUGGUAUAAAUAGUAGUAAAUGCGUAUAAGUGCAAUUGGGUGCAAUUUGUGAGGUAGAAGAUAAAUGAGUGAUAGGGAGAGAAGAGAAAUGUGAACAUGGCAUGUGGAGUGAGAAAAAUAUAAAUAGUGGGAAAAUGUGGAUAAAGAAAGUGAGGAAGUGAUAUGAUAAAAAUGAUAGUGUUCCUAGAGGAAUGUAUCAAGUCGGGUACGACAUCCUUCUUUUUUUUCCUUUUGAUUAGAAGGAAGAACUAGCGUGCUAAGGCUAUUUUGUAGCCACACUCGCUCGUUUCCCUUACCUAAAGGGGACCCUCAAGCAAAUGUACCCUAUAACUUGCAUGAAGAUGUAAAAGCCUAAAAUGAAGGGGAAAGGAUUGGAGGAGCAUGCCAAAUGCUAGAAAACUAAGAAAAAUGCAUGAAAUGUAGUGAAACAUGCAAGUAUGAACUAGCGAGGGAAAUCCCUAAGGGUCUAGCGUUAGACUAGCCCAUAUCUAUGAAUUCCUACUAGCGUUGGACUAGUGGAAAACGGACAAUGAGCCACAAAAAGCAUUGGACUAGUGUGGUGACGUGCAUUCAUCCAUUACAUUCAUCUAUGACUAUAGAAAGCAAGUAGACAUGCCAAUCACCUAUAAACACGUAGCACAUAACAUUUAGCAUGCUCGAUUAAAUGCAAGAGCCUAAUAAAGCAAAUUAACACGUAGCAAACAAAAGCAAGCAAUCAAUCUAAUGAACCUAUUGUAUUUUGCUAACUAAAAAAAAGGGGAAGGGGAAAAUGGACAAAAACGCUCUCCAAGCCCUAUCUAUUACAAGCCAAGAGGUGUACACAUACCCCAUAAAGAAUAACUUAAUGAAAGCAAGCAAAAGUAAAUGAAAUAAAUGAAAGGAAUUAAGGAAAGGCAAGGAAAGCAAAGUAGACAUGUAAUUCUCAUUUAACACGUUGGAUCACAUAGGAGAGUCAAAAAAAGGAUAAAAGAAGUUAUACCUCCCCCGUUUGUGGUGCUAAUAAAGUGAACAAGACUUAACUUGGGCUAUGGUCACCAAAGGAAGAGAUAAUUUGGGCUAAAACUAUCAAAACAAGGGAUUAAUGCAUCACUUUAAUUAACAAAAUCUCCAGGAAAAGAAUAAAUAUGAAAUUGAAUAAUUAAACAAAGCAUUCAAGGAAGUUAAACAACCCCUAUUCAUCCAAUUAAACAAACAAGGAUCCAUUUAAACAAUUAAAGAAUAUUCAAGGGAUCAAUUUAUUAUUACUAUAAAAUAAAAUAAAAUUAAGGACCUAAGGUGAGACCCCCAAUCAAAUGAUAAAAAUCACAUAAAAACAAAUAAAAACCGAUUUGCUAGGAUUAAACAAUAAAGAAUCCGAAUUAAAGUCAUAAGUCUCUUAAAAGCUAAUGAAACCUCAAAAUCUCAUCCCAAAAAACUCAUGCAUGUUUUGUUCAAUAAUCCCAUGAAAGCAAACCAAGGGAAAAUAACAUGUUAAAGGGGUCAAAUUGGUUGAUUCUCCCAAUUAUUUGGGCCACAGGGGAAUAAAGGGAGACUUGGGGGGUUAAAGUGCUAAAAUCAAAAGUUAUUUUCAUGCAAAACAUGCAGCUACGUAUGGCUUAAACUUCUGCAACUAAAAAAUGAAACAUGCUUCCUUUUGUUUCCAAGCUUGCUGCAAUUUUCAUUUUUUUUUUUUUUGCAAGUACAUAUCAACCUCAACACCAAUUGUGAUCAAAACCUUUCAACCAAACAUCCAAAACCUAAUCUAAGCAUCAUAACACACAAUUUCAACAUUCAAACAAACCAAAACAUAGAAGACAAAAUAUGCCAAUGCUGGAAAAUUCUAUGCAAAAGGUUCGGCAAUCCUGACUUGUUCCUUUUCAGCAAGCAUUCGAUCAUAGCUCAAGUAUUUUUAGACCCAUACUUGCAAACUCAAUUCACUCAUCCAAUUUCCUCUUUUCAACACAAGAUUAAAUAGCAAAGUAGGUGAUGAACCCACUUAGUGGGCUGUUGCGAAAAAAAGAAAAAUCAGUAGGACAUAAGAAUGAACGCAGCUUUCUAUUUACUUUAGCCUGGAUAUAUUCUGCAACUUUUCUAACACUUUCCAUUAAACCAGCCUAGGGAAAACUUGCAUAUUUUAGCUACAACCUCCCAUCCAGUACAUCAUGCAAACGAAUUAACCAAAUACCAGGAUUUUAACUAUCAAUUAUCAAUUAAAAACAAAACACGAGAUGUUGUUGUAGGAUUCAAGCCAAGAAAUUGAAUUGACCGACAGAAAAAUGAAAACGCAGCAAGGUUUCUCUGCAAUUUUCUUGUCCAUCACACCCCAAAGCCAAAGCUUCCAAACCAUGUUAUUAACGCUGCCCAUAUGCAACAGCCUCUACCUAAAAGACCCAGACCGAACACAUGAAAGCAAACAAGAUGCUCAGAACAACACUUGCAACCUACGGGCCAUCCUCAUUCAGUUACAUGGAGAAACAAAACACGAAAAAGCUGAUGGCUUUUUGGUUCACAAGCUCUCAUACACAUGAAUUCAAGACAUAGCUAUGGCAGCCAAAAGACUUAGCCUUUUUACUCACAAACAAAGCCACAGAUUCAUAGUGAACAUGAAACAAGAAAGAAGGAAAAAGUAGACAAUAAAACAGCAGACAUUCCAUAGGCAAGGAUGCGUUAAGAUAUACUGAAAUUUAAAGGACAAGACUGACUUACAGUGCUCGUGCCUUCUCCCUUGGUGAAGAUUUGCGAUUGAUGACGGCGUGAUAAAGUGAUCACAGCUUCUCGUGAGGGUCAGCAGCUCCCCUUUUUCCUUCGUCUGUUUUCCUAUCCAAAGCUUCCUGCUUCAGCUCCCUUUCUCCCGCAACUCCUCCUUCCGGUCUUAGUCUUCCCUUUUUCUGUUUUCUUUUCCUUUCCUAGCCGUCACUCCUCCCUCCUUUCAUUUCUCUCUUUGCCGUCAAAAACCUCUCAGCCGUUGUCACCCAAAAACUUUCCCUCAGAAUUUUUCUCAGUUCCAGCCGCCCCUCUCUCUCUGUUUUCAGCUGUUCCCUCUCCUUGGUUUUCUUUCCUUUCUUCAGAUUUGAAGCCGUCACUCGAUACCCCUAAAAGCUACGUUUCUUGUUCUAUUUAUACCAGAAACCUGCUCUCAAACCCUCACUUGAAAGGUGAGGAUGAGAGCGGAGGUUUUACUAGGCAUCUUAGAGCCCUCCGAUGCCAGCCACAUUUUUCCUGAAGAUGCCGCUGCAUGCGGCUCUUUUUUUUUUUUUUUUAAAGUAAUUUAACAAAAUUGAUAAUAAAAUUAAGUAAAAAAAUAACAAUUUAAUUAACAUCGGAUAAAAUAAAUAAAUUAGAAAUAAUAAAUAGCAAAGUUGCAAUUUUUUUCAUUUUUUCUUUUUUGUUUCUUCAUUUUUCAUUUUCAUCAUUUUUUCAAGAAAACAUUAAGCCUAUUUUUCCCAGAACUUGUUAAAUAGCCUGAAACCCGCUUGCGGGUUUCCCCUCUCUUUUUUUUUCUCUUUUUCUUUUCUCUUUUUUUUUUACUUUUUCUCUUCUUUUUUUUUUACUUUUUCAAUAAAAGAAAUAGAACAUAUUUUUCCCCAAUUUUCUCUUUUUUUUUUGGCAAAACUUAUGCCUAAAGUCUUAUAAUAAAUAAAUAAAUAGCUAAGAGAGCCCAAAAUGAAUACAAAAUAAAAUAAAGUAAAAAUAAAAUAAUAGAUAACAAUAAUCUAAGAAAUACUAAAGUGCUAUAUAAAUGCUAAAAGUCUAAGAACCAAAAAUCAUGGAAUUAACAAAAUUAGGAUAAAAAUCUUUAAAAAUUUGGUGUCUACAGGACCCGAGAGCUGGAGUUGCGGCGGAGAUUAAGAAGAGAAAGAGUUGGGGGGUUUGGUGAGGGCUAAGAAAAGAAAACCAGAGAGGUUGGCUGGCGGCUGUGGGUAGAAAAGGAGGAAAAAACGCUAGAAGCUACGGGGGGACUGAGUGAAAAAGAGAGGAGGAAAAGAGCAGAAAAAGGGAUGGCUUGGGUUUUUGGUCGAAGGGAGCAAAGGGCGGAUAGAGGAAUAAGGUGACGGCUGAAGUGACCAGAGCUAGAAAAGAAAGAAAGCGAAACUAGAUAGGCCAUGGGCUGAGGAGAAACGAAGCCAGGGUAAGAGAGGAGAAGGAGGCUUCGGCUGGAAAUGGAAAUAAAGAAGAAAGGCUUUGGCAAGAAAUCAGGGCCAGGCUGCGGCGAGAAACGGAAAAGCUGAGAAAAGGAGAGCUUGGGAAGGAAAGCUCUGGAACCAGCCGAGAGAGGAGACUCAGGAGAGGUUCGGUCUUGAUGUCAUGGCCGUACAGUGGUCCGGUCCUUUGUUUUCAACAGGUAGAACCAGUUUCUUCUGUUCUUUAUAUAUCCAAAUCUCCUCUGUUUGGUUGUCCAGAGUUACAACCAUGUCGAAGGGGUCAUUUUCCUUCUGGGUUGCUUGAGCUUUUGGAUUGCUUGAAACUCGUUUGUUGUUUUGACUGAUUUUCCAUGUACAUGUCUAGCGCAAGAUUCUUUCUUUCGUUCUUUGCUGUGUUUUCAUCUUCUUGAAAUGGUCUGGGUUGGGAAACCUUUGACAAAUGCAAAACAUGGAAUGAGUCAUUAACGGUAGAGUGUAUGUUUUGUGGUUUUUGGGUUGAAAGUUUGCUGCUUUGUUGAACGUUGCUGCUACGCUAUGUUGCUUUGUUUUCUGGGUUAAUUGUUCUCUGCUGCCUUCCUAUUUUUCUUCCCAAUGUUCCCGCAAGUCAUUAGUCUAAGAUCCCCAUACCAGCGGAUGUUGGUUUCAUGUAUUUGAGUAUUUAGAUUAUAUAUGCAUUUGAAGUUGAAUCUCGACAAAAGGAAAAGGCAACAGUCAUAAGCUAUGUUUGAAUGAGAAGAAAUGGCUUUCACGAAUCCGAAAAUGCAGCUUUUGCUUUGUAGUUCGUUGCUGCUGGUUUCAUUGCUUGAUAGGUUAUUUAACCUUGCGUUUGAAGGAGGGAAUUGGAUGAGUGAGUUUGUGUGAUUGUUGGUCCAAAGGCGCAUAGAUCAGGCUCGAGUGUUUCCUGGAAAUCAAAUUCCUGUAAUGGCAAAAAAUUGCAGAAGGUUAUUUCGGUGCUUUGCAUGAUCUUUUGUCCGAGUUUUCUGAUGUUUCAACAUAAGGGUCUUAUGGUGGAAAGUGAGCUGAAUGCUUAGUGAUUGUGUGGUAUUUAGUUGCUUGAGAUAUUGAAAUGUUAUUUACUUGAGAUGAUGAAAUGAAAAGCAAGUCAUGGUUGGAAUGCUGCAGAAGAUGAAGAAAGUUUCAUUCGUAUGCAUGCAUGAGAAAUCAAAAGGAAAAUUGCAAUCCAACCUCACAUGUUUCCCCUAAUGCUGCUAUGACCCAACUAAUUGAAUAAAUUCAUCAAUUUGGUUCCUUUCUGCUGAUGUACUUUCAUGUGAUUUGUAGACAGUUUUUUAUGGAGUUUUAGGAUGAAUUUGAAGGGCUUUAAUAACUUUUUCUAUCUUUCUGGUUUUGAUUAGAAUUUUGGUGGAAUUUUGGGAAAGCUUGUUGUUCAAUCGUAACAAAUUGGUUUUCUUUUAGUUUUUGCGAAUUUUAUCUUGGAUUGGUAGGUUUCACCUUAUUUUAGUUGAGACCCCCCAAUAUUUGUAACAAUAAAUUGAUCCCUAAAAUCUCUUUAAUUUUUUCAAUUAGGUCUUUGUUUGUUUCAAUUUAAUGAAUAUGAGCUGUUUAGUUUAUUUGACCGCUUUGAGUGAUUCAAUUUCCAUUUCAUUGAUUAUUUUGUUAAUUAAAGAGAUGCCUCGACCUUUUCUUUGUUUUUGGAGGGUAAAUAAGUAAUUUCACUCCAUUAGAGCCCCGACUCAAGAGAGGUACACUCUAUCCCUUAUUUUGACCUUAUUUGACCCUAUGUGAACUUAUGUGGCUAUAUGUGUUUUAUUGCAUGCCUUUUGAAUGUUUUUUUUUUAUUUUUUUUUUGCUCUUUUUGCUUAAUUUCAUAUAUUUAUUUAAGUUCCUUUUUGAUCAUUUGAAAGGCACUUAAAUGCCACAAUUGUAAUAGUUAGGCUAUUAUAUCAUUUCAUUUAAUUCCUUCCCUCUUAGAUUGUAGUAGGUUUCUCCCCCCGAAUGUAAUAGUUAGGGUUUUAUUUGUUUUACUUGCCUUAUGUGUGUUGCAUGCCUAUGUGCUAUGUGUUACCGCUUUCUUAGGCUUUGGCAUCUAGAUAUGCAUGCUUAUGUGUUAUGUGAAUUACGUGCUCACAUGUCUACUUGCUUUAAUUAUGCACAUUACUUAUAUAUGUGUAUGAUGGAUGCAAAUGCACGAAACCGUGGCUAGUCCAACGCUAGUCAUGGUUGUCCCCUCGAGCCCUUACAAGUCCAAUGCUUGUGAGAGAGCGCUAGUGAAGGACUAGUCCAAUGCUAGAUCCAAUAGGACCGUCCCUCGUUAGUACAUACUUGCAUGCCUUCAUUACAUCUUCAUUCAUUCUUUCCUUUUAGUUUUACACUUUUGCAUGACCCUUCACUCUCUUUCCCUUACAUAUUUAGGAUUACAUUUUCAUUUAGAUUAGUUCAUUUGCUUGUAUAGGUUAGGGAGUCACUCUUUUGGUAAGGGGGAUGGACGAGUUUGGCUAUACAUAGCCUUAGCACGCUCAUUCUUUUUCUAACCAAAAGGAAAAUUAAGUCACGAACAUUAGUCCCCCGUACCCGUCUUGCUUGCAUUCCUCUAGGGUUCAUGCAUUUCAUUUAUCCACUAUCACAUGCACUUUUACUUCAUAUUCUAUCCCUUUUUUCACAUUUUCACUUCACACAACUUUUAUUUUGCACGUUUUCACUCUGCCACUUACAUUUUAUAUACUAUCACGUGCACGCACGCACUUCAUACUAUCACUCUACUCACCUUACUUUGCACAUCCAUUUGUACACUUCCACUUACACACUAUUAUUUUUAUUACUUUUUCACUUCACGCAAACUCAUAUUUUCACAUUGCAUACAUUCAUUCCACUCAUUUUUCCGUCAUUAGCAUUAUUCGUGACCUCUCCAAAGAGUCAUUAUGGGCAUCACUAUUAAGUGAUUGGCACCACUCAAGUUUUGAGAGAAAUUUUGCCCGAUGUUCCCCUAGGUCUAGGUUUUGCAUUCAUAUAGUGCAUUCAAAUGUGAUAAAUUCUUUGGUUAAAAAUAAGAAAAUUCUUGACUAAAUCACGCAACUAGCCUUGGUUAGGUCGAAGGGGUGCCUUGGAUUUUUAUCCUUGCUUCCCCUUCGUCAAAUGUGACUCCCGAACCUUUCCUUUGAUUUUCGUGACUAGGAGUCGUUUAAAAGGGGUUUUUCUACUUUUUUCCUUUGAAAACUCAUUUUUAGGUGACUUGGUACACCUUAACUCAAUAUCAAGUGGCGACUCGCGAUUUUUGUUCAAAAAACCCUUUUUAAACUAUUAUUUUGGGUCAAAUCGUCGCAUUUCAAGUCCAUUUAGACCCAUAUUUUUCCCAUUUUCUUUGUAAAUAAAAUUCACUUUUCAAACUGUUUAUUUUUCUUGUAAAAAUGGGGCGCGACACAUUUGCUUUGGAUAAUAAUGCAUAUAUUUCAUUAGCAAAGAUUAGCUCAUUUCAUGUUUUUAUCAUGAACAUUGUAUGGUUCCACAUGCUCGAUCAUUUUUCCUUUUUUCUUGACUUGCAUGUUUUCUUCUAGUUGAUUGCAACUGUUUAUUUUUAAGAAAUUUUAUUUGUUUUGAUUUUGUCUUUUUCAGGGUGCAAUAAGUGAACUCUCCAUUCUUUAUCAAAUAUACGGUUGGAAAUUUAUCACAUUGCUAUGGAUUUGGAUCGCGCAAGUCAUAAGGGGAGUAUUUUCUUUUACUCUUUAUUUAUUUUCCUUUCCUCACAUUGAGGACAAUGUGAAAUUUAAGUGUGGGGGGUGGGGGGAAAUACUGGACUUGCAUUUUAAUGCUAUGUGAUGAUAUUUUGUGAAUCUAAAUACUUAGAAAUGUUGGAAUUGUGUUUGAAUUAUUUGCCAUAUGGAUAAUUUGCUUGAAAUUUGGUUUGUUGGCAGGGAGUUUUCAUCCAUUUAUAAGGGGAAACUCUGUCAAAUUUUUUAAAAAUCUUUCCAAUAUUUCACUAUGGCCCAAAAGUUCUUCAAAUUUUUGCAUUUUCAUUCAAAAGGGCUAAUUUGUUCCAACCUUAAGAGAUUAAUUCUUCAAUUAUUGAAACUUUAUGUGUAUUUUGGAAAGUUUAGUUCUCAUUUAACUAGGAAAUAGUUAUUAUGCAAUUAGAAUUUUUACAUUUUAGAAAGUAUAUUUGGUAAAGUAAAGAAAUUAUGCCUAUAAUUUUACAUGUUUAAUGAGAUUUCUUCUCUUUACUUAAUUUUACAACUAAGUGAUUGAUAUAGUCAAUAAAGGUUAUACUCCUCCUUUGAUUAUUUUUAUAUCAUUUUCUAUGAGGGAAAAUCUAUUUAUUUUCUUAUAAAAAAAAGAGAGAAAAAAUAUAUAUAAUAAAAGAAAAAAGAAAAGAAAAGAAAGUAAAUAAAAUUUAUUCUACUCCAAUGAUUCUCGUACCGAGUAACUGGGGAUUGGCAUCUAAAAAUGUCGAUUUUUACAUAAAAAGGUAUUUGAAUUAAGAUUAUGCAUAGCAACUUGAAUAGGUGAAAUGUUGAGUAACUGGGGAUCUUCACCUAAAAGUGUCGAUUUUCGUGUAAAAAGGCAUUCUCACUAUUUAAGUAAAAAUUAGUAUGAAUAAAUCCCUCUUAGUUAUAGAAUUUUGAGAAAAGAUGAUUAUAGGAGGAGGAAGGAUAUAAAUUGACUAUGUGAUUUGCUUAUUGUAAAAUUAAGUUAGGGUAAGAGAUUAAAUUUAACUUGUUGAAUUUAGGGUAUAAUUAUCUUUCCUUUACUUGAUAUUAUGAGUAUUUAGUGUAAUUUGAACAAUGAUAUAAUGAUUAUUUUUCAAGUCUUGAGGAAUUAAAUUGGACAAAGUGCAUAUAUUGUUUCACCUCUUGAAUCAUUGUAGUUGAUUAUGUGUGGAUUGCUUGAGGACAAGCAAUGAUUUAAGUGUAGGGGAGUUUGAUAAGUGACUAAUUUACGUAAUAAUUGUAUGAUAUUUUAUAUUAUUUUUAGUCACUUUAGUUAUAUUAUUGGAAGAAAAUAAAUCGUUUUGGCUAUAAUUGGUGAAAAAUGUUUUUAAGUGAUUAAAUGAGAUUUUUAUCACUUUUUAGUGGGAUUUUGUGCAUUUUGACAAUUUUGACACAUUUUUGUAUUUUGGCUAUAACUAGGGCUACAAUGAUCAGAUUGCGAUGAUUUUUAAACCAAUUUGAAGAUAAGAGAUAGAUCUACAACUUUGGUGAAGACAUCUGAAUCCAGUUUGAAGGUUUCCAAAGUCAAAAAUCUGAAUUACAAUAGCAAAUUUCUACUGGUCGAAGCUGAAACAGGGCAAUGAGCAGUCAAGGGUAUUUUGGUCAUUUUUCAGCCUACACAGAUCCAAAUGAGGUGAUUCUUGAUGCAUUGGAAAGAUAAGUCAAAGGGAUACAAGUUUCAUGUUUUGGUCAGGAGCUAAAUCAGCUUUUAUCAUCAAGAAACGUUCAGUGGAAGUUGAUACAAAAUCGGAGCAGAGCUGGAAAUUGAACCAGAAGUGACCAAAUGGUCACUGUAGCAAUCCGGCCAGAAUUUGGCCGGAUUUGUGGCCGAAUUGUGGUUAGAAAAGGCUGCUAUGUACGCAUAAAACUCAAUUUCAUCUCCACCAACUCACAUGUGAUGCUAGACUUGUGAGAAACAUUCCCAACUGUAAAAGAGAGGUGUAAACCUCAAGUCUUGACCAAUCUUUCAUCUAUAUAUAGUCAAAUUCAUUGCAAAAUUGAAGGAUAUAGAGAGACAUACGGGAGAACUUGGAGAGUGCAGAAAUGUAGCUCUUUCAUCUUCCUAGUGUUAGUUUAGCUUAGUGUAGAAUAGUAUAGAUCAUCCAUUCUUGUAUCUUGGCUAGAUUAGGAUGAAGAUGGAGGAAUUGAAGCUCAAGUGACAAGGGUUAUUUCUUCUCCAACUCUUUAUGCUUUGUAUCAGAUUCUUAAGUUUGUUUAAUAUACAAGUUCUGGAUUUUGUGUUUAUUAUAUGUUUUUAAAGUUUAUACCUUGGGUUUGGUUGAACUUUCUAUGAUUGUUAGUGUUUAUUAUUUGGUUAUUUGAUUGCUAUGAUUUGAGCAAGUUAUUUAGCACUUUGGCUCUUUAAAUCAUGAUUAAUCUGGUACCAUUAAUUGUGAUUAUCUAAGGUGUUGUUUCUGCAAUGAAAAUUGAGAUUUAACACUAGUUCAAGAAGUGCUAAACAUAGGGAGUACACUCACGAAAGUAGAGGUGCACCUAUAUGGUUUUUAGUGAUUCAUUUCAUGUAAUUUCACUGAAAAAAUGAACUUGUAGCUAAUUUCAUAACCAUGAGAAUAGGUAUGGAUUAGUUAUAAGUAUAAUUGAUUAACUACGAAAGUAAGAUUCGAAUACAUAAGAAAAUUACACCAUAGCUAGCCUAGAUGUAGUAUUCAAUGAUCCAAAUAUAGCACUUGUAUGAGUAGUUAGGGAUACCACAACCUAAGGAGCUUUUAUUUGUUAUUUCAGUAGGUUAAAUUUGUUAUAAUUCAUUGAUAUUCUAAAUAAUAGAGAAACUUUAGUUAUACCGGUAUGUGUUCACUCUUCCCUGUGGGAUCGACCCGAUAUAUACCCUAAACUAUUAGUUGAUCUGUAUACUUGCAGUGAAUGGGUGUAAUUCGAUUUUUUUUAACUUGUACGUAUGUAAAAUACCCAUCAAUUGCUAGCAAAUAGUCAAGGCGUUUUGCUAGGAAAAAUAGCGCAUCCUCACCAAUAGUAUAGAUUUAGCAAGGAGUCUUUUGACAAAUCUGCAAUGCCCCGCGUACCAAUAAAACAUUUUUUGCCAGGAAAGUUUCCUCUCUAAUAAGCAAUAAUUGAUUAUUGCCUAACUGUUUGGUGGGAAAAUGUUCCUCUCCAAUGCUAUUAUGAACAUUUCUUAAUCCAUUUAGCAUGCUAAUCUUAAUUCUCUGAGCGAAUUACUGGGUGGUUUUAUUAGAAAAUUUAGCUGCAAAUAGCUUCAAUUUGGCUUCUCAUGUGUCUAUUGUACAUUUUCCAGUUCUUAUAAGUAUCAAAUUGUUUGGCAAAAAUUUUUUUUACAUGACCAACGUAGCUGCUCAUUAAAUUUAAACUCAUAAGCCCUAGUAUUUGAUAGCUUUUUGGAAUAUCACUUGGUGCCAACAACCCCUUUUGCUACUUUGAUAAACAUUCAAUAGAAAACAUACAACAGCUUUGGUUAGCUAAAAAUAAUUGCUAGCAAAGUAAUACAUCAACAUCCAGCUCUUUCAACAUCUUGAGCCAUACAAAUAGGAAGUGCUUGAAAUCAAUUGGCAAUCCAAAUUUUUUUAGCUCAUUAACUAUCCAAGAAAUCGCAACUUCAAUAAGUCAUUACAAAAGAAGAUUUCAUCAAGAGAACACCGGAGAAAUAUAGAAGAGAGAGAGAGUUAAACUAAUCAUAUGGACACAUAUUUGUCACCUCAGUAUUUCCAAUUCCUUAAUUCAGUCCAGUUAUCUUGGAACUCUAUCGACAUCCAUGGAACAUUUUUUGAAUGACAAUAUGCUGUUGCAACAUUCUGGUGGAGACUUCAAAGGUUCUAUGAUAGGUUGCAUUUUUGUCAUUAAUUCUAUGAUUAUUUUCCUCGUUUAUAUUACCAAAUAUUGUAUUAAUUGAUUGAUUCUACUUAUAUUUGGUAUUUUGUGUCAAUUGUAGGAAGGUGGAGAAAAAAGUAAUAAAAGAGGUGAUUUUUCAAGAGUUUUCCAAUUCAAGAUGGAGUUUACGUGGAGUAUUGGAUGAAAAUUAGGAAACUACCACUUUUUAUUAGAUGUCUUAUUAGGGAACAAUUAGCAAUAGUUGGAGAAGUUUCCUUUUGCAAUUAGAAUUCUAUUUUUAGUUGGCCAAUGGACUGCUGAAGUAAUGGACUUCAAUUAGGAAACAAACAGAGAAAAAAGGCCGGAAUCCCGCAUGAUUACUACCUUGGAGGGAACAAGAAAAAGGAGACGUCCGCUGGUCUCUUCUUUAGUGAGUCUUUUGGGAAAAACCAAUGGUUAUCGAUGGAGUUUUGCAGAUCUCUCCUGAGGAUAUGUAGCUAAAUCUCCGUUUUCUAGUCGAAUGUCAAUUUGAGGACUCGAUUCCAAACAUAUUGAUAAGAGAAUAUUUAAUGUACAUUUUGUACAAGUUUGGCAUGAACUUUUGGUAUGUUUUGAGAAGAUUAAAGCCAUAUUUGAAUUCUUUUGGUGAUAAAUGCUUAAAUAUUGUUUAAGUGUCCAAAAUUUGAUAAAUGAGUGGAUUAAUGCGUUAAUUUUGUGAAAUUGUGAAGGAUAUUGAUAUAUGAAAUUCAUGCACGAGAUGAAGGAAAUGUAAGGAUCGUCCAAAGGAUAAAGUACAAAAGAAACUAGGAGCAAAAAUGAAGAAAAAGAAAGAAGUGAAAAACUGGAAAUUGAUCAGCACAGAUCUGAGCUCGGAUCCAUGUGAACAAAGGGCGAUCCGAGCCCUCCUCUGUACUUCUGAAGCAGUGCAUUCGAGUCCAGACAAUCCAAGCUCGGAUCAUUAAGAGAAAGACCUCAGAUCAGCCUUGAUCCGAGCUCGGAUCGUAGUGCACACCUCGGAUCCAGGGCGCGAAUCUGCCUCUCUCUUCUGCAAGUGGCAAUGCCGUUUUUUCUCAUUUUUCACACAACUUUCCAGCUAUCUUGGGUGAGAGAAUUCGAUGGCACAUGCUUCUGCAACAAAAGGAAAGACAAAAUGAGUUAUUGACAAGUCAAAACAACAUUUCUUUUGACUUUCUUUACAAAAUCUGAGUUGUUGGAAUCAUGAAGGAGAACAAAUUGCCUUUCUACCACCUUUUAUGCAGAGAACCAAGGAGAAGUCAGGCAUCACCAUAUGGAAGGAGUUUUUCAUCUUGUAACAUUUUUCUCUCUAACUAGAAGUUCUAAAAACAAGCACUUGGAGAUUUCACUUGUAAUCAUCUUGUACAAGACAUAGCAGAAAUUUGAGGGUUUCACCAUUAAUUGGCUAAGCUUUUCUUUAUCUUUCUUGUACUUGUACUUUAUGAUGUUUUGCAUUAAUAAACUUGUGAGUUUGAUUGUCAUAAUAUCAUUCAUGAGUAGCUAAAUUUCUUUAUCUAGAGAGUAGAUGAAACUUAUGGCUAAAUGAUAUGAAUUGAAUGUGAUUUACACUUGUUAUAUCUUGUAUUAACUUGUCUAUUUGUGCAGUUGUAAUUACUUGUUGUUGUUUGAUCACCAAUAGCAUGUUUAUAGUUGUUAUUAGUCAAUGAGAAUUGGUAGUAACAAUGAAAAAAAUAUGAGUAGAGCUUGAGUUGUAUGUUCAUGAAAAUAGAUGUACACUUAAGUGGAUUAGCUAGCAUUUCAUGAAGGAAAACAGAGUAGAACUAGUAGUUCACCAUGAAUAUAGGGAAAACUGGAUUGCUCUAGGGCAUUUUAUCAUGAGAAUGAGAUUUGAUAAUAUUAGAAAUGAAUCCCUAAUUAAACAACAAUAAUAACAAGAGGUAAAUCUAUUCAUUUAUGUUGUUUAUGCCAUAAGUAGAAUCAACAUCCCUAGAUUUUUUCUUGAGUGAAAUUUAUCCAUUUACAUUUAGCAUUUGUUAAACUAGAUUUAUAGACAAUAGCAUUAUAAUUUAUCUGCUCAAAUUCAUUUAUAAGUCUAAAUAAUAGAGAAAAUAAGGUCCUAGUACUUGUUUAAAUUGCUCCUCGUGGGAUCGACUCGAUACAUACCUUACAUUACGAUUUCGACCUGUAUAGUUGCAGUCAACGGGUAUAAAAUCGAAUUCAAACUUGUAUUGAUAUAAAAAUUCCAUCAAAUUUUUGGUGCCGUUGCCGGGAGCGGCAAUAUUAGGGUCUAAUCAUUUCUAUUAAUUUAGACAUUUCUAUUGUUUUUAAGUUGUUUAUAGUUGAUUUUGCAUUAAUUUAGUUUUUGACAAUUAAAGCUGCAUAAUUUCUCUUAUUUCUAUUUGUAGUAUAUGCAUCGAACAUAUCGAAAAGUUGCACCUUUCGAUCCAGAAAUUGAGAGGACACUUCUUAGACAAAUGAGGAAUAUACCGCAUCAAGAGAAACAAGAGCUUUGGCAGCUAAUAGAGGAAAUUUUGAUAGAGCUACCAUUUGAGGAAGAAAUGGCGGAAAACAAACCAAAUAGACGAGUUCUACGAGAUUUUGCUUUACCGGAGACACAAAGAUCUCAAACUAGCAUUGCAAGACCAACGGUAAAUGCUAAUAAUUUUAAAAUUAAACCAUCACUGAUUCAAAUGGUUCAACAAUCUCAAUAUGGAGGUAAUGCUACCAAAGAUCCAAAUUCUCACUUGUCAACAUUUCUUGAAAUCUGUGAUACAAUUAAGUUUAAUGGUGUUAGUGAUGAUACAAUUAAACUUCGAUUGUUUUCAUUUUCGCUAAGGGACAAGGCCAAGGUUUGAUUACAAUCUCAUCCUCCAAACACUUUUACUACUUAUGCUGAAUUAGUUAAGGCUUUUCUUAAUAAAUUCUUUCCACUUGGAAAAACUGCUAAACUUAGAAUGAAUAUAACUAGUUUCUCUCAAUAGAAAGAAGAGACAUUGUACGAAGGUUGGGAGCGCUAUCGGGAAUUACAACGAAGAUGUCCUCAUCAUGGUUUACUAGAUUGGCUUAUAGUGCAAACAUUUUACAAUGGUCUCACUUAUCCAACAAAGACGCAUGUAGAUGCAGCAGCGGGAGAAGCAUUGAUGGGAAAGUCAGCCAAGGAAGCUCAACAAUUGAUUGAAGAAAUGGCUGCUAAUAACUACCAAUGGGUCCAACGAACGAGAUAAUACAAGGAGAACCGCAGGUAUACUCGAAGUAGAUACCUUGAAUAUGUUAAGUGCAAAGAUGGAUAAUGUGGUUAAGAUGCUUAAUAGGCAUGUUAGUUCUAACUCUAAUCAAGGAGUAGUUGUUACAUGUUCUACUACUUGCAGCGGAGAUCAUGAUGAUUCUAUGUGUUCUAGCAGCGAACAAGUUCAAUAUAUCAACAAUUACAACCGUCCACCCCAAAAUAAUCUAUACUCUAAUACCUACAAUCCAGGAUGGCGUAAUCAUCCGAAUUUUGGAUGGAAGGAUCAAGGGAACCAACAAAGACUAGUUAAUCCACCGAAUUUUCAACUGAAGCAACCACUUUCGGAGUCCAAACCAGCUUGGGAAUUGAUAAUUAAGAAGCUGGCAAAUGUAUCAAAUGAUAAAAUUGAAAAGUUAGCUAGUGCCACUACUCAACGGUUUAAAAGAAUUGAGGGAAGGAUGGACCAACUCACCAAUAUGUACAGGAAUGUUGAGAUCCAAUUAUGGCAAAUAGCAAAUGCAGUUAACAAUUGCAACCAAAGGGAUUUACCUAACAAGACUGAGCUGAACCCAAGGGAGCAUGUGAAGGCCAUAACCCUCCGUAGUGGUAAGGAAGUAGGUGAGUCACCUGUAGUUGAAAGUGAGAGAAAAUAUGAAAGAAGAAAAAACAAGCAGUUGAGUGAGUUAGGAGAUGAUAACAAAACAAUUGAUGGGAAAGAAAAGGUAGAAGAGUGUGAGCCACAAAUUGAAGCGGCAACACCAAUUCCUCCACCGGUGCCAUUUCCUCAAAGAUUGAAACCUUCAAGAAAUGACAAAGAAUUUGAGAAGUUUGUCAACAUUUUCAAACAAUUACAUAUUAACAUUCCUUUUGUUGAUGCUAUUUUGCAGAUUCCUUCAUAUGCAAAGUUUCUCAAAGAAAUAAUGACUAAGAAAAGGAGGUUAGUAGAUAGUGAAAUAAUUGCAUUAACGAAAGAAUGUAGUGCCAUCAUACAAAAUAAAUUGCCACCAAAGUUGAAAGAUCCGUGGAGUUUCACAGUUCCUUGCACUAUCGGUAAUGUAGAAUUCUCUAAAGUACUAUGUGACCUUGGUGCGGGUGUUUCAUUGAUUCCUUUAACAGUGGCUAGGCAAUUGGGGUUGAAAGAGUUAAACCGUACUAACAUUUCCUUGCAAUUGGCUGACAGGUCUAUUAGAUAUCCAAUGGGCAUUUUGGAGAAUGUGCUUAUUAAAGUGCAGAAAUUCAUUAUCCUGUUGAUUUUAUUGUUUUAGAUAUAGAGGAAGAUGUCAAUGUACCUAUUAUACUUGGUAGAUCAUUUCUGACCACUGCAGACACAAUAAUAGAUGUUAAACGUGGUAAGUUUAAGUUCCAAAUUGGUGAAGAGGAAGUGGAGUUUGAUUUGAGUAAAGUGGAGAAGUAUCCCUCUUUUACUGACCAUAUUUAUUCUAUUGACAUAUGUGAUGAAUUAGCAUUAAAGAUAAGUCAAGUUAAUCUUGAUGAUGAUUCUCUUGAACUCUGUCUUAAUGAUGUAGGCUUACAAGAGAAACAAGUUGAAGAAAUGACUGAAUUUUCGCGGGCACAAGUUCCUUAUAAAAGGAGAAAUGCGUAUGAGGAGUUAGGGCUGAACAAAGGGCUACCUCUACCAUCGUGUGAGCAAGCUCCAUGGCUUGAGUUUAAGCCACUCUCUAAACACUUCAAAUAUGCAUUUUUUGGAGAAAAUGAGACAUUACCGGUUAUUGUCAAUACUGCACUACAUGAGGAACAACUAGGAAAGUUUUUACGUGUUUUGAGGAAGCAUUUAAAGGCUAUAGGAUGGACAAUUUCUGAUAUCAAAGAAAUUAGUCCAACUAUUUGUAUGCACAGAUUUUGUUAGAAGAAAAUUCUAAACCGAUGGUUAAAAUUCAAAGAAGGUUAAAUCCAAACAUGAAAGAAGUGAUAAGAGUACAAAUCUUUAAAUGGUUGGAUGCAGGUAUAAUUUUUCCAAUCUCUGAUAGUGUUUGUAUUUCUCCUAUUUAUGUAGUGCUAAAGAAAAGGGGAAUAACCAUAGUGUGGUAAAAAUGAUGAAAUGAUUUCCUCUAGAGUUGUAGUUGGGUGACGAGUCUGUACUAAUUAUAGAAACUGAAUGCAGCUACUAGAAAGGAUCAUUUCCCUUUUCCUUUUCUUGAUCAAAUGGUAGAAAGAUUGGCUGGAUAUGAAUUUUUUGUUUCUUGGAUGGUUUUUCAGGAUACAAUCAAAUAGUCAUUGCACCGAAAGAUCAAGAUAAAACCACAUUCACUUGUCCUUACGGCACUUUUGCAUUUCGAAGAAUGCCUUUUUUGACUAUAUAAUCCACCGGCCACUUUCCAAUAUUGCAUGAUGGCAAUUUUCUCUGAUUUUAAUGAGAAAAUCAUGAAAAUCUUCAUGAAUGAUUUUUCUGUAUUUGGAUCUACUUAUGAUCAUUGCCUUAACCAUUUAGAUCUAAUUUUGCAGAGAUUUGAAGAAACAAACCUUGUACUCAAUUGGAAAAAAUGUCACUUUAUGGUUUGUGAGGGUAUUGUUCUAGGCACAAAAUUUCUUCAUAAGGUAUUGAGAUAGAUCAAGCCAAGAUAGAGUGUUGGCCUAAUCAGCAACAUCCCUCAGAUCCCGGCUCGAAGGACUAACCGCCCAGCCCGUGGCACCUAGGGGUGCAGCCCUCAUGCUGGCCGAGCGUGGUACGGUGCUUUGCGCUGCCAUUGUGGUUAAGGAAAUAAAGUUGCACCUUCGCUAACUGCUAUAGCUUUUGGUGCAAUGGUAAGCGCUUGAUCCUUACAUAGAGGUUAUUGAGAGAAUGCCUCCACCUACCAAUGUGAAAGGCAUUCGAAAUUUUCUUGAACACGUGAAAUUUUAUCGGCAGUUUAUUAAGGAUUUCUCCAAGACUGCUAAACCUUUAUGUAAAUUACUUGCAAAAGAUAUUACUUUUCAUUUUAAUGAUGAGUGUUUAUUUGCUUUUAAUAGGUUGAAGAAGAAACUUGUCUCCACACCCAUAAUAGCAUCACCGGAUUGGAGCUUGCAAUUCAAAUUGAUGUGUGAUGCGAGUGAUUUUGCAGUUGGAGUUGUUCUUGGAUAAAAACAUUAUAAGCAAUUUCAUGUCAUUUAUUAUGCAAGUAAAAUGUUAAAUGAAACCUAAGUCAACUAUGCAACAACAGAGAAGGAGUUGCUAGCAGUGAUAUUUGCAUUGGAUAAGUUUAGAUCGUAUUUAGUAAGAUCUAAAGUCAUCAUUUAUAUCGACCAUGCAGCAUUCAAAUAUCUCUUAAAUAAGAAAGAUGCAAAACCUGGACUAAUUCGAUGGAUUUUAUUAUUGCAGGAAUUUGAUUUGGAGAUCAAAGAUAAAAAAGAUCAGAGAACUUAGUCGCUGAUCAUCUUUCUAAACUGAAAAACAUGCUUCAAGAAGACCAUUCAUCCAUUAAAGAAGAAUUUCCAUAUGAGUUUUUUGAUGGCAAUUUAAAAGUCACCAUUGUAUGCUAAUUUAGUUAAUUUUGUAGUUAGUGGAGUGAUAUCAAGUGAUUUGAAUUCCCACCAAAGGAAAAAAUUCUUAAAUGAUGCUAAACAUUAUUUUUGGAAGAACCAUUCUUUUAUAAAUAUUGUGCAAAUGGAAUAAUUAGAAGAUGUGUUCCAGAAAAAGAGGUACACAGUAUUUUAAUGCAUUGUCAUACCCUUGAAACGGGAGGUCAUUUUAGUACAACUAAAACGUAGCAAAGGUAUGACAAUCUGGAUUUUACUGGCCUACUAUAUACCGAGAUGCUAGAAAUUGGGUUAAAAGUUGUGAUUAAUGCCAAAGAACUGGUAACAUCUCUAGAAAGAUGAAAUGCCUUUAACUACAUAUUUGGAAGUUGAGCUAUUUGAUGUUUGGGGUAUUGAUUUUAUGGGACCAUUUCUGGUUCGUUUAAUAAUAAGUACAUCUUAGUAGCAGUGGAUUAUGUUUCUAAAUGGGUAGAGGCAAUUGUUUCACCUACUAAUGACUCUAAGGUUGUACUCCGGUUUCUUAAAAAGAAUAUUAUUUGCAGAUUUGGUAUCUCAAAGGCCAUAGUUAGUGAUAAAGGAAAAUAUUUUUGUAAUAAACAACUUCACUCCUUAUUGUUUAAAUAUGGCUGCAGGCACAAGACAUCACUUCUGUACCAUCCUCAAGCCAAUGGACAAGCGAAACUAGCUAAUUGAGAGAUAAAGCUCAUUUUGGAGAAAACUGUAACUAAAUCAUGCAAAAAUUGGGCUACAAAGCUAGAUGAUGUACUAUGGACUUACCGAACGGCAUUUAAGACACUUUAGGGAUGUCGCCGUAUCGUUUAGUCUAUGGAAAACUUGUCACUUACCUGUAGAGAUUGAACAUAAAGUUUAUUGGGCUAUUAAAGCAAUUAACAUGGACUUUAAUCUUUCAGGUGGAAGGAGGCUACUUGAGUUAAGUGAAUUGGAGGAACACCGGUUACAUGCGUAUGAAAAUGCUAAAAUUUAUAAAGGGAAGAUCAAAUAUUGGCAUGAUAAAUAUAUUCUUCCUAAGCAUUUUGAAGAAGGGCAAAAGGUGUUAUUGUUUAACUCAAGACUUAAAUUGUUCCCUGGAAAGCUUAAGUCUCGAUGGUCCGGACCAUUUGAAAUAGUUCGCACAUUUCUUAUGGAGCGGUGGAAAUAAAAGGAGAAAAUGGUGUCCCAUUCAAGUGAAUGAUCAAAGAUUGAAGCUCUAUUUGGCUGGAGAAAGGGUUCCUAAAGGAGUGAUUUACUCCUUAGGAAAUACAAUGGAGAGUUAAGGAAGCUGUAGGAGAGUCGAGUUUAGCGACUUUAAAUAAAACACUUGUUGGGAGGCAACCCAAUAAUAAUAUUGUAGUUGUGUGUUUUUAUAUGUUUCUUAAAUUUUGGUGUUAUUUGAUUGACUAAUUAUAUGUAUUUCACUUGUUGUAGGGGGUGCCGGCAUUUCAACUUCCAUCUUGGAGGUGCACUUGAAGAACAAUAGUUAAAAGGGAAGUUUUCUUACCAAUUUCUAUUUUAAGUGUUUAAAAUUCCCUUUCAUGUAUAAUAUGUUGCAUUUCCAUUAUAUUCAAGUAAGUUUCAGUGAUAACAUGUUUAUACAUGCUCAUUGAUUCAUUUGAUUUGUAUCUCAUACCUAAGGGAGCCCUCUUAGUGUAAAAGCGCCAAAAUGAUCAAAGAAACUCACCCCUCGAUUUGCAAUGUAUAUGUGUUUGAUGUAUUUUGAGAGGUUGAUAUUGUGUUUAUGGUAUAUUACACUUGCGUGAAAGGGUAUAAUUGAUAGAAAUUUCGUCCAAGGUGUAAUUUGGAAAUUGUCGAAAAAGGGGGAAAAAGUUUGAAAAAUUGCAAUUUCUGAAAUUGUUGCAGAAAAAGCCUGAUCCGAGCUCGGAUCCGUUAAAGAUUCAAAGACGAAAUUGGCGAUCCGACCUCGGAUCCGAAGUUGUUCACUAUGAUCCGAGGGCUCAUCUGUGUUUCUAGAAGGCCGGAUCCGAGCCUAUAGGAUCCGAGCCUUGGUAUACACGAUCCGACCUCGGAUUGUGUAUUCUUGAAAAAUUCAGCAUAGGGGAUCUGAGCUUGGAUCCAACAAAAUCUAAUAGGAUCCGAGGGCUCAGCUGAACUUCUGAAGUAGCGGAUCUGAGGGAUGCCAGAACCGAUCUGACCUCGGAUCUGUGCGCGAUAAGAAACAAAUCCGAGGCUUUGAUUCUGCAUUUGUCCAAUUCUCCUUUUCCUAUUUCACCGAAAACCCUAGCCCUUCUUCACCAAUCUUCCAUUUCAUCCAAUAAUUAUUCAAUCUUUCACCACAAAAACAUCUCCCAACCUCUUGUGAUCAUAAACCCUCAACAAAUUCAUUUUAAAAACAUCAAUUUGGGGGUUUUGAUCUUCAAAACGGGAAUUCAGGCCGCACUGAAAUCUCACAAUUUGUGGUCGAAUUUGGGCUUGUUUCUUCAUCACUUUGUAUCAUUAUCAUCCUCCACCAUCAAUCUACACAUUUGAGGUAACAAUUUACAAUUUUUUUGAGAUUUUAUAAUUCCCAAUUUUACAUUUUUCUAGUUUUGGACAUAUUUUGGUAAUUGCUCAUAAGUUGAAAUUUCUUGAUACAAUUGUGCUACAUUGUGCUUAAAUAGAUUGUCACAACUAUUUUCAUGCUUAGUUUUGAGAGAAUUGUGGAUUUGGUAUUAUUUUGUAGAUUUUUCUUCUAAAAUUUUAGGUUAAUGCACAUGAACUCUUUAAUGAAUGAAAUUACUCCUCUAUGUGAACUACUUGCAUGCUUAAAAUUGAGAAAAUUGUUAUUAUAGUGAUAUUUUUGUAUAUUUUUCUCAAUUUUAAGUUUAAGUAUGUUAAAUCUUUUACUUGAAUAUUCCUUGUUCUUAGAGAUAAUUGGCAUUCAUUAAGAAGAAUUGGAGCUCAUUAGUUGGCAUUUUAGUGAUAAUGUGUAUAGCCAAUUAGUGUGUAAUUCUUGGAUAAAAUCAUGAGAUAAUUGGCCCGUACGUUCUUGAAGUAAUGAAAUUGAUCUUUUAAGAGUCCUUUUUACUUUGAGAUUAUAUUCUAUUGUUGAAAUAUGCAUCAAUUCUCAAGAGAUUGGACUUUUUAAUGAGAUUCUAAUUAAAAUAUGCUGUUCAAUUGUUGAAAGUGGAAUAUUCAAACCAUGUGUUGAGAUUGUAGAUUGAAAUUGAUAUCAUACAUGUGCAAUGAGUUUGUGAAUUGGUUAAAUACGAUAUGGUCGUGAAUUUGUUGAUUGUUGGCAGGGAGUUUCUUCCUUUUAUUGGGGGAAACUCUGCCGAAAUUUUCCCAAAUCAUUUUUAAACAUUGUUGGUCGUGUAUUUUCAAGGAAUUUAGAAUUCUUUUAAUGUGUGUUUGAUCUUAUUUUUGAUAUAGGUACCAUGGCUCGCACAAGACGAUCUCGUGUUCGUUUUUGAUAUAGGUACCAUGGCUCACACAAGACGAUCUCAUGUUCGCACUCCUUCACCUUCUUCAAGUGAAGAGCGUACUCCUUCAAUGCCUAAGGAGUCACCAGGGGAAGAAUCUCCUUAACCACAGUCGUCGCCACACUUACGGCGUAAGAGAGCAUCUACGAGACAUGAGAAGCCAACUCCAGAUUAUGACACCACUCAUUUUACCUCACUCGAGAAUCAAUAGUGGUACGAGACCGGUUUAGACAAAGAGUUCAUAAUUGAAAAACACUUGGCCCCGGAGGUGGAUGACCACUACAAGAUCUCCAUGGCAUUCAAGCGACUUGGAUGGGAGACUAUACUAAAUUUGCCGAAACAUUACUAUCCCAAUCUGGUCUGGGAGUUUUACGCCAAUGUGGAAGACAAAUAGAACCACAGUGGCAACCUCAUCAUCUCCUGGGUUCGAGGCAAGAGAGUGGCUCUCACUCGACAUACAAUCACCCAAAUCGUCAAACUAAAGGACAAUGGAGAAGAUGUUAAAUUGACCAAGGAAUUUAAGGCACGUGAUCCAUGGCAAGUCUGAGAAGCUGUGGCAUGUCUUAAGGGUCAAUAUCGAGAGCGAGAAAGUUCGAAAAGCUCAUUGUAUACGCCAAUUCCUUUGAGUAUAGGUACCACCUGAUCUUCUAUCUCUUCACGCUUCAAUGUGGUACCGAAAAGGAGUGAAAAAAGGGAGCUCGAAACGGUGACUUGUAUUUCCUCGAUAAUAUGAUGCACGGUGUGGGUAGGCUGCUGACUAGUAUUCCUCUGGCCAGCAUCAUCAUCAGUUACAUGUGUACUACAGCUCGCAUGAGAGCCGACGAAACUUGCUUUGGGUUCCCUCGUUUGCUCUCCCUUAUUUUUAAGCAACUCAAGGUUCCUCUGGGAACCGAGCGAGCCAUUAUUACUAGGGCAGCCGAGGAAGUCAAUGGCUUAGUACUCAGGUCCUUAGGUAUUCCUACGAAUUUUGGAGCUUCUCUAGUACGGGAUGUUGGAGAAGCAUUGACUUCCACUCAGCCUCCACCUCACACUGAACCACACCAGGAAGCUCAAGAGACGGAGGCACAGCAGACUCUCCCUCCUCCCAUUCCACGACCACCCCCUCCACAACGAUCCAAGUGGCAAGAGGCCCUCAAUGCCAUCUGCUGUAUAGAGACACAAGUCAUGGAGCGCAUUGAUCAGACAGAGCGGCUGAUGACGGAGCGACUAGACAGGCAUGAUCACCGUCUUCGAGCGAUCGAGGAUCAUUUCCACAUUCGCCGCUCCCCUACACUGAUUCCUGAGCCAAGGCCCAAUGAGGGGCAUGCAGAUCGUGAGGAGGGUGGUGGCAAUGCAGAUCAUGAGUAGGGCGGCAGCACUGAAGUGACUGAGCUUGGCGUCUCCUAUGCAUAAUUUACUCUCUUUUCGGCUUUUAUUUAGUUUUUCAUCUUUUAUUUUCAAUUUGGUGUUAACUUUUUGUUAUUUUUCUGUUUUUCUUAAAACUUGUGGAAUGGUCUCACUUUCUAUGGAUAUAUAUUUUUCCCUGCAUGCAGAAUUUGGCUAGUAGAAUUUGGAUGAUCGUGAUGAUCGUGGUUUCAAAUUGCAUCACUACUUUUUUUGAGGGGAGUAUUAGUUUCUUUUACCUUCCUCUACAAUAAGGAUAUUGUGAAUUUUAAGUGUGAGGGAGGGAUUACUUUAUCUUAUGGGGUGAUUAUGUUUUGAAGUGCAUGAUUUUAGUUGUUUAUGGCCUAGAAAUAUUGGAAUCAUAUUUGAAAAUAUUGUCAUGAAGAUAAUUUUCUUAAAUUGAGGCUAUUGGCAGGGAAUUUUAUCCAUUUAUAUGGGAAACUCUGUCAAAAUUUUUCUAAAAUAUUUUCAAUAUUUCUAAAAUAUUUUUCAAUAUUUCAUUACAAUUCUUUCCAAUAAUGGCCGAAAUGUUCAAUUUUAAAUGCCUAAUUCUUCCAUUGGAUAAAAUGUUAUAUGUAUUUUGGAAAGUUUAGUCUUAUUUGACUUGGCAUUAGUCAUUAUACAAUUAGGAUUUUUACAUUUUAGAAAGUAUAUUCGGUUAAAUAAGAAAAAUUAUACUUAGAAUUUUGCAGGUUUAAUGAUAUUUCUCAUUUUUACUUAAUUUUAUAAGUAAGUGAUUGAUAUAAUCAAAACAAGGCCAGAUUCAUCCUUUAAUUAUGCUCAGAGGGAAGAGAUUGAUUGUUUAAAAAAAAAAUUUCUACUCCAAUGAUUCGCAUACUGAGUAACCGGGGGUUAGCAUUUACAAAUGUCGACAUUCGCGUAAAAAGGUAUUGGAAUUAAGAGUGUGCUUAGCAAUUUGAAUGAGUGAAAUGUUGAGUAACCGGGAAUGUUCACCUAAAAGUGUAGAUUUUCGCAUAAAAAGGCAUUGUCACUAUUUAAGUAAAUGAAGUAUAAAUAAAUCCCUCUCAGUUAUGAAAAUUUUGAUGGAUAUAUGAUGAGAAAGGCCAUAGAAUUGAUUAUGUGAUUUACUUAUUUGUGAAAUUAGGAUAGGAUGAGAGAUUGAGUUGAAAUUGUUAAAAUUAAGAUAUAAUUAUCUUUAUUUAACUUGAUAUUAUGAGUAUUUAGUGUAAUCUGAGAAUUGGCAUAAUGAUUGGUUUCUAGGUUUUGAGGAACUAAAAUUGACAAAAGUACGUAUAUUGUUUUAUCUCUUGAAUCAUUGUAGUAAGUUAUGUGUGAAAUUGCUUGAGGACAAGCAAUGAUUCAAGUCUGGGGGAAUUUGAAAGAGAAUAUUUAACAUACAUUUUGUACAAGUUUGGCAUGAACUUUUGGUAUGUUUUGAGAAGAUUAAAGCCAUAUUUGCACUCUUUUGGUGAUAAAUGUUUAAAUAUUGUGAGUGGAUUAAUACGUUAAUUUUGUGAAAUUGUGAAGGAUAUUGAUAUAUGAAAUUCAUGCACGAGAUGAAGGAAAUGUAAGGAUCGUCCAGAGGAUAAAGUACAAAAGAAACUAGGAGCAAAAUGAAGAAAAAGGAAAGAAGUGAAAAACUGAAAUUGAUCAGCACGGAUCCGAGUUUGGAUCCGUGUGAACAAAGGGUGAUUCCAAGCUCUCGUCUGUACUUUGGAGCAGUGCAUCCGAGGCCAGACGAUCCGAGCUCGAUCAUUAAGAGAAAGGCCUCGGAUCAGCCUUGAUCCGAGCUCGGAUCGUAGUGCACACCUCGGAUCCAAGGCUCGGAUCUACCUCUCUCUUCUGCAAGUGGCACAGCCAUUUUUUCUCAUUUUUCACACAACUUUUCAGCUAUCUUGGGUGAGAGAAUUCGUGGCACAUGCUUCUGCAACAAAAAGGAAGACAAAAUGAGUUAUUGACAAGUCAAAACAACAUUUCUUUUGACUUUCUUUACAAAAUCUGAGUUGUUGGAAUCAUGAAGGAGAAGAAAGUGCCUUUCUACCACCUUUUUAUGCAGAGAACCAAGAAGUCAGGCAUCACCAUAUGGAAGGAGUUUUUCAUCUUGUAACAUUUUUCUCUCUAACUAGAAGUUCUAAAAACAAGCACUUGGAGAUUUCACUUGUAAUCAUCUUGUACAAGACAUAGCAGAAAUUUGAGGGUUUCACCAUUAAUUGGCUAAGUUUUUCUUUAUCUUUCUUGUACUUGUACUUUAUGAUGUUUUGCAUUAAUAAACUUGUGAGUUUGAUUGUUAUAUCAUUCACGAGUAGCUAAAUUGCUUUAUCUAGAGAGUAGAUGAAACUUAUGGCUAAAUGAUAUGAAUUGAAUGUGAUUUACACUUGUUAUAUCUUGUAUUAACUUGUCUAUUUGUGCAAUUGUAAUUACUUGUUGUUGUUUGAUCACUAAUAGCAUGUUUAUAGUUGUUAUUAGUCAAUGAGAAUUGGUAGUAACAAUGGAAAAAACAUGAGUAGAGCUUGAGUUGUAUGUUCAUGAAAAUAGAUGUACACUUAAGUGGAUUAGCUAGCAUUUCAUGAAGGAAAACAGAGUAGAACUAGUAGUUCACCAUGAAAAUAGGGAAAAUUGGAUUGCUCUAGGCCAUUUUAUCAUGAGAAUGAGAUUUGGUAUUAUUGGAAAUGAAUCCCUGGUUAAACAACAAUAAUAACAAGAGGUAAAUCUAUUCAUUUGUGUUGUUUAUGCCAUAAGUGGAAUCUACAUCCCUAGAUUUAUUCUUGAGUGAAAUUUAUCCAUUUGCAUUUAGCAUUUGUUAAACUAGAUUUAUAAACAAUAGCAUUAUAAUUUCUCUGCUCAAAUUCAUUUAUAAGUCUAAAUAAUAGAGAAAAUAAGGGUCUAGUACUUGUUUAAAUUGCUCCUCGUGGGAUCGACUCGAUACAUACCUUACAUUACGGUUUCGGCCUGUAUACUUGCAGUCAACGGGUAUAAAAUCGGAUUUAAACUUGCAUUGAUAUAAAAAUCCCGUCACAUAUGUGAGAUCGAAUUAUUUUACUUAUUUCUUUUAUUCAUUGGUAUUUGUACAUUUUCUGAUUUAACUUCAUAUACUUGUUAUGUUAUUUGAAUGUCAAGGGCCCGAUAUUAGAAUUAACCUAAUAAUCUACUGUCAGAUUAAUUGAUUGAAUCUGUAAUUGUUCAAUUGAUUAAUACUAGUGGCAACUAGCGUGAUUGGUUUUAUGUUAGGGAAACGUAUAAUCUAAUUUAAACGAACCCUUGUAGCGUGUUUGUUAAUUAGGGUUGGGUUUUUCUAAUUCUUAUUGCAAUUGAGAAAUUAAAUCCUAUAGUCGUACCUAGGGUUAUUUUGGUUAGGAAAAAGUUAAUGGUCGUACCUUAACUAUCAAAAAAGUAAGGAAAGGUUGGUUGUUUAUCGCGUGUAUAACAACUAUAACCAAUCUAUUAAUUAGUAAUUGAAUUAUCUUUGCAUCGAUGAUCAGUUGAAUGGACCAUGUCUGAAAAGUUGCACCUUUGGCUAGAGUUGUAUUGGUUAUUGAUUAAUUCCUGUUUAUUUCUAUUAGUUGUUUUAUUAGUUGAUUAAUUAGUUAUUUUAUAUUUUCCAAAAACCCCCAUACUUCGGACUCUGGAAGAAAUGAAUUAUCCCCAGUCCCUGUGGAUUCGACCCUGCUCACCGCUAUAUACAAAUUUGUAUUUUUCUUGAGUAGAUAAUUAUUAUUGCACAUGUUCAACACCUGUCAUUCUAUAACUGUAUACAGAGUCAUCUUUUUCAAAGAUUUCCCAUGCUGCAAAAUGUACUCUACGAGCUUUAUUUCAUUUCCUCCCUAUAAAUUGUCUAAUUCCAAUCUGCCUAAGAUGUUCAACAAAGCGUAUUGGGAAAACUAUUUGGAAAUGUAGAUUCCAGGUCCUUGUAUAUGCAAAGUCCUUCUUACACAACUUUACAUAUUGAGAAGAUCAAAAAUUGCAAAACAUAAUAAUACUUGAAAUUAGUGAGAAUAUAUCCAAAAGAAACAAAAUAUUAAUACCUGAAAUCAGGUUUUACAAUCUGUGCACAAAAAGCACCUAAACCCAAAUGACCCAUGUUGGAAUAGACCAAGUUUAGUUCAACUGCAGAAAUUCCUAGUACAAUGGAACUGCAACUUCAAAUUCAGUAAAUUGCAAACUGAUAUUAUGAUUCUAUAAAUCCUAAAAUCUCACCCAAGUCCUCUUGCCUCCAACACAAAGUAUGUACACAGAUGCUGACCUAUUCUAUACACUUGUAGGUAAAUUCAAAUCAGACGGCAUUCAAUAGAACUGCCUUGAUUGGCUCCAUAUCAGCACUAUUGCUCUUUAAAUCUAAAUUGAUUAAGCUACACAAAAAGGGAUUACAUUAGAUGGAGAAAUUUUACUGAUUGCAUAUGAAAUAAGGGCUAAAAUCAACUAGGAAAAGCAGAGAAGUUAACCUCAACCGACCAGGAAACAAGAUGCAAAAGUCAGAAGUUGUUAGCUUAAACCUCAACCAAAAGAAAAAUGCAAUCUUUGAUAUUAAACACAUAACCCACAUAAGUUAGCUUCACAGAGUCCAGAAGGAUGGUGGAACUCAAUUUUCCUAAAAUUGUGAGGAAAAUAAUUCAAUCUUAGAAAUCUAACACAAAUAAUGGUAAUAAAAACGCACAAGAAGGGUAUAAAAACUUACAAAAUGGCGCCAAAAUAUAGAUCUAACAGUAUUUGAAGCAAAUGGAUGAAGCAUUGAAGUUGUUCUAAGAUUUUUGGACAGCAAUAAACCUAAGCUCCUUCACGUUUAGCAAUUCUUAGGAGAUAGACAGGAGGCGGGUCUUCUUUUUUAGCAAUUCCUUAGAGGUCUCCUUCCCGUUUAGCAAUUCCCGCAUAUGUUCUUCUAUUUUUGGACUAAAAACCACCGAUGUUGGCCUUUGAGAGAAGAACAGAUGCGUGCUUCUCAAUUGACAGAGACAAGAGAGGACUAACCUUUCUAUGUAUAUAUCCCUCAGCCUCUAACAAGCCUUUGAAUUUUGACGGAAGGAUGUUGCGGGAAAAAUAAAAUUCUUGGAGGGAAUAAAACGCGCGUCCUAAAUUCUGAUUUAAGUGUUGCAGUUAAAAGUUUCUAAUUGGAGUAUAUUAUAUAAUAUAUAGAAUGACUAUUGAGUAUUAGAAGUAUAUAAUUUGAAAGAAAUCAUGUAUGAAAAAUGAAACUAAUGAAAAUAUUCAUGUGCAAUCAAUAUAAUAAAUUGUCAUCUUUAUAAUUUUUAAGUUUGCAAUUCAUAAAUAUGGUAACAAAUAAUGUAAUUCAUGUGCAAUCAAUAUAAUUAUAUUGUUAAUUAAGGUUAUAAUUGUGCUAUAUAAAGUAUUUGGGACAAUUUGAAAAAUAUCUAGAAAUUUGGGACUACUUAUAAUAUAUUCAAAAUGUAUUUUGAUUAAACUAUACAACUUGUCCUUUCUUGUUGUAAAUCCAAAUUCAAUUAUGGAACAAUAUACAUGGAAAAUUUGACCUUAUAUGUGUAUAAAUCAUCUUAUUAAUAAAAUAGUUAAACACAAUACAUUUAGUUAACUAUGAUUUAGUGAUUGAUUAUUACAUCAUUUUUUAUAUAAUACGAUAAUUAAAUAUUACAUAUAUAAUAAAAUGUUUCAAAUAUAUUUUAAUUGAUCGAAAAAAUGGUAUACUUACAAUAAACAAAUAAUUAAAGAAAAUUUUGAGAGUAGAAUUUUGUGCUAAAAAUGUGUAUUUUGGGUUCAAAUUUAUAACCACCACUUAUCCACUUAGAAUUAGCAAAAGUAUUAAUUCAUUUCUAAAGACUCUAAACCAUACUAAUUUAUUAUAAUAAAGAUACAAAACACUAGCUCCAUGUGAUAACCUAUAGCAAAAAUCAUCUAUUCACUUUAGUAAAAUAUAUGAGUCAAAUUUAAAGAUUCAUCAAAUUUUAUAGGUUUUAAAAUUGGGGUGCGUUAUUUACAUGGAUUUAAAGCUGUCUGAAUAUAGUUUACUACGCAAUAAACGACACUCAAUUUCGAGUUUUCUACACAAAGAUAUGACCAAAAUACUAAAAUUGUUACUUAAUUUUUUGAAAAAUAGUAGGAUCGUAUGAUCCGGAUUACGAUCCUAUUAAUCUUGAAUUUAAUGCUAAUUUUUUAUCCUACUUACAAUUUGGAUCGUUAGCCAUGAUCCGUAUCGUAGGAUCGUAGAUCGCGAUUCUAGCAACUAUGGUUGUAGUUAAAAGUUUCUAAGAAUUGGAGUAUAUUAUAUAAUAUAUAGAAUGAAUAUUGAGUAUUAGAAGUAUAUAAUUUGAAAGAAAUCAUGUAUGUGAAAAAUGCAACUAAUGAAAAUAUUCUCAAUAUACAGCUGAAAAAAUAACUAAGUUUGAUAAAUUUGCAUUUAAUUUUUAGAUAGAAGUUUGUUGUAUGAUAUGUAAUUGCCAUUUCUUGAAAUUAUUCUUCACUCUUAUACCUUCACUAAACUUCAAAGAACUUAGCUACGCAUAAAAUAGAAUGAAAGGAAUGCUUUCAAGUGUGCUAGUAAGUUAAUAUUUAUAUUAUAUCUGUGCUAAUACGUGUCCAUAUGUAUAAUUCAAAAGUUUUAUGUAUUUCAUAUACGAAUGUCUUUUUUCAAGUAACCGCAUAGAACACUUAUAGGUUGUAUUUUUGCCAUUAAUUUUAUGAUUAUUUCCUCUUUAUUUUACCAAAUAUUGUAUUAAUUGAUAGAUUCUACUUAUAUUUGGUGCUUUAUGUUAAUUAUAGGACGUUGGGGUAAAAAGUGCUAAAAAAGGUGAUUUUCUUGGAAUUGAUUGUCACUCGCAAGUUUCCCAAUUCAAGAUGAAGUCUACGUGGAUUAUUUGUGGAAGAUUAGGAAAUUACCAUUUUUCUUAGAUAUUUUAUUUAGAAAACAAUUGGCAUUAUUCUUGGAGUUACCUUUUUCAAUUGACCCGCUUCCGAAGUUACUUCCUUCGUUAGAGCUCGUUUAUCUUGAUUUAAAUUUAAUCUGUUUUAGUUUAAUUAUUUUCAAUUUGCAUUGAUUAUUUAUUUUUAAUUGCAAUUUUCCAAACUCCCCCCCAAUUAAUUGUCACUUGGAAAGAAGCAAAUUUUCACUCAAAACCUUGAGUUUAUAUCUUUUUGAGUAGGAAUUUAUUAUUACACAAGUCUGACACCUGUCAAUUAACACAAGGUUUCAAGCAAUGCACAGUUUCUUUUGUACCUAGAAUAGCUAAUGUAGCAAGUCAUAUGCUAGCACAUUUUGCAACAUAACUAGUUUAUGAUAUAGAAUGGGUACAUGAUUUCCCGAUUGACUAAUAGAAGGGUGAAUGCCCCUUUUUGUAAUUAACUCUUGCACUUCAAGUGUUAACAUAUAUACUGAUAUUAUCAUUUGUUGAAAAAAAAGGAAAGUGUUUAUUUGUUUAAUCAAAUAGUUAUGGUAGUGUUUAUAUAAUUUCGUAAACAUUGAAAGGUAAAUGACCUCGUUGAAUUUGUAUAAUUUGAUUAUGUUGAAGAAACAUAAUCUUGGAAAAGCAGAGAAAUUUUCUAGUAAAUAUUAGAUAAACAAACAAGUCAUUAUUUUAUUUUGAUAGCUAAUCAUUGUUCAUAUCAAUAUACUAGCUAUAAAGUUAUACUCGCAAUACUACUGUUACGGUAUAAAAUUUCUUGUCAGAGCAAUUUAUAAUUUCAUCCCAUUUUUACCGUUGACUGUUAACCUCAAGUUCUUCGGAUAUCCAUGGGACAGUGUAACCCCUUUGAAGGUCAAUUCUUACUGUUGAUGUGGCGUGUCCCACAUCGGAGGCUGCAUAAGGAAGUUUUCUUCCUUUUGUCCCACAUCGGCAAUCAAGAAGGAAAGCCUCCCCUUGUUUACCUAUAAAUAAGGGGGCUUAGUGGUGAAGAAAAGUGACCACUCAAGAGAGUUAUAUGAGCUAUUAGCUUUUUGAGUCAUUUAGCCCAUUUGUAGUAAAUAUUUUAUGUUCUCUUGUUUUGAGUUUAGGAAUAUUUUCUAAACUUUUUAUGAGUGCCUUUUGGCCUAGGAACCACUUUUCUACGGCUUUUGUAUAUCUUCUUCAUAGUGAAAGAUUUGCUCCUCCUUGCCUGGAUUAGGUUAAUUGACCGAAUCACGUAAAUUUCUGUGUCUUUUAUUUUUUUUGUUAUUUGUAUUUAUUGGGUUGCCACAACCCUUUUAUAUGGUCAGUUUUACAGCCUAAAUAUUAUAUGGUCGAUUUUACCGCCUAAACAUUAUAUGGUCGGUUAUACCGCCUACUUUGUUAACUUCAGUUUGUUUAUUUCUGGACCAUCCUAACACUUACACCCUCAUCAAAGUUUCUGGAGUUGCGUAUUAUAGGGGUGCAAACACAAAAACGAGACAUUCUUAAUCAAUGGAGUUCCUUCUUUUUGCGAUUCAUUCCUCUGCAAACCUCCUCCUCCUCCGAUUUUAAUAUAUGCCACUGUUAAAAUAGGAUACUUUUGUGGGUUUAAGAUUAGAUCGAGACGAACUCUUUUGUGCAAAACAUUUGCCCCAGGCAUCGUUACUACAGAGUAUGUGAUCCAAUUACCAAUGUAAGGUCACAAUGUUAGAGAUGUGAAAUUAUAUUGCAAUGGUCCCUAAAAUCCAACUUGAUCAUAGGAAUACUAAUUAGGUGAAUACGAGGACUCUGAUUCGACUCUCGAUCUUUCCUCUCAAAUUACAGUAAUAUUUUUAAUCAUACACUCAUCCCCUUACUAACUUCCUAUGGGCCCAAUAUGUUGAGUAGAAUUCGAUUGGAACAACCGAAAAAAAAGAAAAGAAAACAAAUACAAAACAAUGAAAUAGACACUUAGUCAAGUUGGAAGCUAUGAGGAAGUGAGGAGCACAAGUGCGAACAGAUCACCAAGGAAAAAGAAACAAUUUUUUCGAGAAUGCAAUUUGAUUUCAAGCUCAAUCAUAUUCUAAGAGUCAAUGAUAAGAUAGAAAAAAUGUAGGUCCAUUGUUAAGAUAUAGACGGAGAUGGUUGCUUAUUGAGCGUUGGAAAUAUUUCAUAUGCAAGUUGUAAUUAUAUCUCAACUUGUAUAAUUUUAAUUUAAUGAAAGUUAAUGACCAUGUCAAUGAUUAUGCGUCAUGCAUGACAUUCUUUUUUCUUGUACUCUCCUGAAAAGUCUCCUCCUCCUCCACCAGUGGCUGCAUGUCUGUACAUGUUCCCCACAACAAGAAUAAUGAAUCAAUUGCCAUAAUUGCACGCAUUUAAAUUUUCUGAGCUGGUGAUAAAUUGCAUAGUUUUGAUUUUUUUCUAUUUCCGGUUCCCACUCUAGCUACUUCUAGAUUUAUUAAUUGGAAAAAAAAAGAAGAGGAAUAAAUUAAACCUUAUUUAAUUACUUUUUUAGUCAGGAUAUCUAUAGUAGAUGUAAUUAUCUCUAUAGAAAUGAAUGAAGCAUCCUAGCUUGUGAUCAUUAUCCUCUGUUGCAAUUCUCUUGUUCAAACUUCAAGUUAAGGUUUGUUUGCUAAUUUAAUGGAUUCAGAACUUAAAUUUAAUGGAUUCAGAUCUUAACAUGUUCAAAUGCUUUUGAUAACCAAAACUUGAAUAUCUGAAUUAAUUAAGUGACACUAAAUUUUCUAGACAAAACUUACUCCUAAAAAUAAGUGAUAAACUAUUUACUUAUCACUUAAUGUGAUAUAUUCAAAUGUAUCAGAUUAGUACAUAACAAUUUAAUAACUUAAUGAAUUCAGACUUCAGAUUUCAGAUUUCAGUUUUAUCAAACGCAUCUUAACUCAGUGCAAACUGAAUAUGAAAUCCAAAGUUGAAAAUCCAAGAGGUUAGAACUUUGAAACCAUAGAGCCUCUAGGCAAAUUCAGCAUUUUUACAUUCUACUGAUUUACGGCAUCUUCAAUUAUCAGUUUCAACUCCAUGGUAUAAUAUAGAUAUUACCUCUAAUAGUUUACACACUUACGCAACAAAUAUAGAUUGUGAAAUUAAUUGUAUAAGUUUGAUAUUUUGUAGGUUUUGGGAUAUAAUUUUCACGUUUAGGAAAAAGAAAAUAUGUUAGUAAGUAAUAAUGUGAUACCCCUUGUCCCACGUUGGAAGUGGGAGAGGAAAAGGAUUGAUAUAUAUACAAGAUUUGGUCGCAUAAGUUACUAGUUACUUGGGCUAACCAUGUCGGGAAAGUGUAUUUCGACAAAAAAUUACUUAGGCCAACCAUGGGCUUGGAUGGUGAUAAAUAACUUACUAGAAGCCAGGCAUAUUUAUGUUUAGAUGUCCUAAAAGCAGAGUAGUUCAUAAUCUAGAUAAUGGUAACGAUAUGAUGAGAAUGUGAAGUUAUUUGGUAAACUUUAUAGAUUAAUAAUUUCAUCAAAGCAUCAUAUACAAGCAUGAUGACACAAUCUCAACUUUCAUUCUUUUGUUAAAUCUUAGUUUUUUUCUCUUAAAUUUUUUCGAAUAAAGGAAGGAUGGAAUUUAAGCAGUAGAGGGUGGAAGGGGAUUUUGAAUUCAAAAUCUCUAAUUUCUAAGUUUUUCCCUAAGCAAUCGUCAAAAUAAAAAAAAAAUUUAAAAGAAAAAAAAUGAGCACCUCAUGGUCAAUGCUCCUGUUCGAAGAUUUAUUCCUUUGGUUUGUCAUCAUCUCCCUCUAUGAAAUCUAAGUACCCUUGGUUGACAAUUUGUUUCCCUGAGCAUCCAUCAACACUUUUAUAUAGUAUUUUUUUUAAUAUAGUAUUAGAUUAGAUUAGAUUAGAUUAUCAAUGCACCAUCAAUAUAGUAUUAGAUUAUCAAUGCACCAUCAAAACACUUUUAUAUAGUAUUAGAUUAGAUUAGAUUAUCAAUGCACCAUCAAUAUCCUUAAAUAUAAAAGCUUAAGUAUAGUAAUCAAAAUACUGUUAGUAAUCUGUACGAUUAUUUUUUAUCCUUUAAUGUUUUAGUUUUAGGAAGAUCACAAAUGCUGCGUAUAAAGCAUGCCAUAGGCUAAAUUAAGCUAAAUUAAGUACACUGCUAAAAUGGAGAGCAUUGCUAAAUUAAGUACCUUAAGAUAAAGACAUAAGCAGCCAGAUCCAUUUGAUGUCAGCUGCUUCAAUAUCCACCUCAAAAUAAAUUAGCCUUUGUUCUAGAUUUAGCUUAAUGCUAAGUCCCUUCACCAUUCUUAGUAAUAAUUCAAUUCUGCCUCAAUUUUCUUCUGAUCUUCAAGGUAAAUGUACGAUAAAUUUCAAAAUAUAUCCCAAAUAUAUGAAUUUCUUGAAACCAUCCUUGAAUCUCAUUACCUACUCAACAAAAUGUUCCAUAAACAUAAAGAAUUGACGAGAACAACAGGGCUCCUUAGAUUUAACAAUUUCAAAUAAGCCCAAGCUAGAAUUUUUCAUAUAUUCAAACAAGAAAUUGGAAAAAUCUGACUAAGCAAUACUGAAUUGUAUCGAAAACCUACUUGCAUCUAUGAAUAAGCAAUACUGAGUGAUGAUAUUUUUAAGGGCAGUCCAAUUCACUCAAUACAAAAAUAUUUUUAAAUGAUGAUAUUCACAGGAACGUCUAUCUUACUUAAACAAACAAUAAAAAGGAGAUUGAUUGAGAAAUGGCCACAUUAUCUUAUCAUUCUUAAUUAUCAUUAGUUCAAUUAUCAACUUUAGCAGUCGAGAAAGGCUGCAACUUGUACCCCUCUUACUUUAUCAUUCUUUAGGGCCCAAUUCUUUAUUCCUGCGUCCGGAGACUUGAGACGUGACGCUUCAUAGUGUUGGACGACUAUUCUUAGCUCGUUCAAGGAAACAGUGAGGAGACGCUCUUGCACAGCUACUUAAACUAUUGGAUAAUUUCAUAGACCUUUCCUGAAGUUUUGGACAAUUUCAGCUAGUACCCCUCUUAUUUUCAAUAUUACGCUGACCACUCUUACUUUAACCAGUGUUGUGACCAAUUCAGCCCAUAUAUGUAAAAGAAAUGGAAUAAAUUGACAAGAAAUGGUGUCAUCACAUUUUAUUCCAUAUUUUCCCUUGGACCCUAAAACUUCACUUUGUCCCUCCGAAGUUGAAUCACUUUUCUAUUCUAUACACUGAACUUCAAUUUUGGAUGCUUUGCAUGUGGUUGGAGGCAAAAGCAUGGCAGAGCCCUUUUUGAGUCUCUGAUCUUUAUUAUCACAUGAUCAUUGCUAAUUAUACUAUUGCUUUUGAAUGGAAAUAGCAUAAAAGUCUUAGUGAAUGAACAAAUUGAAUAGACCAUUUCGCAGAGCAGUGAAAUAUUCCAAAGCGUGAAGCACAGUGAUAAGCUACAAAUUAUAGUGGUUUUAUAUUAUUGUCAAUGAAUGGUUGUAUUUGAGCUAAUUUUGAAUGGAUGUUGCCUAAUUUAAGUAUAUGUUGGUUUUUGUGGGAAAAGCACGCGAUUGAGGAGGAAAUGAAUCGAAAACGCAACAAAAGGGGAAGAAUGCCAAGACACAAGGAUCCGUGGGUGGAUCCUAUGUCCAACGCCAAACAUUGAAAGGGACUUUGCGAGGACUUCUUCUAGUUCUAAUGAUUGGAAAACCCACUCAAACUCGAUUUUUGGUAAGUUUUCAAGACCCAUUCUUACCAUAUUUCGGAUACAACUUUGAGAGACUAUAAAUAGGAUAUUCUAGGAUGUUUUUAGAUUAGAAAGCAUUUGGCUAACGUUAGUUCAUCAUUUUUAUACCUUCUUUUCUUGAGAGAUCACAAUGGAAGUGUUGAAGAAUCAAAGGAAGUUCAAGAUGGAGAUUGAAGCGGGGAAAAAUUGAGAAGUUUUCUUACUUUUAACUUCUUAUUUUGUCUUUCAUUUGAAUUCUUGGAUUUAUCUAUGAAUAUGUUGAACUCAUUUAUAUCUAAAGUUAGGAUUUUGUGAAGGAGAUUUAAUUAGAUAAAUUAUUCGCUUUUGCUUAGAUUUAUUUAUCUUGCCUUUAUUACAUGUUUAUGUUUUGCCACUAUAGAUAUGCUUUUAGGAUUUGUAUUGAGUUAAGAAGUGAUGUACAACCGUACAUUAGAUAGAUAAACAUACUUAAUAUAAUCAUGAAAGUGGGUUAAACAUUGUAUGGCAUAAUUAUAUCACCUAAUAUUGUAAAGGAUUUAAUUAUAUACUUAUGAUCUCGAGAGCAACGUGAGAUUUCAUUAGACAAAUUUAGAAGUAUCGAGAGAUAAUCUAAAGUACUUUUCUGUGAUACAUCUUUGACUUGUUAAGAAAAUAAUUGGAUAUAUAAUUCCAAUUCUAAAUCAAAAUUUAAAACUCUAGUCUUUUGCUAAUUGUUUUCUCACCUAUAUCUUGUUUGAUUUGAUUAUUUAUUUAAUUUCUUAAUUAGUGAUUAAAAACCCUCUGAAUUUAAAUUUUGUUAUUUUUAUUAGAGGAAUUAAAGUAGGAAAAAUUAACUCACUCCUGCAGGUUCGACCCCUGGAGUACUCCAAGCAAAUUAUUAUUACGAUCGACCUUGUACAGUUAUAGAAAUUCAUCGAUCACACAGCAACAAAAAAAAUUAAUGCACAAUAAUGUCAUGAGCAGAAACAGUUCCCAUCUUAGUUGUUCAACAUUCACGGUGGAUUUCAAUUAGUGGUCAACAGAUAAAGGCAUCGAAAAAAGUAAUCUAACUAGAUAAGUGAAUUUAUAUUGUACAACAUAUUUCUUUUUUCUACCGCAAAAACUUAACUAAUUUAAGACAAUGUAGUCCAAGAUAAUUGAAGAUUAAUUUUCCCUAAAAAAUGUUCAUGAUAAAAACUCAACAAAGAGAUAAUACAACAGCUUACUUUUGGAGGUGAUCUUAUACGGUCUUUAUUAACAAACUAAUUAGCCACUUAAGCCUUUUUUUUCCUUUUGGGACUACGCAUGACAAAAUGAGGAGUGAAUCAGUCGCUUAGUAUCUAAAAUUUUCCCUCCAUAUAAUUAGUUCAACCUGAUUUAAGACUAAAUUUUUACUAUAGGAAUGUUCGUGAUUCAACAAUGAAACACCAUAGAAACUUAUUUUGGGAGAUUGUCCUAGAAGGUAAAAAAUGAGCAACCAAUCAGAAAGUCGUACUCACAUAUCAAAAUCCAUUCAGUCUAAUUAAUUCACCAGCUAUGUAUAUUCAUCCAUUUUCACAUUAUAGAAAGAACAAUAAUGCAUGGCAUUAUCCAUCAUAAAUUGCUCAUAUAACAUCAAGAUAUUCAUGGUGUGGACCUCAAAUGACUCGUCAUGUCUACUGGCUACAUUUAAACAUAUCUUAUGGCCAGAAUGUUCAUCUUAUCAACUUGACGAGUUUAUUCAUGGUACCAUACCAUUAAAUUAAAAAAUUUUCCACCUUUUACCUUUCAUAGAUAUCAGGAAUAUAGCUAAUAACGCACUUUUGGCAGCAAUAUUCCUUCAACCAAUUAAAGAUUUUCGGAGCUUAAAGUUCAGCUCCUAAAGCUCUUCUCCAAGUCUCACCAACAACAGAGAAAUUACUUUUAGCAAAGUUGUUAAAUUUUGGCACCAGGUUUUGAUGGUAUCUUGGUAAGAUUGGAAGAUUAUAUUGCGCUUCUAAGAUAAUUUUUAAAAAAAUAUUUUAGUGAGAGCAUUAUGGUCAAUUUGCCCCUAAUGAUAUUGACAUUAGGUCCCAUCAACAUCAAAGGGAGCUCAUUGUAUUAUUGGAUAUAACAAGGGUGCGAGUGAAAUUAUGAAAACCCUCAAGGGAGGUUUUUGAAAUUAACCCUAAAAUACUCAUUCCACGCAAGGCGUGGCGUUCCCCUCCUAGUUCCUAUAAAUAGGGCACCAACUCAAUGCACUUGUCACUCGAUAUCAAUAAUUUAGCACAUUAUUUACAUUUUGAGUGAGAUUGUGAUAAAAUGGCAUCUUCAAAAAAUUUGCUCUUUCUUAUUGGCGUUCUCUUUGCACUUGUGCUCCUCAUUUCCUCUGAUGCAACAGCUGCAGGUACCUAGUCUUUUUUUUUUUUUUUUCCUUUCAUCCUUUUUUUUUUUUUGGCUGCACCUAAAUUUUAAAUGAAUGGAGAUUUGGAGACUCAUUAUUGGGAUGUGAAUUUUUAUGGAAGGCUAUUUGUAUAUUAUCAAGCAAGUCAUAUUAAUGUGCUAAUAUCCUUUUCAUUGUUUAGCAAAAGUAAAAUUGGGUUGCUUCUAUCAAUGGUUAGUGGCACAUCUGAUUUUUCAUGCAUCCUUAUAGUAUUGCUGUAAGGAUACACGUUCCAUAGUGUCGCACCAAAGGUUAAACUAACGUCGAAACCAAAUUAAAUGCUUCUAAUUAUAAUUUAAAGCAAAAUAAUUCAUAUCCAAGUCGCACCAUCUUAUAUGCCUGGACUGUUUUGUUUAAUCCAUAGUAUUAUUUUCUUUGCAUAUAUCUUGCAAAUUUUCAGCCUAGCCGGUCACCUAACGUUCGCAGCUUAAGAUAAAGCUCCAAAUAUUUAUGUCUCCUUGUGUCUUGAAACAGAUCAGAAAAGCGUGAAAACCACUGGUGUCCACGAUUCCAGUUCAGGCGAAGAUCGUUGCACAUAUGGUUGCUGCCACUGGUACAAUGGAUAUUGCCAAAGAUGCUGUCCACCUGCUGAGGAGACUUGCAGACAUGGUUGCUGCUACUGGUACAAUGGACAUUGCCAAAGAUGCUGUUAACCUACUGAAGCUACAUCGGAGAUGAGGUCAAAAAUUAAUGCUAAAUAAAUAAGGGUGUGAGACAGGAUCCGUGACACCUAUAUUAUUACCUUAAUAUGUUAUGUUGUGUUUUGCGUUUGAUGGUUUUUCCUAUAUGUGUAAAAGACUUGUGCGGCUUCUCUUUGAAUUGGUGUAGAAUCAACAGGGGAAGCAUGUAAUGAGUACUCAGUUCGAGUGCUCUUCUUAUGUUGUUGUCAUGUUGAAUAAAUAAAUCUACGUGAUCAUCUACUACAAUUGAUGAUCUCUAUCUCAGUUACGUCAGAAACUUCUGUACCUUGGACCUGCUAGAAUUUAGCGUGAUUGAUAUAAGACGUGCAGAAUGUUCAAUAUAUGUAUAUAUGUGCUUCUUCAUCGUGCCAUGCCAUUACAAUGUGAAAGAAUUCAGCAUCGACGGAGUGAAACGUACCCAAUCCUGCUCCUGAGAAAGGAAACAAAGUCCCUCAAAAAUGGAUAUUUUGGAUGCCAUCAAGAUUUUGAAUUGAAUGCCAUUUGGAGAUCUGAAUGUUGUUUUUUUUCCCCUUUAUCUUCGUUCAAGAUUUUUUUUUGGUGGAAAUGCUUCAUUUAUACGAAAUUUCCUAGUUAGUAAAGGCUUCUAUUACACUUGUACAAUACACAUUUAAAAGUAUAACACAAUAAAAGCUUGUGUAGUUCAUAUAUUUAAAAAAUAUUCAUACUUUUCAACUAAACUAUAAAAAUACGUAAUAAAUUCUUGAUACGUUAUACUUUACGAACUAUACUUUAAAUUUUAAAAAUAUUUAAUACUAUCACUUAUUAAUAACUCCACAUGUUAAUUUGUCUCCCAAUUUAAUAAAUUAUAGUAGCUAAUUCUCAAAGCUAACCGACACCAAAAUUCCCUUACUUGUUCACCUCCUAAUGGAUUAUUAUUACUCCCUCCGUCCUACUUUGAUAGUCUUGUUUUCCUUUUUUGUCUGUCCCAAAUUAUAGUCCACUUUCCCAUUAAAAAAUGUAGUAAUCUUUCAAAUUGUCUAAAAUACCCUUAUUAAAUAUCUUGUGAUUAAUACAUUGUUAUUAAAUACUAACCCACUACAUUGAAUACAUUGAGCUUUUCCAAUACUAACCCAUUAGUUGUAAUUGAUAUUAAUUGGCACUCUUCGUGAUUAGCAUAAGGGUAUUUUAGGAAAUUAUUAAUCUAAAUUUAUGUUUCCAACCAAAUUAAUUACACUUUCUUAAUCUGUGUGAAAAAAAAAAUCAAGACUAACAAAACGGGACGGAGGGAGUAAUUACAUUGCAUUUAUUUCGUAAGCAUGAGUUUUGUAACCCCUCAUAUUAAAUCUCAAUGAUUGAUUUUAACGGUUACCAAGGUGUCUAGUAAUUGGUUUGCUAUUAAUUUGAACUAGACAUUUAUUAGGUCUAGUCGAAUUUAUUCCUUCUUAUCACUUAGUUCAUAAACCUUAUGAAUCGUUAAAACCAGCUCUAACAUUAGGUAACAAGACUUCUACAAUUUCGGGUUUUGCUUAGAAAUCAGUCUGAUAGUUUAACUUGCUUCGUCCAAGUUUAUGAGUUGCUUUUUUUUUUUUUCCAUAUUUGACAUUUCAUCUGACUUUAAUAUGGGGACCAAGUUAGUAUUGUUGACAUUUCAUAUCUAAGACUUCUUAAUUAAUUGAUUUGGUAUAAGAACUAUAACGUAUGCGUGUUUUGUAAGCUUUCAUGUUUUUUUUUUUUUUAAUUCUUGUGGACCAGCAACGGAUAGUUUCUUCUAGUACCAAGCUUCCUUUGAAGUUUUUUUUUUUUUUUUGCGUGUCCAAAUGUAAAUUAAAAGAACCCAUCAACUUUGAACAAGUCUAUAUCUAGUAAAGAUAGAUAUAAAGAGGGAUACUAUAUCACUACAACGAAAAAGGGAUUUCGCGAGGAGCAAAAGUCCACGCCAAAAGUUUUGACUUCCUUGCUAAUUAAUUUCAACGAGAAAAAUGCUUCCUCGCCAAAUUUCUUGCUAGAUGCUCGUCGCUAAAAGUUAUUAGCGAGGAUGCUGCUGCUUUUCUCGCUAAUGAAACAGAUCAAUAGCAAGGGUUGACCUCCUCGCUAAUAGCUCAAAUACUAUGGCAAGAAAAGCUUUCCUCACCAACUAAAGUUAAAAACUCCCCACAAAAACCAGUAGUUCCUUGCAAAUAGUCAAGGUGUUUUGCUAGGAAAAUAGCGCAUCCUCACCAAUAGUAUAGAAUUAGCAAGGACCCGUGUACCAGUAAAACAUUUUUGGCCAGGAAAGUAUCCUCUCUAAUAAGCGAUAAUUGAUUAUUGCCUAACUGUUUGGUGGGAAAAUGUUCCUCUCCAAUGCUGUUAUGAACAUUUCUUAAUCCCAUUUUAGCAUGCUAAUCUUAAUUCUCUAAGCAAAGUACUGGGUGGUUUUAUUAGAAAAUUUAGCUGCAAAUAGCUUCAAUUUGGCUUCUCAUGUGUCUGCUGUACAUUUUCCAGGUUCUUGUAAGUAUCAAAUUGUUUGGCAAAAAAAAUUUUUUUAAUGAAUCAUGACCAACGUAGCUGCUCGUUAAAUUUAAACUCAUAAUCCCUGGUAUUUGAUAGGUUUUUGGAAUAUCACUUGGUGCCAACAACCCCUUUUGCUACUUUGAUAAACAUUCAAUAGAAAACAUACAAAAGCUUUGGUUAGCUAAAAAUAAUUGCUACCACAGUAAUACAUCAACAUCCAGCUCUUUCAACAUCUUGAGCCAUACAAUAGGAAGUGCUUGAAAUCAAUUGGCAAUCCAAAUUCUUUUUAGCUCAUUAACUAUCCUAGAAAUCGCAACUUCAGUAAGUCAUUACAGAAGAAGAUUUCAUCGAGAGAACACCACAAAAAGGAGAAGCAGAAAAAAAAAUAUAACAGAGAGAGAGAGAGAGUUAAACUAGUCAUAUGGACACAUAUUUGUCACCUCAGUAUUUCCGAUUCCUUAAUUAAGUCCAGUUAUCUUGGAACUCUAUCGGCAAUCCAUGGAACAUUUUUUGAAUGACAAUAUGCUGUUGCAACCUUUUGAUGAAGACUUCAAAGGUUCUAUGAUAAGGUUGCAUUUUUGUCAUUAAUUCUAUGAUUAUUUUCCUCGUUUAUAUUACCAAAUAUUGUAUUAAUUGAUUGAUUCUACUUAUAUUUGAUACUUUGUGUCAAUUGUAGGAAGGUGGAGCAAAAAGUAAUAAAAGAGAUGAUUUUCAAGAGUUUUCCAAUUCAAGAUGGAGUUUACGUGGAGUAUUGGAUGAAAAUUAGGAAACUACAACUUUUUAUUAGAUGUCUUAUUAGGGAACAAUUAGCAUUAGUUGGAGAAGUUUCCUUUUGCAAUUAGAAUUCUAUUUUUAGUUGGCCAAUGGAUGGCCGAAGUAGUAGACUUCGAUUAGGAAACAAAGAGAAAAAAAAAAGAUGGCCGCUGGUCUCUUCUUUAGUGAGUCUUUAGGGAAAAACCAAUGGUUAUUGAUGGAGUCAUGCGGAUAUCCCCUGAGGAUGUGAAGCUAAAUCUCCGUUUUCUGGUCGAAUGUCAAUCUGAGAACUCGGUUCCAAACAUCUGUGAGAUCAAAUUAUUUUACUUAUUUCUUUUAUUCAUUGGUAUUUGUGCAUUUUCUGAUUUAACUUCUUAUGCUUGUUAUGUUAUUUGAAUGUCAAGGGACCGAUAUUCGAAUUAACCUAAUAAUCUACUGCCAGAUUAAUUGAGUGAAUCCGUAAUUGUUCAAUUGGUUUCAUGUUAGGGAAAUGUAUGAUUUAACUUAAACAAACCCUCGUAGUGUGUUUGUUAGUUUGAUUGAGUUUUUCUAAUUCUUAUUGCAAUCAAGAAAUUAAAUCCUACAGUCGUACCUAGGGUUAUUUCUUGGUUAGAAAAAUAGUUAAUGGUCGUACCUUGACUAUCGAAAAAGUAAGGAAAUGUUGGUUAUUUAUCGCGUAUAUAACAACUAUAACCAAUCUAUUAAUUAGUAAUUAAAUUAUCUUUGCAUCGAUGAUUAAUUGAAUUGACCGUGCCUGAAAAGUUACACCUUUAACUAGAGUUGUAUUGGUUAUUGAUUAAUUCCUAUUUAUUUCUAUUAGUUGUUUCAUUAGUUGGUUAAUUAGUUAUUUUAUAUUUUCCAAUAACCCCCCAUACUUCGGACUCUGGAAGAAAUGAAUUAUCCCCAAUCCCUAUGGAUGCGACCCUACUCACCGUAGGGGCGGGCAAAAAAACCCGCCGAUCCGAAAACCCGAUGAACCCGAUCCGAUCCGAUCCGAAAAAUAGGAUACCCGAUCCGAUUUUCUUAGCGGGGCAGAUGAGGGUCGGGUACUCGAAAAAUCGGGUACGGAUACGGAUCAGAAAAAUAAAAAUCCGCGGGUACCGACCGGCAGGGUAUAUUUUAUAAAUAUUAAAAAAGUAGGGAUCAUUUUAUAAUUUUGUAAUUUUUAAUUCUAAGUGCAAGUGAAGUGGCUCGCAGCCUCAUAUUUUAAUCCUAUAUGAUCUACUCUUCUCAUUUUUUUUUUAAGAAAGUGAAUAUUCUCGGUGAAACAUGAACAAAAUGAAAAAAAAAAUUUGUGAAACUCUGUUAUAAAAAUUGUCCAUCCCUUUCAUCUUUUUUAUUUUUAUUCUACCUCCAUCGAUCUUUCCUGCAAAUCUUGCAUCAAUUCAAUCAAAGAUUUUUGUUUCGAGUCUCAAUUUUCUGUUAGCUAGAUAAUUAAAAUAUUUGUGUCAUUCAUUUGCAAUUAUAUCUCUUAAAUUUGUCUCUUUUAUUUAGUGUAAGAAAUUUAUUUUUCUUUUUCAUCACCUUAAUACCAUAAGGUCUAUUCCAAAGAUGUAAAGAAGUUGGGAAGAUUUUUAACAUUAUUUUGGUUAUAUUUUUUUCAAAAAUAAUUAGUUCUAUUCAAUUAUUUUCCGAACUUGAUUUCACAAUUGACUUAUUUGAGAUGCGGUCUUGUACCAUAAUAUCCUUGGGGAAGUUACCAAAUACUUAUUAUCCUUGUGUUUGUUGUGUUGUAGAAGUAUGAAAUGUGUGAAAAUGGUGAUGUACUCAAAAUUAUUAUGAAACUUCGUUUUGUCCAUUAGAUAUUCUAAUAUGUACUAAAUUUAUGAGAUCGAUUUGAUUAUUGGAUGAAAUGUGUGAAAAUGGUGAUGUAUGGACUUUAAUUACAAUAUCUCUACCAAUAUUAAUUGGAAAAGCAUGUUUUUUUUAUUGAAAAACGUGUUGAUAUUAAGUAGAAAAUACAUUUUUUUAUUGAAAAAUAGUUUUUUUUAGGGGCGGGUACCCUAUGACCCGCCCCUUUUUUCGGGUACCCGCUAUUCGGGUACCCGAAAAUAUUAGGAGGCGGGUUAAGGUCGCAAAAUGGCUGAUCCGAUAUAUUAGGGUCGGGUCAGCCAAAUCAUGUUAGGGGCGGGUACCCGACCCGUGCCCACCCCUAACUCACCGCUAUAUACAAAUUUGUAUUUGUCUUGAAUAGGUAAUUAUUAUUGCACAGAUUCGACACCUGUCAUUCUAUAACUGAAUACAGAGUCAUCUUUUCAAAGAUUUCCCAUGCUGCAAAAUGUACUCUACGAGCUUUAUUUCAUCUUCUCCCCUAUAAAUUUGCUGAUUCCAAUCUGCCUAAGAUGUUCAACAAAGCGUAUUGGGAAAACUGUUUGAAAAGUAGAUUCCAAGUCCUUGUAUAUGCAAAGUCCUCCUUACACAACUUUACAUAUUGAGAAGAUCAAAAAUUGCAGAACAUAAUAAUACUUGAAAUUAGUGAGAAUAUAUCCAAAAGAAACAAAAUAUUAAUACCUGAAAUCAGGUUUUACAAUCAGUGCACAAAAAGCACCUAAACCCAAAUGGCCCAUGUUGGAAUAGACCAAGUUUAGUUCAACUGCAGAAAUUCCUAGUACAAUGGAACUGCAACUUCAACUUCAGUAAAUUGCAAGCUGGUAUUAUGAUUCUAUGAAUCCUGAAAUCUCCCCCAAGUCCUCUUGCCUCCAACACUAAGUAUGUACACAGACGCUGACCUGUUCUAUACACUAGGAAAAUUCAGAUCAGACGGCAUUCAAUAGAACUGCCUUGAUUUGGCUCCAUAUCAGCACUACUGCUCUUUAAAUCUAACUUGAUUAAGCUGCACAAAAAGGGAAGAUUACAUUAGAUGGAGAAAUUUUACUGAUUGCAUAUGAAAUAGGGGCUAAAACCAACUAGGAAAAGCAGAGAAGUUAACCUCAACCGACCAGGAAACAAGAUGCAAAAGUCAGAGGUUGUUAGCUUAAACCUCAACCAAACGAAAAAUGCAAUCUUUGAUAUUAAACACAUAACCCACAUAAGUUAGCUUCACAGUCCAGAAGGAUGGUUGGAACUCAAUUUUCCUAAAAUUGUGAGGAAAAUAAUGCAAUCUUAGAAUCUAACACAAAUAAUGGUAAUAAAAACACACAAGAAGGGUAUGAAGACUUACAAAAUGGCACCAAAAUAUAGAUCUAACAGUAUUUGAAGCAAAUGGAUGAAGCAUUGAAGUUGUUCUAAGAUUUUUUGACAGCAAUAAAACCUAAGCUCCUUCACGUUUAGCAAUUCAUAGGAGAUAGAUAGGAGGCGGGUCUUCUUUUUUAGCAAUUCCUCAGAGGUCUCCUUCCCGUUUAGCAAUUCCCGCAUCUGUUCUUCUAUUUUUGGACUAAAAACCACCAAUGUUGGCCUUUGAGAGAAGAACAGAUGCGUGCUUCUCAAUUGACAGAGACAAGAGAGGACCAGCCUUUCUAUGUAUAUAUCCCUCAGCCUCUAACAAUCCUUUGAAUUUUGAUGGACGUUGCGGGAAAAAUAAAAUUCUUGGAGGGAUAAAACGCGCGUCCUAAAUUCUGAUUUAAGUGUUGUAGUUAAAAGUUUCUAAGAAUUGGAGUAUAUUAUAUAAUAUAUAGAAUGAAUAUUGAGUAUUAGAAGUAUAUAAUUCGAAAGAAAUCAUGUAUGAGAAAAUGAAACUAAUGAAAAUAUUCAUGUGCAAUCAAUAUAAUAAAUUGUCAUAUUUAUAAUUUUUAAGUUUGCAAUCCAUAAAUAUAGUAACAAAUAAUGUAAUUCAUGUGCAAUCAAUAUAAUUAUAUUGUUAAUUAAGGUUAUAAUUGUGCUAUAUAAAGUAUUUGGGACAAUUUGAAAAAUAUCUAGAAAUUUGGGACUACUUAUAAUAUAUUCAAAAUGUAUUUUGAUUAAACUAGACAACUUGUUCUUUCUUGUUGGAAAUCGAAAUUCAAUUAUGGAACAAUAUACAUGGAAAAGUUGACCUUAUAUGUGUAUAAAUCAUCUUAUUAAUAAAAUAGUUAAACACAGUACAUUUAGUUAACUAUGAUUUAGUGAUUGAUUAUUACAUCAUUUUUUAUAUAAUACGAUAAUUAAAUAUUACAUAUAUAAUAAAAUGUUUCAAAUAUAUUUUAAUUGAUAGAAAAAAUGGUAUACAUACAAUAAAAAAAUAAUUAAAGAAAAUUUUGAGAGUAGAAUUUUGUGCUAAAAAACAUGUAUUUUGGGUUCAAAUUUAUAACCCACCACUUAUCCACUUAGAAUUAGCAAAAGUAUUAAUUCAUUUCUAAAGACUCUAAACCAAACUAAUUUAUUAUAAUAAAGACACAAAACACUAGCUCCAUGUGAUAACCUAUAGCAAAGAUCAUCUAUUCACUUUAGAUAAAUAUAUGAGUCAAAUUUAAAGAUUCAUCAAAUUUUCUAGGUUUUAAAAUUGGGGUGAUUUAUUUACAUGGAUUUAAAGCUGUCUAAAUAUAGUUUACUAUGCAAUAAACGACACUCAAUUUCGAGUUUUCUACACAAAGAUAUGGCCAAAAUACAAAAUUGUUACUUAAUUUUUUGAAAAAUAGUAGGGUCGUAGGAUCGUAUGAUCUGGAUCACGAUCCUAUUGAUCUUGUUAAUUUAAUGCUAAUUUUUUAUCCUACUUACAAUUUGGAUCGUUAGCCAUGAUCCAUAUCGUAGGAUUGUAGAUCGCGAUUCUAACAACUACGGUUGUAGUUAAAAGUUUCUAAGAAUUGAAGUAUAUUAUAUAAUAUAUAGAAUGAAUAUUGAGUAUUAGAAAUAUAUAAUUUGGAAGAAAUCAUGUAUGAGAAAAAUGCAACUAAUGAAAGUAUUCUCAAUAUACAGUUGAAAAAAUAACUAAGUUUGUUGAAGCUCUAGUCUUUUGCUAAUUGUUUUCUCACCUAUAUCUUAUUUGAUUUGAUUAUUUAUUUAAUUUCUUAAUUAGUGAUUAAAAACCCUCUAAAUUUAAAUUUUAUUAUUUUUAUUAGAGUAAUCAAAGUAGGAAAAAUUAACUCAUUCCUAUAUGUUUGACCGUGGAGUACUCCAAGUGAAUUAUUAUUUCGAUCAACCCUAUACAGUUAUAGAAAUUCAUCGAUCACACAGCAACUAAAAAAAAAAAUUAACGCACAAUAAUGUCAUGAGCACAGUUCCCAUCUUAGUUGUUCAACAUUCACGGUGGAUUUCAAUUAGUGGUAAACAGAUAAAGGCAUCGAAAAAAGUAAUCUAAUUACUAGAUAAUUGAAUUUAUACUACAGCAUAUUUCUUUUUUCUACUGCAAAAACUUAACUAAUUUAAGACAAUGUAGUCCAAGCUAAUUGAAGAUUAAUUUUCCCCAAAAAAUGUUCAUGAUAAAAACUCAGACAAAGAGAUAAUACAACAACUUAUUGGAGGUGAUCUUAUACGGUUUUUAUUAACAAACUAAUUAGCCACUUAAGCCUUUUUUUUUUUUGGGACAGUACAUGACAAAAUGAGGAGUAAAUCAUUCACUUAGCAUCUAAAAUUUUCCCUCCAUAUAAUUAGUUCAACCUGAUUUAAGACUAAAAUUUUUACUAUAGGAAUGUUCGUGAUUCAACAAUGAAACACCAUAUAAACUUAUUUUGGGAGAUUUUUCCUCGAAGACAAAAAAUGAGCAACCAAUCAGAAAGUCAUACUUACAUAUCAAAAUCGAUACAGUCUACUUAAUUCACCAGCUAUGUAUAUUUCAUCCAUUUUCACAUGAUAGAAAGAACAAUAAUGCAUGGCAUUAUCGAUCAUAAAUUGCUCAUAUAAUAUGCGAUCUAUUAUGCAUCUAAGGCUUUGAAUGGAACUUAACUCAAUUAUACGAUCAUAGAAAAUGAGCUUUUAGUAGUUAUUUUUGCCUUAGAAAAAUUUCAUUCUUAUUUAUUAGAAGAUAAGUGAUUGUGUAUUCUGACUAUGCAGCGCUACGGUACUUAAUGACUAAGAAGGAUGCUAAACCAAGAUUGAUAAGAUGGAUUUUGCUUCUAUAUGAGUUCAAUUUGAAAAUUCGUGAUAAAAAGGGAGAAGAGAAUUUAGUUGCCGAUCAUUUGAGUCGAUUGUCGAUUGUCAAGGAUGAUUUUAUAUUGAGGAAAACUUUUCCUAAUGAGCAACUAUUUUCUGUUAAUCCCUCUCUUCCUUGGUAUGCGGAUAUUAUUCAUUUCUUGACCACUAAUCAAUUGCUUGCACAUUGGUAAAAAACAAAAUGAGAUAAGCUCAGAUGUGAUGCUAAGUAUUACUUAUGGGAUGACCCCUAUUUAUAGUGGCAAUGUGCAGAUCAAGUACUGCGCAGAUGUGUAAGUAGAGUGAAUUUAAUUCUAUUUUACUAUUUUAUCACUCUUAUGCAUGUGGACGCCAUUUUAGACCACAAAGAACAGUUCGUAAAGUAUUGGAAAGCGAUUUUUAUUGGCCCACAAUUUUCAAAGAUACAUACUUGUUUCGUAAGUCAUGUAAUAGAUGUCAAAGGUAGGAAAUAUUUGUCAUAAAAAUUAGAUACUAAAAACCCUUAUGAUUUUUUUGUGAAAUUAUUGAUACAUGGGAUAUUAAUUUUAUGGGUCCAUCUCCUUCAUCUUUUGGUUUCCUUUACAUCUUGUUGGCCGUAGAUUAUGUGUCCAAGUAGAUAAAAACAAAAGCCACCCAAGCUUAUGAUUCUAUAGUGGUUACAGAUUUCAUUCAAUCACAUAUUUUUGUUCAUUUUGGGGUACCACGAAUUAUAGUAAGUGAUCGAGAAAAACACUUUUGCAAUAAAAUGAUGGCGGCUGUAUUUCGUAAAUAUGGAGUGACUCAUAAGGUAUUUACAUCCUAUCACCUCCAAACAAAUGGUCAAGCAGAGAUUUCGAAUAGGGAAAUUAAAUAUAUAUUGGAGAAGAUGGUUCGCUCUGAUAGGAAGGGUUGGAGUUCACGAUUGAACGAUGUACUCUGGAUUUAUAGGACAGUCGAUAAGAGUCCUAUAAGUAUAUCUCCCUAUAGGUUGGUAUUUGUGAAGCCGUGUCAUUUACCGGUUGAGCUCGAGCACAAAGCAUAUUGGGGGAUCAAGAAAUGCAACAUGGAUCUUGAUGAGGCUGGAAUACAUAGAAAACUUCAAUUACAAGAAUUGGAAGAGUUGAGGAAUAAUACUUACAAGAAUGCAACACUAUAUAAAGAGAAGAUUAAGGUUUUUCGUGACCAAUAAGUUGCAAGGAAAUCAUUUGUAGUUGGGCAAAGAGUUCUUCUCUAUCAAUCUCGUCUAAAGCUCUUUCUAGGUAAGUUACUUACGCUCUCGUUGGGCUGGUCCAUUUGUUGUGAUUAAUAUUUUUCACUAUGGCGCAGUGAAAAUUCAGAAUAUGCAAAUAGCUAAGAAAUUUGUGGUUAAUGGUCAUUGUUUUAAACCCUAUUAUGAAAGUGUUUCAAUGGAGAAGGUGGAGAUAAUAAAUCUUGAAGAUCCCACUUAUGCUGCUUGAACAAUAUUCGACCAUGUCUAAUCAAAAACAUUAAAGCAAGACGCUUAUUGGGAGGCAAUCAAAUUUUUUUUUAUUGUUUGUUCACUAAUAUUAUGUGUUUCACUAUGUUUAUCUUAGGUUUUUCAAAUUUGGUAUUUUAAUUUUAAUUUUUAAUGUUUUAUUGGUUAGGUGACUUUCUCCCAACAAGGCGUGCCCACGCCUUAAAGGCAUGUGGUAAUGCACAAAUAUCCAAUUCCAUCAUUAGAAAACUAUGGACCAACAUGACAUGCCCACGUCUUGAGGGUAUGUUGUAACUCGUAAUUAGCCGACUUUAUCAUCAAAAGAGUUUCAACCAAUAAGACGUGCCCGCGUCUUGUCCUAGCAAGGGAAAAAAAACCAAUUGAACCCAAAAGAAUUUUCUUUUCUCUUCUUUUUUUUGCUUUCCUUUUUUUUAUUCUUUCCUUUGCCUUUUCCCUUUUCUAUUUCUUUUCCUUUCCUUCUUUCUUUCUUUCUUCUUUCUUUUUUUCUUUCUUUAUUUCGCUCUUUCAUUUCCUCAACUGCAUGGCCAAAACUCUACAUGUUGCUUGCACGCCGUUCAUCGCCCCACCGUCCAUUGCUGUCGCAAUUCGCUAGUUUGUCUCUACUACCUUUGCUGUAUUCGCUAUUCGUCAAAGCCUGUCACUGGUUUUGCCAUUGCCCAUCUCUAGUUUCGUCGUUGCUCGCUAUUGUGCCAUUCACCGCUGCUUGAACCACCAUGAACGUCCAUCCUCUGCCAGCGACAGCCAUCGCUCCGCACUUUCUCUGUUGUCUUGUUUCUACUGACCCAGUUUUUGGUAUUCUUGUCCUUCUCUUUUAAAUAUUGUUGGGUUGCUACUUCGGAGUUUAUUAGAAUUUCUUUUUGCAGGGUUGAUUUAAUUUGUUGAUUGGGUAUUCCUCGAAUUGUUGGAUUGGCACUACCUGACAUUUGCUUGUUUUCUGAUGAUGACCACUAACUUGCACUACUAUUUUGCAUCCAUGGGGAUUCAAUGCUGAUUGGAGGUUAUAAACUGUGGUGAAAUUGCCGCUACUUACUUGCCAAUUGCUAAUUGUUGAUAUUGAUAGGAGGUAUUGUUCUUACAUUUCUAGUUUUGUUAUUAAAUAGUGUCACAUCUCUUGGCUCUUUACUGUACACUUUGAUUUGAGAUUGCUUGGCUAUCUUUAGUCGUUUGGCAAACAUUAGAGGCUCGUAUUUCGCCAUUGUCUGAAUUGUUGUUUAUAGCUAUUUUUGGAUUUAGUUAUCUAAAUGGCUAAGAAAAAAAAGACCACCAAGGCCAACACCCCUAUGACUAAAACCACUCCCCCAUCCCAACCAACUAUACCCAUGACAGACCCUUCUACCAUCCUUCUUUUUCGGGUAAAUGGGCAUGCUUAGGUAGGGACAAGGGGGUCUAUAUCUCCUCACUGUCCCACUUUGGAGGUAAUUUGGCUCUCACCAAAGCCGUCGAUAAGCAAAGAUACUCUAAUUAUUAUGAGUGGCAAAUUAUUCCUUGUAAAUAUCUUGACCCUCCCAUCAUGGUUUCUUUGAAUAUCUUUGAGAAUAUUGCACAAAUGUUUACUGCCAUAGGCUGGCCUUCUUAUGCCGAAAUACAAUGUCCUACUUUUGUUGAAUUGGUUAGAGAGUUUUACGCCACCUUUGAGUUUGAUCAAUCCAUGGGGUAUUCUGUCACAACCUCGAAUGUGAUUCAAUUUUGAUUGAUGGGUAGGGAGUUUAAGUUCUCCAUUACCAAGUUUAAUUUGGUAAUGUGAUCCCAUUACCUAUGUAAGGUCACAAUGUUAGAGAUGUGAAAUUAUAUUGCAAUGGUCCCUAAAAUCCAACUUGAUCGAUAGGAACACUAAUUAGGUGAAUACGAGGACUCUGAUUCAACUCUCAUUUUUCCUCUCAAAUUACACUAAUAUUUUUAAUCAUACACUCAUCCCCUUACUAACUUCCUAUGGGCCCAAUAUGUUGAGUAGAAUUCGAUUGGAACAACCGAAAGGAAAAGAAAACAAAUACAAAACAAUGAAAUAAACACUUAGUCGAGUUGGAACCUCAGAGGAAGUGAGGAGCACAAGUGCGAACAGAUCACCAAGGAAAAAGAAACAAGUUUUUCGAGAAUGAAAUUUGAUUUUCAAGCUCAAUCAAAUUCUAAGAGUCAAUUGAUAGAUCGAAAAAAAUGUGGAACCAUUGUUAAGAUGUAGAUGGAGAUGGUUGCUUAUUGAGCGUUGGAAGUAUUUCAUAUGCAAGUUGUAAUUAUAUCUCAACUUGUUUUUUUUUUUUGAAAAACAGGUCAUGGAUGCGUCAAACGUACAGUGGUUCAGGCAAACAAUAUCCAAUCAAUCUAUUCAAAGCAACAAAAACAUCCGCUGCUCAUGCGACAGUAUGCACAAAGUGCUAUAUAUCAACCAAAAGGGAAUUUAUUUAUUCAAGAAACAAUGCAUAUUCCUGUAUAUAGUCUUGGCUUUAACGAGUUCAGUCCCUUGUGCUAUUCUUUAUCCAUUCAAGAUAUUGGAGGUUGCCACCGGUUAUGGGCAAGGCGAUCACUUCUGGCACCUCGUAUUCGUGAUUCGCCUUGACAUGCUCUGUCUGAGCAUCCAAAAGUGAUUCCCUAGUCUUAAUUAUUAGCAACUCUUCAGGAUCUGUCUGCACCUCCCCUUUCCACUCAUAAACAGACUCUAUUCUGGAACUCGGUUUACACAGGCUGCAAGCUUUUCUUUAACUAUGCUUUCUGCCAGUUUUUUAUUUGGAACAGUGACAUAGACAACAAUGCUGGGAACAGUUCUGCUGCUUGCUUCCAUCCUUAUCCUAUUUGUACUAUGAACACUACUACCAACUUUUGAUCCAAGAUUGGGAGAAAGUGGAGGAUUGAGCACAACCCGUUUUAGAGGAGGAUUAAAAGAGGGGCAGAGAUUGGAAAGACCGAAGCUUAGGACACAGAAAGUACCUACUAGUGGUAAUCGGCGACGAACUACUGAAGGUGAUACUAAAGAUGAGAGCUUUAAUGCCAUCUAAGAUUGGAAUUUGGUGGGGCUUUAUAGUACACCAACUACUGUUUCCUUAGUGGAUGAUUUAUUCCCAACCGACGAGGUUGGGGGAUGGCUCUCAACUUGUAUAAUUUUAAUUUAAUAAGAUUAAAUUAAUGACCAUGCCAAUGAUUUCUGCGUCAUGCAUGACAUUCUUUUUUCUUGUACUCUCCAAAAGCUGAAAAUUCUCAUCUCAAUCUCCUCCUCAGCGAUGGCUGCAUGUCUGUACAUGUUCCCCCACAACAAGAAUAAUGAAUCAAUUGCCAUAAUUGCACGCAUUUAAAUUUUUUGAGCUGGUGAUAAAUUGCAUAGUUUUGAUUUUUUCUGUUUCCGGUUCCCACUCUAGCUACUUCUAGAUUUAUUAAUUGGGAAAAAAAGAAGAAGGAAUAAAUUAAACCUUAUUUAAUUACUUUUUUAGUUAGGAUAUCUAUAGCGGAUGUAAUUAUCUCUAUAGAAAUGAAUGAAGCAUCCUAGCUUGUGAUCAUUAUCCUCUGUUGCAAUUCUCUUGUUCAAACUUCAAAUUACGGUUUUGUUUGAUAACCUAAUUCAGCACUUAAAUUUAAUAGAUUCAGAUUUUAACAUGUUCAAACACGUUUGAUAACCAAAAUUUGAAUAUUUGAAUAAAUUAAGUGGUACUAAAUUUUCUAGAUAAAACUUGUCCUAAAGACAAGUGAUAAGUUAUUCACUUAUCACUUAAUAUGAUAUAUACUCAAAUGUAUCAGAUUUAAUACAUAACAAUUUAAUAAUUUAAUGAAUUCAAAUUUCAAAUUUUAGAUUUUAAUUUUAUCAAACGCAUCAAUGCGAACUGAAUAUGAAAUCCAAAGUUGAAAAUCCAAGGGGUUAGAACUUUGAAACAAUAGUGCCUCUAGGCAAAUUCAGCAUUUUUACAUUCUACUGAUUUAGGGCAUCUUCAAUUAUCAGUUUCAACUCCAUGGUAAAAUAUAGAUAUUACCUCUAAUAGUUAUACGCACUUACUGACGGGCUUUUGCUAUACGUACAAGUUAAAAAAUCCGAAAUACACCCGUUUCACUGCAAGUAUAGAGGUCAACUAGUAGUUAAUGGUAUAUAUCGGGUUGAUCCCACGAAAAAGAUUGAACAAUUACCGGCACUACUAAAGCUUCUCUAUUAUUUAGACUAUUAAUGAAUUAUAAGAAGUAAAACCUACUGAACUUAUACAAGAAAAUAACAAAUGAAAGCUCCUUAGGUUAUGGUAUUCCCUAAUUACUCAUGCAAAUGUUAUUUUUAGAUCAUUGAGAACUACUAUCUUGGCUAGCUAUGGUGUAAUUUCCUUAUGCAUAUGAAUCCUACUUUCGUAGUGAAUCAAUUAUACUCAUAAUUAAUCCAUACAUAUUCUCAUGGUUAUGAAAUUAGCUACAAGUUCAUUUCUUUUGUGAAAUUAUAUGAAAUGAAUCACUAAAACCACAUAGGUGCACCUCUAUUCUCAUGUGAGUGUACUCCCCAUGUUUAGCACUUCUUGAACCAGUGUUAAAUCUCAAUUUUCAUUGCAGAAACAACACCUUAGGUAAUCACAAUUAAUGACACUAGAUUAAUCAUGGUUUAAAGAGCUAAAAUGCUAAAUAACUUGCUCAAAAUAAUAGCAUCAAAUAGCCAAAUAAUAAACACUAGCAAUUAUAGAAAGUUCAACCAAAACCCAAGACAUAAACUUUAGAAACACAUAAUAAUAUAUAAAUCCAUAACUUGUAUAUUAACUAAACUUGGAAUGAAGUACAAAAGAUAAAGAGUUGGAAAGGAAUGUAACCCUUGUCACAUGAGUUCAUCUCCUCGCCUUCUUCAUCCUCCAACCUCUUCUUCAUCUAGCAAAUAAACAAGAUGGAUGAACUAACUAGCUAACUAUCUUAUACUAUACUAACCUAACACUCAUAAAAUGGAAGAACUACAUUUCUGCAGACUCCAAACUUUCUCCCGUAUGUCCCUCCUUGAAUCUUGUAAGUUUUGGCUAUAUAAACAUGAAAGUGGUCAAGAAAUGAGGCCUACACUUUUUCCCUUACAGUUGGUAAUGUUUGUCACAUGUCUAGCAUUACAUGUAACUUAUUGGAAGAGAAACCAAGUUGUCCGCGUACAGAGCAGCCUUUUUUAACAGAAAUCUGGCCAAGUUCCGACCAGAUUGCUACAAUGACCUUUUGUGCAGUUUCUGUUCAAUUUCCAGCUCUGGUCCGAUUUUCCUCAACUUCAACUGAACUUUUCUUGAUGAUAGAAGAUGAUUUAACUCUUGACCAAAACAUAAAACUUGUAUCACUUUAAGUUAGCUUUCCAAUGCAUCAAGAAUCACCUCAUUUGGAUUUGUGUAGGCUAAGAAAUGAUUGAAAUACCCUUAACUGCUCAAUGUCCUAUUUCAGUUUCGACUAAUAGAAAUUAGCUACUGUAAUUUGGAUUUUUGACCUGGAAAACCUUAGAAUUGGAUUUUGAUGUCUUCACCAAAGUUGUAGAUCUAUCUCUUAUCGGUUCAAGAAUCAUCUCAAUCCGAUCACUGUAGCUCAAGUUAUAGCCAAAAUACGAAAAUAUAUCAAAACUGUAAAAAAUGCACAAAAUGCAAGUUAAAAGUGAUAAAACCUCAUUUAAUCACUUAAAAACAUUUUUCACCAAUUAUAGCCAAAAUGAUUCAUUUUCUUCCAAUAAUAUAACCAAAGUGACUAAAAAUGAUAUAAAAUGUCAUUCAAUUAUUACGUAAAUUAGUCACUUAUCACUUACACAACAAAUACAGAUUGUGAAAUUAAUUGUAUAAUUUGAUAUUUUGUAGGUUUUUUGGAUAUAAUUUUCACGUUUAGGAAAAAGAAAAUAUGUUAGUAAGUAAUAAUGUGAUACCCCUUGUCCCACGUUGGAAGUGGGAGGCGAAAAGGAUUGAUAUAUAUAAGAUUUGGUCUCAUAAGUUACUAGUUAUUUGGAAUAACCAUUUCGGGACAGUGAAUUUCGACACAAAAAAUUACUUAGGCCAACCAUGGGCUUGGAUGGUGACAAAUAACUUACUAGAAGCUAGGUAUAUUUAUGUUUAUAUGUCCUGAAAGCAGAGUAGUUCAGAAUCUAGAUAAUGGUAACGAUAUGAUGAAAAUGAGAAGUUAUAUGGUAAACUUUAUAGAUUAAUAAUUUCAUCAAGGCAUCAUAUACAAGCAUGAUGACACAAUCCCAACUUUCAUUCUUUUGUUAAAUCUUAGUGUUUUUGUCUUAGAUUUUUUUCAAAUAAAGGAAGGAUGGAAUUUAAGCAAUAGAGGGGUGGAAGGGGAAUUUGAAUUCAAAAUCUCUAAUUUCUAAGUUUUUCACUAAGCAAUCGUCAAAACCAAAAAAUAAAUAAAUAAAAAGCAAAAAAAUGAGGACCUUGUGGUCAAUGCUCCUGUUCGAAGACAUCAUCUCCCUCUAUUGAAAUCUAAGUACCCUUGGUUGACAAUUUGUUUCCCUGAGCAUCCAUCAACACUUUUAUAUAGUAUUAGAUUAGAUUAGAUUGUCAAUGCACCAUCAAUAUCCUUAAAUAUAAAAGCUAAAGUAUAGUAAUCAAAAUACUGUUAGUAAUCUGUAUGAUUAUUUUUUAUCCUUUAAUGUUUUAGUUUUAGGAAGAUCACAAAUGCUGCGUAUCAAGCAUGCCCUAGGCUAAAUUAAGGUAAAUUAAGUACAUUGCUAAAAUGGAGAGCAUUGCUAAAUUAAGUACUUUAAGAUAAAGACUUAAGCAGCCAGAUCCAUUUGAUGUCAGCUGCUUCAAUAUCCACCUCAAAAUAAAUUAGCCUUUGUUCUAGAUUUAGCUUAAUGCUAAGUCCCUUCACCAUUCUUAGUAAUAAUUCAAUUCUGCCUCAAUUUUCUUCUGAUCUUCAAGGUAAAUGUACAAUAAAUUUCAAAAUAUAUCCCAAAUAUAUGAAUUUCUUGAAACCAUCCUUCAAUCUCAUUACCUACUCAACAAAAUGUUCCAUAAACACAAAUAUAUUAAUGAAUUUGGAGUUGAUUCGAAGAAUUGACGAGAACAACAGGGCUCCUUAGAUUUAACAAUUUCAAAUAACCCCAAGCUAGAAUUUUUCAUAUAUUCAAACAAGAAAUUGGAAAAAUCUGACUAGCUUGCAACGAGUACUACAUCUCAAGACAAGGGAUCUUUUCAGUCAACUCUUUUAUUGUAUCGAAAACCUACUUGCAUCUAUGAAUAAGCAAUGCUGAGUGAUGAUAUUUUUAAGGGCAGUCCAAUUCACUCAAUACAAAAAAUAUUUUUAAAUGAUGAUAUUCACAGGAACGUCUAUCUUACUUAAACAAACAAUAAAAAGGAGAUUGAUUGAGAAAUGGCCACAUUAUCUUAUCAUUCUUAAUUAUCAUUAGUUCAAUAAUCAACUUUAGCAGUCCGGAGACUUGUUCAAGGCUGCAACUUGUACAAGGACAAUAAAUUCUUUAUUCCUGCGUCCGGAGACUUGAGACGUGGACGCUUCAUUAGUCAAUAAUAAUAAAAGUGUGGAAUUCGACGACUAUUCUUAGCUCGUUCAAGGAAACAGAGAAAAGACGCUCUUGUACAAGCAACAGGCACAGCUACUUAAACUAUUGGAUAAUUUCAUAGACCUUUCCUGAAGUUUUGGACAAUUUCAGCUAGUACCCCUCUUAUUUUCAAUAUUACGCUGACCACUCUUACUUUAACUAGUGUUGUGACCAAUUCAGCCCAUAUAGAAAGAAAUGGAAUAAAUUGACAAGAAAUGGUAUCAUCACAUUUUAUUCCACAUUUACCCUUGUAGACCCUAAAAGAAAUAUUGUAACAUAGGACAAACUUCACUUUGUCCUCCGAAGUUGAAUCACUUUUCUAUUCUAUACACUGAACUUCAAUUUUGGAUGCUUUGCAUGUGGUUGGAGGCAAAAGCAUAGCAGAGCCCUUUUUGAGUCUCUGAUCGUUAUUAUCACAUGACCAUUGCUAAUUAUACUAUUGCUUUUGAAUGGAAAUAGCAUAAAAGUCUUAGUGAAUGAACAAAUUGAAUAGACCAUUUCGCAGAGCAGUGAAAUAGUCCAAAGCUGUGAAGCACAGUGAUAAGCUACAAAUUAUAGUGGUUUGUAUUUAUUAAUUGUCAAUGAAUGGUUGUAUUUGAGCUAUAAUUUGAAUGGAUGUUGCCUAAUUUAAGUAUAUGUUGGUUUUUGUGGGAAAAGCACGCGAUUGAGGAGGAAAUGAAUCGAAAACGCAACAAAAGGGGAAGAAUGCCAAGACACAAGGAUCCGUGGGUGGAUCCUAUGUCCAACGCCAAACAUUGAAAGGGACUUUGCGAGGACUUCUUCUAGUUCUAAUGAUUGGAAAACCCACUCAAACUCGAUUUUGGUAAGUUUUCAAGACCCAUUCUUACCAUAUUUCGGAUACAACUUUGAGAGACUAUAAAUAGGACAUUCUAGGAUGUUUUUAGAUUAGAAAGCAUUUGGCUAACGUUAGUUCAUCAUUUUUAUACCUUCUUUUCUUGAGAGAUCACAAUGGAAGUGUUGAAGAAUCAAAGGAAGUUCAAGAUGGAGAUUGAAGCGGGGAAAAAUUGAGAAGUUUUCUUACUUUUAACUUCUUAUUUUGUCUUUCAUUUGAAUUCUUGGAUUUAUCUAUGAAUAUGUUGAACUCAUUUAUAUCUAAAGUUAGGAUUUUGUGAAGGAGAUUUAAUUAGAUAAAUUAUUUGCUUUUGCUUAGAUUUAUUUAUCUUGCCUUUAUUACAUGUUUAUGUUUUGCCACUAUAGAUAUGCUUUUAGGAUUUGUAUUGAGUUAAGAAGUGAUGUACAACCGUACAUUAGAUAGAUAAACAUACUUAAUAUAAUCAUGAAAGUGGGUUAAACAUUGUAUGGCAUAAUUAUAUCACCUAAUAUUGUAAAGGAUUUAAUUAUAUACUUAUGAUCUCGAGAGCAACGUGAGAUUUCAUUAGACAAAUUUAGAAGUAUUGAGAGAUAAUCUAAAGUACUUUUCCGUGAUACAUCUUUGACUUGUUAAGAAAAUAAUUGGAUAUAUAAUUCCAAUUCGAAAUCAAAAUUUAAAACUCUAGUUUUGCUAAUGUUUUCUCACCUAUAUCUUGUUUGAUUUGAUUAUUUAUUUAAUUAGUGAUUAAAAACCCUCUGAAUUUAAAUUUUGUUAUUUUUAUUAGAGGAAUUAAAGUAGGAAAAAUUAACUCACUCCUGCAGGUUCGACCCCUGGAGUACUCCAAGCAAAUUAUUAUUACGAUCGACCUUGUACAGUUAUAGAAAUUCAUCGAUCACACAGCAACCAAAAAAAAUUAAUGCACAAUAAUGUCAUGAGCAGAAACAGUUCCCAUCUUAGUUGUUCAACAUUCACGGUGGAUUUCAAUUAGUGGUCAACAGAUAAAAGCAUCCAAAAAAGUAAUCUAACUAGAUAAGUGAAUUUAUAUUGUACAACAUAUUUCUUUUUUCUACCGCAAAAACUUAACUAAUUUAAGACAAUGUAGUCCAAGAUAAUUGAAGAUUAAUUUUCCCUAAAAAAUGUUCAUGAUAAAAACUCAUCAAAGAGAUAAUACAACAGCUUACUUUUGCAGGUGAUCUUAUACGGUCUUUAUUAACAAACUAAUUAGCCACUUAAGCCUUUUUUUUCCUUUUGGGACUACGCAUGACAAAAUGAGGAGUGAAUCAGUCGCUUAGUAUCUAAAAUUUUCCCUCCAUAUAAUUAGUUCAACCUGAUUUAAGACUAAAUUUUUACUAUAGGAAUGUUCGUGAUUCAACAAUGAAACACCAUAGAAACUUAUUUUGGGAGAUUGUCCUAGAAGGUAAAAAAUGAGCAACCAAUCAGAAAGUCGUACUCACAUAUCAAAAUCCAUUCAGUCUAAUUAAUUCACCAGCUAUGUAUAUUUCAUCCAUUUUCACAUUAUAGAAAGAACAAUAAUGCAUGGCAUUAUCCAUCAUAAAUUGCUCAUAUAACAUCAAGAUAUUCAUGGUGUGGACCUCAAAUGACUCGUCAUGUCUACUGGCUACAUUUAAACAUAUCUUAUGGCCAGAAUGUUCAUCUUAUCAACUUGACGAGUUUAUUCAUGGUACCAUACCAUUAAAUUAAAAAAUUUUCCACCUUUUACCUUUCAUAGAUAUCAGGGAAUAUAGCUAAUAACGCACUUUUGGCAGCAAUAUUCCUUCAACCAAUUAAAGAUUUUCGGAGCUUAAAGUUCAGCUCCUAAAGCUCUUCUCCACCAACCAACAGAGAAAUUACUUUUAGCAAAGUUGUUAAAUUUUGGCACCAGGUUUUGAUGGUAUCUUGGUAAGAUUGGAAGAUUAUAUUGCGCUUCUAAGAUAAUUUUUAAAAAAGAUAUUUUAGUGAGAGCAUUAUGGUCAAUUUGCCCCUAAUGAUAUUGACAUUAGGUCCCAUCAACAUCAGAAGGGAGCUCAUUGUAUUAUUGGAUAUAACAAGGGUGCGAGUGAAAUUAUGAAAACCCUCAAGGGAGGAUUUUGAAAUUAACCCUAAAAUACUCAUUCCACGCAAGGCGUGGCGUUCCCCUCCUAGUUCCUAUAAAUAGGGCACCAACUCAAUGCACUAGUCACUCGAUAUCAAUAAUUUAGCACAUUAUUUACAUUUUGAGUGAGAUUGUGAUAAAAUGGCAUCUUCAAAAAAUUUGCCCUUUCUUAUUGGCGUUCUCUUUGCACUUGUGCUCCUCAUUUCCUCUGAUGCAACAGCUGCAGGUACCUAGUCCCUUUUUUUUUCCUUUCAUCCUUUUUUUUUUUGCUGCACCUAAAUAUUUAAAUGAAUGGAGAUUUGGAGACUCAUUAUUGGGAUGUGAAUUUUUAUGGAAGGCUAUUUGUAUAUUAUCAAGCAAGUCAUAUUAAUGUGCUAAUAUCCUUUUCAUUGUUUAGCAAAAGUAAAAUUGGGUUGCUUCUAUCAAUGGUUAGUGGCACAUCUGAUUUUUCAUGCAUCCUUAUAGUAUUGCUGUAAGGAUACACGUUCCAUAGUGUCGCACCAAAGCUUAAACUAACGUCGAAACCAAAUUAAAUGCUUCUAAUUAUAAUUUAAAGCAAAAUAAUUCAUAUCCAAGUCGCACCAUCUUAUAUGCCUGGACUGUUUUGUUUAAUCCAUAGUAUUCUUUUCUUUGCAUAUAUCUUGCAAAUUUUCAGCCUAGCCGGUCACCUAACGUUCGCAGCUUAAGAUAAAGCUCCAAAUAUUUAUGUCUCCUUGUGUCUUGAAACAGAUCAGAAAAGCGUGAAAACCACUGGUGUCCACGAUUCCAGUUCAGGCGAAGAUCGUUGCACAUAUGGUUGCUGCCACUGGUACAAUGGACAUUGCCAAAGAUGCUGUCCACCUGCUGAGGAGACUUGCAGAUAUGGUUGCUGCUACUGGUACAAUGGACAUUGCCAAAGAUGCUGUCCACCUGCUGAGGAGACUUGCAGACAUGGUUGCUGCUACUGGUACAAUGGACAUUGCCAAAGAUGCUGUUAACCUACUGAAGCUACAUCCGGAGAUGAGGUCAAAAAUUAAUGCUAAAUAAAUAAGGGUGUGAGACAGGAUCCGUGACACCUAUAUUAUUACGUUAAUAUGUUAUGUUGUGUUUGCGUUUGAUGGUUGAUUUCCUAUAUGUGUAAAAGACUUGUGCGGCUUCUCUUUGAAUUGGUGUAGAAUCAACAGGGGAAGCAUGUAAUGAGUACUCAGUUCGAGUGCUCUUCUUAUGUUGUUGUCAUGUUGAAUAAAUAAAUCUACGUGAUCAUCUACUACAAUUGAUGAUCUCUAUCUCAGUUACGUCAGAAACUUCUGUACCUUGGACCUGCUAGAAUUUAGCGUGAUUGAUAUAAGACGUGCAGAAUGUUCAAUAUAUGUAUAUAUGUGCUUCUUCAUCGUGCCAUGCCAUUACAAUGUGAAAGAAUUCAGCAUCGACGGAGUGAAACGUACCCAAUCCUGCUCCUGAGAAAGGAAACAAAGUCCCUCAAAAAUGGAUAUUUUGGAUGCCAUCAAGAUUUUGAAUUGAAUGCCAUUUGGAGAUCUGAAUGUUGUUUUUUUCCCCUUUAUCUUCGUUCAAGAUUUUUUUUGGUGGAAAUGCUUCAUUUAUGGACAAUGCUACAGUGCCUAUAGUUAUGGUAACGAUAUUAGAGAAACCUACUAUUACAGGUUUCUAUUACCUUUAGUGACAGAUCCAAUUUUUAGCGACUUUUGAAAUAUUAUAUUAAAAUAAUUAAUAUUAAAUUUAGUAAGUUUUUAAUUAAAACUAGUAAGUUUAUGCCUGAAAGAUAAGUUUUAGUCAGAAAUAGAAAUUUACACUUUGAGUAAUUUAAUUUACUUAUUAUUUGACGAAAAUUACUUAUUUUUGAAUUAAACUUACUAAUACUGCAAGUAAAAAAUGUUCAUAUUUAAGUAAAAAAGUUACCAGUUUCUAAAAAUGGUUUUGGGUUCCUGAACCACUUUCGGAUAUUAUCUUGUUAAAGUCAUCUCCCUUCUUAUUACUUAGUUCUCAGUUUCAACAUACGAUUGAAUUCCCAGGCAAAGGUUUCCACUUUGGUCCACACUUUCUCUUGGUGACAAGUGAAUAAAUUUUCCCACUUCAAAUUUUCAUCUUCAGUUCCCACUUUCCCUCUAUCCUUUCUCAUCGAUCGGUUGUUUUUGGGUGCUGCCAUAUGCAGACACAAUAAAAGGGUUAGCGACGGUGGUAGCCAACCAAAGAGCAUAUGAAAAAUAGCAGUGACGAGGUUAGCCUAUCAUGUCCUCUUGAAAUCGUUUGAUUAUAUUGCUGUAAUUUAUUUAUAUUUCAUUUGUUUUGUUUGUCAAGAUUUUCUUGCGAAAUCAAGGCUGAGAAUUUGAAGAUUUUAUUGCAAUUUUGGGGCUGAAAAUGUCCACUGAAACAUCUAGCCUUGAUUUGGUUGUAGUUUUGAUUGUCUGCUGGUAAAAUAUACUUAAUAGCCAUAUGAAGCAUCUAGGAAAGGACUUGAGACUAGGUGUUUAAGUUAAAUGUGAUUAAUUUAUGAAUGCAUAUAAGAUGUUUGGUGAAAUGUCAAAGAGAAAUCUGUGUGUUAUGAUUGCUGCUCUGUGCUCUUCAGCAGCCAGAGAUGAGACCAGCUCUUAAAGAAAUCACCCUCGUCAGUCGACAACAGCGCUCAAGAUCACCCUUGGGAUUGUAAAUUGUAUAAUCUUUUAUACAAUAGAUUAUAAGAUGUAUAAUCUAUUGUAUAAUUUAAAUUAAAUUUAGUUCACCUAUAAAAUGGUCCUAAAAUAAUUAGUACACUAUGAUAAAUGUUAUUUUAACAACAAAAUAUUUUUUUUUACUAAAAGUCGGAAAUAUCCAUGACAUAUGUAUGAGAGAUAUUUUACCAUAUUUAUAUCUCACAUCUAAUCAUGAAAGUUAAUUUGAGAAAAACUAUUUUUAACAAUAGAAUUAUUUUGAAUUUAACCAACAAGUUGAGAUUUUUUAAACAAUAAAGUGAAAUAUUUUGGGAACUUUUUUUUUUUUUUUUUUUUUUUACAUAAAUAUGGUCUUUAUUGGCAAAGAAAAGAGAAAUUACAUAGAUCGUGUGACUAACCUACCCUGAGACCGUACAGACUCUCACAUACGGAGUUGACAACCUAUCUAACUGCAAAAGAGCCCGAACUUAGAAGGGAGAGCUCUUUCACUGAAAAAUCGGGCAUCCGUUCGUAGGUCCGAGGAGGCCAAAGCGUCGGCGACCGCAUUAGCCUCUCUGAACGUGUGAACCAGAGACACCCCAAUUUUGCCACCAAGCACCGAAUAUGCCUAAUUGUGUUGCAUAACGGCCAGCCAGCCGUCAUCUUAACGGACACGAGAUGCACUAAAGUACUAGAAUCCACUUCUGCUAUGACUCCCGUGAGAUUGUUGUCCUGGCAAUACCGAAGACCCUCCAGCAAAGCCAACGCCUCUGAGGAGAGAACGUCUUGCUCUCCAAACUCCUUAUAAAAGGCAAACACUAAAUUACCCUCACCCGAGCGCACCACCCCUCCACCACUUGACCGCCGCUUACCACACUAGCAUCAGUGUUGAGUUUCACCGCUUGCCCUGUAGGUUUUACCCAAGAAAAGGCUCGAAGCUGUAUCAAUUUGUUCUUGGCCUUACCGAAUUUCACCCAGUCGCAAUCUGUGUCCCCUUUGAAGAACUCCAACUUGAACAGGCCCCCCCUACCCAACUGCUCAACCAAUGCGCACACCUGGUUGGUUACCUGAUCUGACGACAUACUCAUCCCUCAAAGCGGGCCUUGUUACGGCCCUUCCAAAUAAACCACAAGAUCAAGAGCGGGAGGAUGACACGAAUAUGAUUCUGUGAGACAAACCGGUGAGAAAAGAGCCAACAUGAAAGCCUCGAUGCCACCCCACUCCUGGAGUACCAGCCCAAAGCGCAGGAGAAGUGCCGCCAAACCCUGCUCGCUAAAGGGCCCGAGAAAAAAGAUGGUCUCCUGUUUCUGGCGCUAGGCCACAACAGUAGCACUUUGACGCUAACCUCACCCUCUACCUUGAAGGAGAUCAUCCAAGGGGAGCCAACCACGCAACAACCUCCACACAAAGAAGGAUACCUUCAGAGGACCACCGAGCUCCAGACCAGCGAAUCAAUAACAGAUCGAUUACGCUUUGACCGAAGAACGUCCCAAGCUGAAGACACAGUAAAGCUCCCCGAAGGUGACGCCGCCCAAAUCAUUUGGUCUUGCAUAUUGGGAAAAAUACGCAGCUCCAAGAUCUUCGACACUAAGUGCCCCGGAAGCAGCCUUCUGAGCCACUGCUCAUCCCAACCAUCAGAAAGAAAAAAUUCCCCUACCAACCUGUGAGACUUAGGGCCUGGCACCAACCUGGCGAGCGGAACAUCAGUACACCACCUAUCCUGCCAAAAGUCAACUAAGCCCUCCCAGACACCACCGGAUAUUCCCCUCCGUGAGGUCCCUCACCUCUAUCAAACGGCGCCAAAUUGGGGACGGGCGGUCAACUGAAACUAGAAGAGGAUGCCCCCUCUGACAUACUUAACGUGCAUGAACUCUGCCCAAAUGGAUGCCCGUUCCCUCAACUUCCACCAAAGCUUACAUGAGAAAGCCUUAGCGACAUCCUCAAAUGGGCGAAACCCCAGGCCCCUUCCUCGACCGGACGGCACACCUUAUCCCAAGCCGCCCAGUGGAUCCGUUUGCUUUCAAUAGAGGUAUCCACAAGAAAGCAUUGCACAGACGCCUAACUGCAGCAGCACAGCCUUCGGCGGUUGAGUACCUGGAGUAAGUAGACCGGAAGGGAACACAGGACACUUCGUAAAAGGACAAUCUUCCCCCCAUAGAUAGCAUCUUUGAGCUCCAAUGGAAUAACUUUUGGCGAACCUUGCCAGCAACGCAUCAAACACUGCACAUGUGACCCUACGCGAAUCAUCGGCACCCCUAGAUACCUGAACGGAAAAACCUGGCACUGGUACCCCAGGGUCGUGCUUACCAGGGCCCGCUGGGUGUCUGUAGCCCUAGCCGAAGCGUAAAAAGCACUCUUUAGCAAUAUUCACCUUCUGACCAGAACAACUUUGGUAGAGCUGCAAAAAAUCCUUAAUGGACACCAACGCAUCCUGCGAGCACCGAGUAAAGAUGACCAUAUCAUCCGCAAAGGCUAAAUACGGCACUUUCGACCCAGCAGAAACGAAGUAUCUACUGUCCUUGGAAUCAAAAAUCCUUUGCAGCCCUCUCCCAAGAAAAUCCGCCACGAAUAAGAAAAGCGCAGGAGAAGAGGGUCACCCUGUCGCACCCCUUGAAAUGACUUCACAAAACCCGUUGGUUCCCCAUUAACUAGGAUCGAGAACCAAGUGUUAGAAAACGUUCGAAAGAGCAAAUCCACUACUACCUCUUCAAACCCAUACUGCCUAAGCAGAAAAAGUAGAAAGGACCAAUCAACCCGAUCAUAUGCCUUCUCCAUGUCCAGCUUCAAGAUCAAAUUCGGGUCAAUCAACCUCCUAUCCAAGUCUAAAAUCAGCUCCUGUGCCAAAAGAACAUUGUCCACUAUCCACGCCCGGAACAAAACCUGUUUGCCAUGGUGAAAUGAGCUUCGGGAGGAGCUUGCUGAUCCUGAUGGCCAAUAUCUUAGACACAACCUUAGAGGUUACAUUACAAAGACUAAUAGGCCGAAAAUCCGCCAGUGGGAUGCCCUCCACUUUUGGAUGAGCACCACCAUAGAGUGGGACCAGCUCCUGGGUUGCUCCAUACCCUGGAAGAAGUCCUGGAUAGCCAUAAGCAAGUCAUCCUUGACAAUGUCCCAGCAGCUUUGGAAAAAACCUGCUCCAAACCCAUCCGGACCCGGAGCACUCUGUAUCUCCAUUCCAAACACUACCUCAUGGAUUUCCUCCAUCGUAGGAAGACGUUUCAUAAUCUCAUUAUCCUCCUGGUGGCUCUAGGAACCUCAAAAGGAAGCUCAGUGAGGGCCUGUACCUGACGGUUGGAUGCGAACAAGUCCGAAAAAAAGGAUAUCGCUGAGUCCUUAAUCUCCUGCAGGUCUUCAUGCAUCCCCCCUCCUCUUUCCUAAUACGGGAAAUGAAAUUCGAGUUCCGACGCUAGCGGACCCAAGAAUGAAAAAAUGCAGUAUUAGCAUCCCCGCCUGUAACCAUUUAAUACCUGCCUUCUGAUGCCAAAACUCACACUCCAUGGAAAGGGCCCGAUUGUAUCUCGCUCUGGCCUCAUGAAGAUGAAUCUUCGACUCCUCACUUCUAACCAAAUCGUACUCCACCUCCCUCUGUUUUACCUCCUGAUCCGCCUCUGCCACCUGAGAAGAGACAUUGCAAAGACCACACGGUUCCAUUGCUUCAAUGCAUCUCGCACCGUUUUGAGCUUGUUGUAGAAUCUAACCAUCCCCAUGCCAUAGACCUCCUUACUCCAUGCGGCGAACACUAUCUCCCGGAACUGGGGUGCCCGCCGCCAAACAUUAAGAAACCGAAAGCAAGACGAUGUAGCCCUAUAGCCUGCACAUCGAAUCAACAACGGACUGUAAUCCGAUCUCCCUCUGGCCAUAUGGGAAACCCUAGAAAGCGGAUAGACCUCGGACCACCGCCUAUUCCCCAACGCCCGAUCCAAGCGCUGCCAGACUGACCCAUUAGUCAUGUGAAUCGAGACCAUCAAAAUCAAUUGUAGAUAGCCCGCAUUUGAACAUGGAAGCAUUAAAUUCUUCUAUGUUCCGAACAUUAGCUGGAGCCCCCCUUCACGCUCCGCUGCCGAAGCUAUGACAUUAAAGUCGCCUGCUGCUACCCAGGGUUGAUUGUGUGAGACGAGGAAGCCACACUUUCCAUUGCCUCCAGAGUGGCCUCCGCCCAACCUCGUGCACUUGGCAUAUAUCGCAGACACCCAAAAGGAUGCCCCAGAGCCAAAGGAAACGUGAGCAUGAAGCAUUUGCUCAGCGUACUCGACACAGCUAAAUCGUAAGAGGCACGACCAAAACACCCAUAUUUUACCACCAAUAUAAAGAGCUGAGAAAUCAAAAUUUAAAACCUCCGAACCACCUCCAACUGACACUCGCAGACAUUGGUUCUAAUAGAAAUAAUAACCUAACCUUGUUAUCGUAGCACAGCUUCUUCAGAUAGCGCAAAGAGUCCCUUCGGGAAGCCCAUCUGAUAUUCCAAACUAGCAUAUUAAUCGGAUCUAACAUGAGACCCAAUGAGUAUGAAGCUUGCGCCAAGGGUACACACAUGCCCCCUUCUUGGUCUCCCCCGUUUCCGUCUUAGAACCGUGGCGGCAUCAUCCUCCUCCAAGUCAUUACUAAAUCCCCUUCAAGAAGAGUUAAAGAGUCCAAAACAGUGUCAACACCCUGGACUGGUUGCGCCUUAGCAUUGAAAUCCCGUUGAAACGCCUUCAAUUCUUCAAGCGAGACUGAGACAGCUCUCACGCUAUCCACUGAACGCCCUCGGUGAUGGCAGUCCCGUUUCCAACCUCUCGACGCUGACCGUACAGGGCUCCUGUCUCGCUGCUCCUCAUCUGCGGAUUCACCUUCCAACUCUCCUAGAGCAGCGAAAGAAUUUGUCACGCGUAUGCUUCCCUCCUCUUCGGCGCCUAUACGAGACCCGCCCUGCAGCUCAAUCCCAGGUGACCAGCACUCCUGUGGCCGCACUUGUCAUUCCCCAUUCCUUCCGACUGAAUAACUAGCCUGCUCCUUCCCCUUAUCCCCAUUACUCCCAGACCCAAAGUCUGUACCAUCUUAUUGUCAUCUGCAACAGGCUCCAGAGACGCUGCACUCACUGCCGCAUCAGUCUGUUCCAAUGCUCCUUCCGACUGGAGCAGCGCACAACCAGUACCAGCACCAGUCCUUGUUCACCGACAGCAGCCGCCUGCACACUCUCCGCGACACCUGGUCCUGGCCAGGUGCCACCGAACUCCUUCCCAUUCACCACUUUCGGAACGUACACUUGCCGAUGUUUCAGUGUUUUUGCCUGGGCAGCGCGAGGCUGCGGAUCCGGGCGCAAGGAAGGAUUUCUAUGAAAACACUGCUCCUCUGUAUGGCCGAAUCUGCUGCAGAACCACAGUAGUCUGGCCACCCUCCAUCUCAACAGGCUGCCAGAAACCGAAGUGAUCAUCACCUAUCCAAAUACGACGCACAGGGGUCGACACUACGUUUACCUCCACCAAUACUCUGGCAACGGACGGACGGCGCAAAUCACACGUUGAUGCGUCAAUCUUGAGGGGCUGCCCAACGUAGAAGCGAGCUUGAUUAACUGGGAUCUCUGGAAAAAAGGAAUCGGCAAUUCUGGGAAGCAAACCCAGAUUGGAGCUAUGGCUAACUCCUGAUCUGCCUUAAAUUCCAACGACCACUUGGAAAUCGACAUUGGCGAGCUGCUAACAUACCAAAUCCUCCGCGCAAAGAGACGGGUGUAGUCUUCCUCCAGAACGGGACGAAUGAGAACGUGUUUCUGGUCGAGGAGGCCAACCUUACAGUCCCCUCUGAGACCAGCGACAGAAAGAACUUUCUGAUGACUUCCAUGGGUGGUCUGUUGAAGGAGAAACGCCCACCAACGAAUUCUGAAACGGUUCCGAAAGCUGCUCAAUUUCCCUACGAGAGAUACGCAAAGCAGGUUCUCCUCUGAAGGUAGAGACCUCCCCUAAAGCUAUGGCAUCAGGUUUAUCCGAAGCGCCUGCCAGAACGAAGCAAAGGACCUCUGAACCGGAGACUGACUGGCCUGUGUGUGUGACGGCCCACAGGCCGCCAUGUCCGGUAAGAAGAUCUAGCCGCACCCUCAACCCUAGCCGACCCUCAAACCGUCAAAAGUCGGUAUAUUCUAUAUUUUGGGAACUUAGUUGUUUAUUUUCCCGUAAUAAAAAAUUUAAAAUAUGAAAAUUAUUCUUACAUAUUUUAUAAGGUCAUAUGCAAAAAAAAAAACAGUUUAUAUAUAUUUAAAAUGCUUCAAACAUAUAACAUUUAUAAAUGAUACGUACAAUUGUAAGUUUCUUUAAGUAAAAUAGUAAAUUUAUGCCACAAACUAUUAAGUUUGAUGAUUAACCAAAUUUACUAAAUCUAUCAACAAUAUUUACUAUUAAUCUAUAAAAACUUACUAUUACUUGAACUAAACUUACCCUCCAAAAACUAAGUUUCAGAUAUAGAGUAAUAUUUUAUUUCAUAAAAACAAAGUUAGUUCCAUAUUUAUUCAAAUUUACUUUUUGAGACAUAAAAGUUACUAAUAUAUUGAGUUAACUUACUAUUCUUUAUGCAAAACUUACUAACCACCAUUUUAGGUACUAUUUCAUUUAGAAUGACCAGUAUAACAGGUCAUCAAAUGGUCGCUAAAAGUAUUUUUACCUGUUAUAUCAGGUAAAAAAAUUUCGUUACCAUAACUAUCGUUACUUCAGUUUUCCUUCAUUUAUACGAAUUUUCCUAGUUAGUAAAGGCUUCUAUUACACUUGUACAAUACACAUUUAAAAGUAUAACACAAUAAAAGUUGUGUAGUUCAUAUAUUUCAAAAUAUUCAUACUUUCAACUAAACUAUAAAAAUACGUAAUAUAUUCUUGAUACAUUAUACUUUACGAACUAUACUUUAAAUUUUAAAAAUAUUUAAUACUAUCACUUAUUAAUAACUCCACAUGUUAGUUUGUCUCCCAAUUCAAUAAAUUAUAGUAGCUAAUUCUCAAAGCUAUUACACCAAAAUUCCCUUACUCGUUCACUCCUAGUGGAUUAUUAUUAAUUACAUUGCAUUUAUUUCCUAAGCAUGAGUUUUGUAACCCCUCAUAUUAAAUCUCAAUGAUUAAUUUUAACGGUUACCAAGGCGUCUAGUAAUUGGUUUGCUAUUUUAAUUUGAACUAGACAUUUAUUAGGUCUAGUAGAAUUUAUUCCUUCUUAUCACUUAGUUCGUAAACCUUAUGAAUCGUUAAAAACCAGCUCUAACAUUAGGUAACAAGACUUCUACAAUUUCGGGUUUUGCUUAGAAAUCAGUCUGAUAGUUUAACUUGCUUUCGUCCAACUUUAUGAGUUGCUUUUUUUUUUUUCAUUUGGCAUUUCAUCUGACUUUAAUACGGGGACCAAGUUAGUAUUGUUGGCAUUUCAUAUCUAAGACUUCUUAAUUAAUUGAUUUGUUAUAAGAACUAUAACGUAUGCGUGUUUUGUGAGCUUUCAUGUUUUUUUUUUUUUUUAUUCUUGUGGACCAGCAAUGGAUAGUUUCUUCUAGUGCCAAGUUCCUUUGAAUUCUUUAUUUUUUUUUUGCGUGUCCAAAUGUAAAUUAAAAGAACCAACAACUUUGAACAAGUCUAUAUCUAGUAAAGAUAGAUAUAAAGAGGGAUACGUAUACACAGAUUAUAUAAUUUUUUUCAAAUGUAUGAUUAAAAGUUUAGUAGUAAAAAUACGAGUUUAUCAUUAUUAUGGAUAUCAUAUAAAUUCAUAUAUGAAUAGUAUGAAUAAAUAUAAAUGUUAUAGAAUUAGGUAUACAAGUGAAAUUACUAUAAUUUUGAAUGAUUAUGCUAUUUAUAUCAAAUUUAAUGCUGAUCUGUAUAUAUGACAUCAGAUUUAUUAAAGUUUUAUCACUUUUUUACAUUUAUAUUAUAAUCCAUCUAAAGUUUGUUAUUUGACAAUACAUUUGAUAUAUACCUCAAAAGGUACGUCAUUAUCUUGUCUCACUUUUUAAAAUUUAAAGUAUAAAUCAUAAAGUAUAAUGCAUCCAAAAACAAGUUAAAUGCAUCAAGAAUUUAUUAUAUAUUUUUAUAGGUUAGGCGAAAAGUAUAAAUAUUCUUGAAAUACACGAACUAUAGAACCUCUUUUGUGCUAUACAUAUAAACGCGUAUUGUAGAAGUAUAAUAGAACUAUUUACUAGCUAGGCAAAUUCGUAUAAAUGAAGCAUUUCCACCAAAAAAAUCUUGAACAAAGAUAAAGGUUCAGAUCACUGAAUGCCAUUCCAUUCAAACUCUUGAUAGCAUCCAAAAUAUCCAUUUGAAGGACUUCGGUUUCUUUCUCAGGAGGGAACGGAGUUGAGUUUGACUCCGUCGAUGCUGAAUUAUUUUACAUUGUAAUGACAUGUAUAUAAAUAUUAUUGAACAUUAUGAACGUCUUAUAUCAAUCACACUAAAUUCUAGUGUUCCCAAGUAGGGAUGAGCAAAUUCGGUUCUUACCGAAUUCAUAACCGAUUUCAAAUUCAAUUCGGUAAUUUGAAAUCGGGUAUUUGGUAAUUUGGUACAAAUUCUGUGAGAACUCGAAAAUUUUCUUAUUUUUAUAGAAUAUUACUGGAAUAUUUAAAUGAUUAUUCACUAAUUUUCUUCGAAUUAUUUAUUUCGACCAUUUUAAUUCAUUUAUAUGGAAUGACGCCUCUUUAUAUUUUUAAAGCGUUUUGUUGAAAAAUUCGCUUUUCGAAAAUUUGUUUAGUCCGGAACGACGGGUGCACGUUUUUCUAGGCCAUACUUGAAUCGGGAGUGUAUUAUUUAUUGGAGAAUUAAGAACGAUCAAUAAUAGAUUAAGAAAGGUUAAUGGAGGAAUUAAUACUCAAUUCACGUGAGGACUCGUAAAAUUAUUAUUUUAAAAUCCCUAAUUUUGGCUAAAUUAAUUACUUAUUUAGAUUUUUGCCACGAAUAAUAUUUUCUAGCCUUUUAGACCUAAGUACAUGGUUUUAUAGUUUCGUUAUAUUUUUAAAGUGUCUCAUUUCAAAAAUUAUUUUCUUAUAAGCUUGUUUAGUGAAAAGGUGAAAACGUGUCCAAACACUUUAGCCAAUUGGGAAUAAAAUAAGUUCAAAAAUUUGAGACAUAUACAAUGGUUCUAAAAUAGACAAUUUUAGAUUUAAGCACACAAGUGAUAGCUAGUGGUACGAUCGUUAUAAGAAUUUCUCGAAAGUUUCAUUUUAUUGCGCCUAAAUUGGAAAUACGUGUUUUCACGUGCGCGCUUAAUUGAGGGACUUUGGACAAUUAUUUUGGGACAAUUAAGAAUGAAUAAUAUUUAUAUGAAUGUAAGUGCCCUAGAGGUUUAGUGCACUAGUGUAACAAACUUAAGGAAAAUUGAACACAAAACGCGCGAGUAGGGCACUAGUUGCAAUUAAAUUUUUCAUACUUAAAAUAUUAGACGGUCGGCGUUCUUUGUAUGCAAAAAGGAAAUCAGACUAACAUUCAUAUCUGCAAGCUUUAUGGACGGCUAGCAACUGCAGCAAAGAGCAACCGAAAACUUCCACAUUUCCUCUACAAACUCACAAAUUCAACCAAAACUUCACACACACUUAGCUCUUCACUUGGACAAUCACUUGGACAAAGAACGAGCUGCACAUUCACGGUUUUUCUUGGGCUUUUGGACACCAAAAAUCUGAUCUUUUAGCACACAAGUAAGGUAACCAUGAUCCACUCUUCAAAUCUUGUUCGUUGAAGGCCAACUCACACUUAAGAGCUUGAUUAUGCUUAUGGGUAGCUUAUUAUUGUUAGAGAAUUGUUAAAUGUGGCUCUAUGAACUCCACCACUUUGAGUUGAUGUGUGAUGAUUUUGAUUGAUGUUUUAUUGUUGAAUUAGUGCUUAAGGGAGUAGAUUAAAGGUGCAUUAUCGCCAGAAACUUCAUUGAGCUCUUGAAGCAAAAAGUUCCCCUGCUCCGUUCGGUGGCAGAAAUUUGAGAAUUUAAUGGCUUGAUUGUGUUGUUUAUAUGUUGUAAAUUUUCAUUGAAAACUGAGUUUUGGUUGGUCAAACGAAUUUAUUCCCAAGCUAGUAAUCUGGAAAACGGUUUUCAUCGUAAUCCAGACCAGUGUUCGUAUUUCGUCCAUAACUCCGUACUCCGACGUCAAAAUCAAGUUCCGUUAGCGGCAUUUGAAACUAGACGUUCCCAUACUUUCCAACGGUAUAUAAUGCACAUUCUGGUUCCAUGUGUGUGAACCGCACCACUCAUCUGAAUUCAGCUGCCCUGUUUCGCCGUUCUGCCGAAAUGAUUUGAUGAUGCUGCAACUUUAGGCUUAAUUUCGAGCUAGUUGCAUGCUGAAACAUAAAAUGAUUUCUUCUGUGAAAUUAUAGUCCUAUGCAUGUAUUUUCUAACACUAUCAACCAUGCUCAAAUCCGAGUUAAAUUGAGUGAGUUAUGAUCAAAAUACGGUGACUGUUUUGUUCUUGAAAGCCUUGGAUUUGGACAGAUUUGACGUGACAUUUGUGGUGGUCUUACUAAAUGAAUUUCUUGAUACUAAACACCUACCACAUGUACCAUGAAUGUUUCUUAAACUUUCCUUUCGCAUAUGAACCAUGAUUGGAGGAUUUUCUUAGCCAAACGAUUGGAUUUGGGAAGAAAAGGAUUAAGGACAGAUUGUCUUGAGAAUUUUUUCAAACUUUGGUUGAUUGGUUAACCACCUUCCCGAAGGUAUUUUUCCACGAAAUUUUGUAGAGAGAUACCCUUCAUAUAGUAGUACCAUACUACAAAAUUUGGGGUCAAUUCAAGUCCGUUUCGACACUUAACAAAAGUUCCAUAGUCGGAACCAAUCUGGAAAUUUUGUAACAGUCUUGAAUUUUUCCCAACUUUGAGCUACCAUAUCUUGGUGUUCGAAACUCCGAUUCUCGAUCCGUUUAUUCUACCCUAAACCUUAGUUGCACCUCUAAUUGAGCUAUAAAUUUUAAGGGCUGGUUUGCAACGAGUGAAUUCUGCCGAAUUUCCAAAGUUAGCGAAAAGCCAACCCCGGGUCAAUCCUGGGUGAUCUGGGAUAGCAACUUUAAACUCAUUUUUGAAUACCUUUCAUUUCGAUUCGUGGAACAGUGUCUUCUAAGAACUUUUAGUAAUUUCCAAGAGGUUUCCAACGGUAUAAAGUUUUCCAAUUUUAGACUUGUAUCGAGUGAGAUACGAUUUUUCAAAGAUCCAUAUCAAAACUGAAAAUUUUCCAACUUUCAAGGAAAUAGAGAUUUCCAAGAACUUUUUAUUCUUUCGACAUUAUGCAAACAUUUUAACCUCAUUUCCAAGAUAAAAACCCAAAUGCUCCUGUACUUUAAGAAACUCUAAUUGAACCUCGAUUUACGAGUAAUUGAGGUUCGAUUUCGUGAAUUUCCUUAGAUUGUACUAGUGUACAAUCUUCCUUGAUAAUUGGGAUAUAUGAAUGAUAAUACGUUAUUUUUGCCCAGGCGCACACGAGGACCUUCAAGAGGAUCCUACCGUGCACACUUGAACUUCCAGAAAAUAUUUCUUCUUGAUUUGCUCGGUGAGUGUCAAGUGUAUGACUACUUGAACACUAUGGACUUGAUUCAUGCUUGGCUUACCUGAUUACAUGCUUAGCCUACUUGGUUUUGAAAAAUGGAGUCGAGUGUGUACUUUAUCGCACUCGUUCUCAUUUGAAACAAAUGACUCAUGCUUAACAUGGUUUGCCUGAUUUACAUGACCUGAAAUACAUGCUUAGACCUGUCAAAUGCUUGAAUACAUGAUAUGGUAUGCUAUGGCUGCAUACGUCGUUGGAGUGAAUCUCUCGACACUUACAUGACACAUGGGGGACGCCAAACUCAUAGGCCGACCUUGGAACUCGAGCCGGCAUGGGCUUGGUCGGGAACCUCGUGAGCCAUGAGAUUCACAUGAUAAGCUUGAUCUAUUGGAGAGAUCUUGCUUGGCAUACUCGUGGAGUAUCGCCUCAUAAAUGUCGUGCGGCCCGAAGCGGUGUAUGGUGGACGGAUGAGAAGUAAGUGGUGAUCUACGGUUUGGAAAUAUCAACCCGGUUGACGGAGAGUCAUCACGGGAAGAUAUACGAAUGAACUGGCAAAGCAAGUGGAACUUAGCUCUUGAGAGCUACCAUAUCCUUGAAUCGUUUCUGUUUACAUUUUGUUGGCAUUGUUAAUUACUUGCAAGUUAUCACUUGAACUGUUACUUGGGUUUGUUACCUGAACUAUGUGCCUGCAUGUGUGUUCUUGGCCUCACGAGCGUUUUGCUCACCCUAUAGAUUUGUUUUCCUUAACAGAUUUGAACUCGGAGGCGUACUGGAAAAAAACCUCCUGAUGAGCUUUUGUUUAGGAUUUCUAUUAAUUUUGGCUAUGUCUUGGUUUUGGGUUGUACUUUUGGAAUUGAAAUGUAACUUUUGGGCGUGAUGUAUAUUUGGGAUUAUAUGAUGUUUUGAAACCCGACGUGCGGGUGGAUAAUGGAUGACUUUUUAUUAACUUGAACGCUUCGCAUUUUUGUAUUAAGUUAUUUACGUGUAUUGUGGUCGAGAUAAGCUUGAAUGGAAUUGCUUGAGUCCUGGCGAGAGUUAGGCAGGCGUCCGCGGAUACCCUUUGGUUCGCCUUAGGGAGAAGUGGGGCGUCACAGUUGGUAUCAGAGCAUAGGCUUUAGAUCUUGUAGUGUAUCCUAGGUUUAAAGUUUAGGAUGCCUGACUGUGGGAUUAAUUUGAAUAUUAUGUGAACUAGAGGGUCUAUUGUAUCCUACGGGUUAAAAAAUUGGUUACUUGAGAGUUUCUUACUUGGGACUUGUAGAAAUAAAAAUUGAGGAAUUAGCUGAUGUUAUAUUGAAGGAAAAUAUGGGAUGAGAGAUUAGUAGUGAAAGAUUGGACGAAUUUGAAUUAUUAUUAUUCUUGUAAGUGUGGAAAGAAGUGAGACAAUUAUUAGUGCUGGCUAAAGCGAUAAGAGACCGAGAUUUGAUGGUCAAACUCCAUGUAUCGUGAUUGUGAACCAGAUGAAAGAGUUUCAAAUAUAAAAUGCAUUUUCCUGCUCAUUUACCUCCUAGAGAAAUUAUGCUUUGAAAUUCUAAAGGAAAAAUGGAUGUACUAGUUUUAUUUUCAAACGAUAAUUGGAAAUAAUAUAUAUAUGCUUUAAGUAUGUGUAAUUCUUCGAUUUUGGUAAAUAUGUGAAUUUUACUUGAAUUUCAAUUUAAAAAUUUGUGAAUAACUGAUGAGUUUGUUGAAAUUUUGUAUGUGAUGGGCUGAUACAAGGUUAAAAUUUUCUAAACUAGAUUUUCCCCCUUGAUUGUAUACUGGUGUAUUCUCACACUUGAAUUCAUCUAUGCUUUACAAAAAAAUAAAAAAAAUAAUAAUAAUAAAAUAUCUUGAAUUUUCGGAAGAACGGCGAACUUAUGUUUUUAUAAUGAAAAUCUUGAACUUGAUAAGAUUUUUGUUACUUUAAAUACUCUUCUUAUCUUUUAAAAUUCUUGGUUUUCAAGAAGGGUGAGCCUAUCUUUAGGUGUACGGAUUGAGGAACUUUGAGAUAUAGAGUAACCGCAUUCAAGAACACGCAGUUAGUGUGAAUUGACUUGGUUUCCAUUUGACACGUAAGUUAGCAAGUUGUACUUAUUUCUUGGGUUUGAACUUGGAGCUUGAACUUUAACUAUAAAACCCUAAGACUAGUUAUUCUUGGAGAUGAUGGUGCUCUGGUUGGUGGCUUGCUUAUUAAAGAUUUUGAAUUUCGAAUGGAUAACCUUUGGUUUCCGCUUGUGUUAUGGUUUGAUUGGAUCUAAUUUCGUAAAGGCAUGUGAUCUGAUUGGAAUUAGUGAUAUUCGGACCCAUUGGUUUAAUUAAGGACUUAGGAAGGGUGGUGCACGCCGUGAGACCUUUUGUAUCCCGCUUGCAUAUACUUCUACAUUUUGUGACCCUUAAUUGCCUAUAUACAGUAUUUGACAUAUUGGGCUUGUUUUGUGACUUCUUAACUCGUACUAUAACCUUCGAUACAUGUAAAGAAUCAUGUCUUGAUUCUAAAUAUUUUUGCAACUUGUAUAUGCAUUAAGUUCUUUUAUGAUUAAUUAUUCCUUUUCUUGCGCUUAUAGACUCCUAUUAAGUAUGGUAGCAGGAAUAGGAAAAAGGGGUCGUGGCCGAGGACUUAGACAACCCUGUACUCGUGAGAAAAAUUGAUGGAUAGUCUUAUAUAAUUUAAUGAGAUUCUAGUACUGAAUAUGAAUCGAGAAAAAAAACAGAAGAUUAGAUCUACCAGUGUAUAAUGGAUUAACCUAGUUGGGAACUUAGUGAGAUUUUCCUGUGUGAAAUUUUAAUAACUGCUUUAUACGUAUAUUAUGAUUGGUCCUGUGGCCAUAUUUCAACUUUUGUGAAAGUUUGAACUCCAAAAGUAUUUCGUGGGUUUGGUGAGAUGACCUGAACUCAUUACCAAUUUGUUCUACUUGAACAAAAGCGCUUUCAAUUUUACUUGACUAAUACUAUAUCCAGAUUCACUUGUUUUACUUUUCACAAAAUUUAUAUAUAUAUAUAUAUAUGUAUGUAUACACAUUUUGAACUCGUUUGAGACUCGAAAUCAGAUAGAGUUCAAGUUCGAAUCUUUCUUAGGAACAUGAAUGCCUAUUUGUUAUGAAUCAGAUAUUAGAAAUGAUCGGGUUUUAUGUACCAGUAGAGUUAACUCUUGGUUGGAUAAAAGGGUGGUAAAGGUAUUGGAUCACAGGUUAUGCGAAUAUGAACCUACAUGUUUACCUAUCUUUCUUAAAGGUAUUUUCUAAAAUAUACGCCUUACUCGAACAUAGAUUUAACUCGAAACUUUGAGGAAAAGUGUUGGAACACCCUCCAUGUAUAUGUUAUGAUUAUUAUGUAUAUGUUUUAAAAAUCAUGCAUUAAGUUGCAUGAUUAAUAUUCUUAAAUCUAUUUGAGAGAUUUUAAAUAUGUAUUGAUGAUUGUGGUUAAACAUUAUUUGAAAUCUCUUACUAAGAAAAUUUAGUUUUGGGUCGUGAAGAAAAAUUUGUAUCUUUAACUCUAAUUUUGAAAAUUUUGAAUCGCAUUUUGCCACAGAUACAUUCAAAAUACAUCAAAAGUCUUGACCUUAUCUUGUAAGUCAUGAUUGGUUUGAUUUAGACAAAAUUUUGAGGAAAGGGAUUUUGGUCCUGCUAGUGCGUAACAGUUUUUUUUUUUUAGGAUUUGGAACUUGUUUCAUAUGGCGUGUAAUUUAUGGUUUCACUACACACGGGAGUAAGACCUUAGAAUGGAAGUACAUAUCAUUAUAUCAAGAGGUAUUACUUUAGUCGUGUGUGUGGAUUUUCUUAAGUAUCAUUCGAGGAGAGGGAAGAGUAAAUAUACCUGGAUGACUUAGAUGCGUGAGAAUUUACAGGUUGUGGAUAGUUGAGUUUCAAUUCUGAUUUGCUACUUAUUUAGAUGCUUGAGCUGUUGAUAGGCUAACAGUCAGGAUUAAGAAAAUGGAUGAAUGAAAAGUUUGGAAGAGAUGCGUAUAGAAAUAGAAAUUCUUCACAAGGAGUUGGAAUUCCAAACUAAAUUGGCUGAAUUUGGGAAGAAAAAAAAAAGUCGAGAACUUAGGGUUGAAGAUGGGAUCCAAUGUUUAAUCGCCAAUUUGAGAUAUUAAAAGUUGUGAGAUUUGGGUGAGUGAAAGGAAAUAUUUGAUGGCUUGAAUGAGCUAACGAUUAGGGACCGGAUGUUAUAUUUGGAAUGGACGCUUGAGGCUAUAUAUACAUAGAUUAUUGAGAGUUGAACGAUGAGACUAUUAAGAACAAAUGCUCCAUAGCCUCACAUAAACGAGAAUUAUAAUCAAGGGUCAGGAGCAGCGAAUAAGGGAUUUAAAGUAGAGUUACUACAACCGGAAUCCUAGAAACUGAUGUGCUUAAAACCACUUCCAAUUCAAGAUGGGGAUGCUUGAAUUUUCAGUUAUGCCAAUUGGGUUGACUAAUGUAUUAGCAGCAAUUAUUGCAUUAAUGCAUCAAGGUUUUAAAUCGUAAUAGGAUUAAUCUGUGAUGGCAUUUAUUGAUGAUGUAUUGAUAUACCCUAAAGUUUGAGAAGAUCAUGAAAAAAAAAUACCUGAUGGUAGUUUUACAAACCCCAGAGAACGCUAACUUUUGUUAAGUUCAAUAAAUGUGAGUUCGAUGGGAAGAAAUAGCCUUUCUAAGUUAUAUAAUAUCUAAGGAAGAAAUUGUUGUUAACUCAGCUUAAGUGGAAGCUGUUUAAGAGGAAAUGACUAGAAAAUCCUACCGAAAUUUGGAGUUCUUAGAGGUAGUCGAAUAUUACCUUGGUUUGAUCAGGGACUUCUAAGGAUACGAGACUUGGCAAGUUAUUUGAGAUUUUAAAUGUGAGGAAGAAUUUGAAGGUGAAAAUCGUUUAACCAGUGCACUUGUGUUGGCUUUACCGAGCGGAUAAGGUGAUUUUGUGAUUUAUACAGAUGGUUCAAAGGAUGGUUUAGAAUGUAUAUUAAUAAUAUAUGAUGAGGUGAUUGUAUAUGCCUUCUGAAAGUUAAAAUCUUCCGUAAGAAAGUAAUCAACUCAUGAUUUGGAGUGAGUUGGAAAACGUAAGUCAAUGAUUGAUCUGAUAGGUUUAACCAUGAAGGGAAUGAUAUUGUUCUAAGUAUGAAUUUCGAGGACGAAAUUCCUUUCAAGGAGGGGAGGAUGUGAGAACCCGAAAAUUUUCUUAUUUUUAUAAAUAUUACUGGAAUAUUUAAAUGAUUAUUCACUCAUUUUUUCGAAUUAUUUAUUUCGACCAUUUUAAAUCCAUUUAUAUGGAAUGACGCCUCUUAUAUUUUUAAAGCGUUUUGUUGAAAAUUCGCUUUUCGAAAAUUUGUUUAGUCCGGAACGACUGCACGUUUUUCUAGGCCAUACUUGAAUCGGGAGUGUAUUAUUUAUUGGAGAAUUAAGAACGAUCAAUAAUAGAUUAAGAAAGGUUAAUGGAGGAAUUAAUACUCAAUUCACGUGAGGACUCGUAAAAUUAUUAUUUUAAAAUCCCUAAUUUUGGCUAAAUUAAUUAUUUAUUUAUUUUUGCCACGAAUAAUAUUUUCUAGCCUUAUUAGACCUAAGUACAUGGUUUUAUAGUUUCGUUAUAUUUUUAAAGUGUCUCGUUUCAAAAAUUAUUUUCUUAUAAACUUGUUUAGUGAAAAGGUGAAAACGUGUCCAAACACUUUAGCCAAUUGGGAAUAAAAUAAGUUCAAAAAUUUGAGACAUAUACAAUGGUCCUAAAAUAGACAAUUUUAGGUUUAAGCACACAAGUGAUAGCUAGUGGUACGAUCGUUAUAAGAAUUUCUCGAAGGUUUCAUUUUAUUGCGCCUAAAUUGGAAAUACGUGUUUUCACGUGCGCGCUUAAUUGAGAGACUUUGGACAAUUAUUUUGGAACAAUUAAGAAUGAAUAAUAUUUAUAUGAAUGUAAGUGCCCUAGAGGUUUAGUGCACUAGUGCAACAAACUAAGGGAAAUUGAACACAAAACGCGCGAGUAGGGCACUAGUUGCAAUUAAAUUUUUCGUACUUAAAAUAUUAGACGGUCGGCGUUCUUUGUACGCAAAAAGAAUCAGACUAACAUUCAUAUCUGCAAGCUUCAUGGACGGCUAGCAACUGCAGCAAAGAGCAACCGAAAACUUCCACCAUUUCCUCUACAAACUCCACCAAAUUCAACCAAAACUUCACACACACUUAGCUCUUCACUUGGACAAUCACUUGGACAAAGAAGGAGCUGCACAUUCACGGUUUUUCUUGGGGCUUUUGGACACCAAAAUCUGACCUUUUAGCACACAAGUAAGGUAACCAUGAUCCACUCUUCAAAUCUUGUUCAUUGAAGGCCAACUCACACUUAAGAGCUUGAUUAAUGCUUAUGGGUAGCUUAUUAUUGUUAGAAAUUGUUAAAUGUGGGCUCUAUGAACUCCCACUUUGAGUUGAUGGCUGUGAUGAUGUUUGAUGAUGGUUUUAUUGUUGAAUUAGUGCUUAAGGGAGUAGAUUAAAGGUGCAUUAUCGCCAGAAACUUCAUUGAGCUCUUGAAGCAAAAAGUUUCCAUUUUACCCCUGCUCUGUUCGUCACUUUAAUGCAGAAAUUUGAGGAUUUAAUGGCUUGAUUGUGUUGUUUAUAUGUUGUAGUAGUUGUGUAAAAGUUUUCAUUGAAAAAUACUGAGUUUUGGUUGGUCAAACGAAUUUAUUCCCAAAGCUAGUAAUCUGGAAAACGGUUUCGUCGUAAUCCAGACCAGUGUUCGUAUUUCGUCCAUAACUCCGUACUCCGACGUCGAAAUCAAGUGCCGUUAGCGGCAUUUGAAACUAGACGUUCCCAUCUUUCCAACGAUAUAUAAUGCACGUUCUGGUUCAUGUGUGUGAACCGUACCACUUAUUGAAUUCAGCUGCCCUGUUUCGCCAUUCUGCCGAAAUGAUUUGAUGAUGCUGCAACUUUAGGCUUAAUUUCGAGCUAGUUGCAUGCUGAAACAUAAAAUGAUUUCUUCUGUGAAAUUAUAGUCCUAUGCAUGUAUUUUCUAACACUAUCAACCAUGCUCAAAUCCGAGUUAAAUUGAGUGAGUUAUGAUCAAAAUACGGUGACUGUUUUGUUCUUGAAAGCCUUGGAUUUGGACAGAUUUGACGUACAUUUGUGGUGUCUUACUAAAUGAAUUUCUUGAUACUAAACACCUACCAAAUGUACCAUGAAUGUUUCUUAAACUUUCCUUUCACAAUGAACCAUGAUUGGAGGAUUUCUUAGCCAAACGAUUGGAUUUGGGAAGAAAAGGAUUAAGGGCAGAUUGCCUUGAGAAUUUUUCAAACUUUGGUUGAUUGGUUAACCACCUUCCCGAAGGUAUUUUUCCACGAAAUUUGAGAGAGAGAUACCCUUCAUAUAGGAGUACCAUACUACAAAAUUUGGUGUCAAUUCAAGUCCGUUUCGACACUUAACAAAAGGUCCAAAGUCGGAACCAAAUCUGAAAUUUUGUAAUAGUCUUGAAUUUUUCCCAACUUUGAGCUACCAUAUCUUGGUGCUCGAAACUCCGAUUCUCGAUUCGUUUGUUCUGUCCUAAACCUUACUUGAACCUCUAAUUGAUCUAUAAAUUUCUACGGGCUGAUUUGCAACGAGUGAAUUCUGCCGAAUUUCAAAGUUAGCGAAAAACCAACCCCGGCUCAAUCCUGGGUGAUCUGGGACAUCAACUUUAAACUCAUUUUUGAAUACCUUCCAUUUAGAUUCGUGGAACAGUAUCUUCUAAGAACUUUUAGUAAUUUCCAAGAGGUUUCCAACGGUAUAAAUUUUUCCAAUUGUAGACUUGUAUCGAGUGAGAUACGAUUUUUCAAAGAUCCAUAUCAAAACUAAAUUUUCCAACUUUCAAGGAAAUAGAGAUUUCCAAGAAUUUUUAUUCUUUCGACAUUAUGCAAACAUUUUAACCUCGAUUUCCAAGAUAAAAAUCCAAAUGCUCCUGUACUUUAAGAAACUCUAAUUGAACCUCGAUUUACGAGUAAUUGAGGUUCGAUUUCGUGGAAUUUCCUUAGAUUGUACUAGUGUACAAUCUUCCUUGACAAUUGGGAUAUAUGAAUGAUAAUACGUUAUUAUUUGCCCAGGCGCACACGAGGACCUUCAAGAGGAUCCUACCGUGCACACUUGAACUUCCAGAAAAUAUUUUUUCUUGAUUUGCUCGGUGAGUGUCAAGUGUAUGACUACUUGAACUCUAUGGAUUUGAUUCAUGCUUGGCUUACCUGAUUACAUGCUUAGCCUACUUGGUUUUGAAAAAUGGAGUCGAGUGUGUACUUUAUCGCACUCGUUCUCAUUUGAAACAAAUGACUCAUGCAACAUGGUUUGCCUGAUUUACAUGACCUGAAAUACAUGCUUAGACCUGUCAAAUGCUUGAAUACAUGAUAUGGUAUGCUAUGGCUGCAUACGUCGUUGGAGUGAAUCUCCUCGACACUUACAUGACACAUGGGGGACGUCCAAACUCAUAGGCCGACCUUGGAACUCGAGCCGGCAUGGGCUUGGUCGGGAACCUCGGUGAGCCAUGAGAUUCACAUGGUAAGCUUGAUCUAUUGGAGAGAUCUUGCUUGGCAUACUCGUGGAGUAUCGCCUCAUAAAUGUCGUGCGGGCCCGAAGCGGUGUAUGGUGGAUGGAUGAGAAGUAAGUGGUGAUCUACGGUUUGGAAAUAUCAAUCCGGUUGACGGAGAGUCAUCACGGGAAGAUAUACGAAUGAACUGGCAAAGCAAGUGGAACUUAGCUCUUGAGAGCUACCAUAUCCUUGAAUCGUUUCUGUUUACAUUUUUUUGGCAUUGUUAAUUACUUGCAAGUUAUCACUUGAACUGUUACUUGGGCUUGUUACCUGAACUAUGUGCCUGCAUGUGUGUUCUUGGCCUCACAAGCAUUUUGCUCACCCUAUAGAUUUGUUUUCCUUAACAGAUUUGAACUCGGAGGCGUACUGGAAAAAAACCUCCUGAUGAGCUUUUGUUUAGGGUUUCUAUUACUUUUGGCUAUGUCUUGGCUUUUGGGUUGUAUUUUGGAAUCCGAAUGUAACUUUUGGAGCAUAUGUAUAUUUGGGAUAUAUGAUGGUUGUUGAAUACCCGAUGUGCGGAUUGGAUAACGGAUGACUUUUAUUAAAUUUGAACGCUUCCGCAUUUAUUAUAUCUAAGUUAUUGACUCGUAUUGUGUGGUCCGGUAAUAAGCUUGAAUGGAAUUGUUUGAGUCCUGGCGAGAGUUAGGCAGGCAUUCUGCGGAUACCCUUUGGUUCGCCUUAGGGAGAAGUGGGGGUGUCACAAAUUCGGUACAUGCCGAAUUCACCGAAUUCUAAUAUGGUAUGAAAUAGGUAAUAAGAUUGUGAAUUUGGUAAUAACCGAUUUCGCAUUCAAAUUCGGUAAUUGAAAUCGGGUGCCGCAUUACCACAUUCGAAUUACCAAAUUGAUAUAUAAAAUUAUAUAAUAUAUAGAUAAAUGCUAUUUAGUAUUAGUAUAUACUACUAAUACUUUAUUAUAUUAUAUAGGUAAAUGCUAUUAAUAAUAAUUAGUAUAUGGUAUUAUCAUCAUAUCAUGUACUUAUAAUAAUAAUAAUAUAUAAUAAUGUACAAUAUAUUCUUUUAGUAUUUAUUAAUUGUUAUAUGACUAUAAUAAUAUAAAUAUAUAGUAAUACAUAACAAUAUAAGAUAACUAUAAUACUUAUUAUUUUAUACAUGAGUAACAUGACUAGAAUUAGAUAAUAAUUAAUACAUAUAUGUAUAAUACUAAAUAUUAAACAAUAAACAUAAUUCAUAAUUAGAAUUUAGAUAUUGGUAAUUUGAUAUAUCAUUCAUGUUUGAAUUAUUGAAUAUUUGAAUGCGUAAUCUGUAACUUGCAAGUAUUAGUGUACUCUACAUAUUUAACAUAAAAAUUCAUAUUAUCUAUUCACUAAUCUUAAUUCUUAAGGCUUUAGCCUUUAAGUAUAUAAGACAACUAAGCAGUUAGCAGUGUAAGUGAAUGCAUAUGAAUUGCAAAUCAAUGUAUUAGUGUAUUGACUUUCACGAAUAACAUAUGUAAGUAAAUAAGUUUUAUUUUGAUUUGAAAUAAAUUAUAAGUUUGUAACUAAUAUAACUUACCACUAAUCAUUGUAAUUUGUAAGUUUGUAACUAAUAUUACUUAUUAUUAAUCAUUGUAAAUUAUGAAUUCAUAAAUUAUCACUAAUCAUUGUGUUCCUUAAAUCAUAGACUAAGGAUUCUAGGUAAAAGUUAUCAAAUAAGUUAUAAUUCAUAUUAUCUAUUUACUAAUUUAAGGUUUUAAGUAUAGACAAGACAACUGAGCAGUGUAAGUGAAUGCAUGUAAAUUGCAAAUCAAUGUAUUAGUGUAUUGACUUUCACAAUAACAUGUGUAAGUAAAUAAGUUUUUAUUUUGAUUUGAAAUAAAUUAUAAGUUUGUAACUAAUAUAACUUAUCACUAAUCAUUGUAAUUUGUAAGUUUGUAACUAAUAUUAUUUAUUAUUAAUCACUGUAAAUUAUAAAUUCAUUGUAACUACUAACUAAUAUUACUUAUUAUUAAUCAUUGUAAAUUAUAAAUUCAUAAAUUAUCACCAAUCAUUGUAUAGUCUAAGGUUUAUUCUAGUUUAAAUUAAUAGAUAAAUUAUUACUUUUUUUUAAUAGAUGAAUUUGGUUAAACCGAAUUCAUUACCGUUUUCGAAUUUGAAAUCGGUUGCGGUAUGAAUUUGGUUAUGGCUAAUUCAGAAUUGAAAACGGUUUAGAUUUCUAUAUGUAGAAUAACCGAAUUCACCGAAUUCAGUGCACCGAAUUACCGAUUUUGCACCGAAUGCACACCCCUAUUCCCAAGUUACAGAAGUUUAUGAUGUGUAUUAGGGGUUUCCUCAGCAAUUCGACAGCAUCUGGUGCAUCGUCCAUGGAACCAACGACAGCAACCAAAUCUGCAACAAUCCACGGUUACGGUGUCCUCAUCUCCAAAUUUAUUCUCACGGAUCUCCUCAGCUGUUUGACAGCAUCUCGUGCAAUAGAUGAGGUACCAGCGGCAGCACGAAAUCUGCAACCAGUUAAGUGAUCAAUCUCACCUGAACUGGCAUCCAGCGGUCUUCAUGUUGUCGUGAUCUGUUUCAAGACAUAAAUAUUAGGAGCAUCGUCUUAAACUCCAAAACGUUAGGUGACUGGCUAGGUUGAAAAUUUGCAAGAUAUAUGCAAAGAAAUGAAUACUAUGGAUUAAACAAAACUGUCUAUAUAUGAGAUGGUGCAACUUGGAUAUGAAUUAUUUCGUCUUAUAAGCUACUAAUUAAAAUUUAAUUUGGGUUUUGACGUUAGUUUAAUCUUUGUCCUGUUAAACAAUAGUGUGACAUUUUGGAACGUUUAUCCUUACAGUAAUACUAUAAGGAUGUGAAAAAGAUAUUAGCACUUUAAUAUAACUUCCUUGAUACUAUACAAAUAGCCUAUCAUAAAAAUUCACGUCCCAAUAAUGUGUCUCCUAAGCUCCAUUCAUUUAAGUAUUCAGGUUCAUCCAAAUAAAUAAAUAAAGGAAGGAGGAAAAAGAUUAGGUGCAUUCAGUUGUUGCAUCAGAGGAAAUGAGGAGUACAAGUGCAAAGAGAGCACCACUAAAUUUGUUGAUAUCUAGUGACAAUUGCAUUGAGCUAAACAAUAUUUGUUGAUAUCUAAAUGACCUCAUUUUUUAUGUUGAUGGGACCUAAUGUCAAUAUCGUCAAGGAAAAAUUGACUGUAAUACCCUCAUUUAGAAGCAAAAUAUCAUAUUCCAAUUUUACCAACAUGCCAUCAAAACUCGUCACCAAAAUUUAACAACUUUACUAAAACUAAUUUUCAAAGGCUGGUGAGCUUUGGAGAAGAUCUGAACAUUAAGCUCCAAAAUAUUUCAUUGGGUGAAGGAAAAUUGUUGAAAAAAGUGGCUUAUUAGCUUUAUUCUUUGAUAUUUAUAUAUAAUAAUUAAAAGAUGAAAACUUUUUUAAUUGAAUGUGGAUAUUCACAACAAAAUGAGGUACCGAAUGGAAGUUUAUGGUCUUCAUGAUUGAUGUGGUUCCAUGAAUAAACUCGUAGAGCUGAUAAGAUGAACAUUCUGGCCUUAAGAUGAGUUUAAAAUGUAGCCAUGGUAGACAUGAUGAGUCAUUUAAGGACCACAUCAUGCAUAUCUUGAUAUUAUAUGAGCAAUUUGCGAUGGAUAAAGCCAUGCAUAUGCAUGCAUGUGCUUUAUAUAAUGUGAAAAUGGAUGAGUUAGAUAAAGCUUGGUGAAGUAAAGUUAGUAUACCGAAUCGAUUUUGACGUGUGAGUAGGAUUUUCUGCUUGGUUGCUCUAUUUUAAGUGAUUAUCACUUUGUUGACAAAGAUCUUGUCGGACAAUCUCCCAAAAUAAGUUUCUAUCGUUUUUCUUUACUGAAUCACGAACAUUUCUUUAGUGAAAUUUUAAUCUUAAAUUAGGUUGGACUAAUUAUUUGGAGGGAACAUUUUAGAUGGCAAGUGACUCAUUCACUCCUCAUUUUUGCAUAUAUAGUUGAAAGAAAAACAUAAGUUUAAGCAACUAAUGACUUUGUAAAUAAAGAUUGUAUAAGAUCACUUCCAAAAGUAAGUUUCUAUACCAUAUCUUUGUUGAGUCUUAUCAAGAAAAUUUUGGAGGGAAAAUUAAUCUUCAAUUAGCUUGGACUACAUUAAGCUACUACUUGGUUGAUUGUCAAUUUUAUCAUUUUUAUUGUUAUUAAAAAAUCCAUAAUGUGAACACAAAAGUAAACGAGGAUAUCACAAAAAUUGAUUAUCUAUAAUCAAAAUCUCUAAAUAGUUAAAAUAGUCAAUAAAAACAAGCAUGUUGUAGUAUAAAAUUUUUUAGGUAGACUACUUUGUCUGUACCUUUAUAUGUUGACUACUAAUUGAAAGCUACCAUGAAUUUUGGAUAAAUAGGACGGACCUGAUUCUACUCAUGGCAUUAUUGUGUAUUAAAAACUUAUUUUUUUCCUUUUAGCUGCUGUGCUUCAUGCCAUUUGGAAUAGUUCACUCCUCAUUUUAUAUGUUUUUUCUUUUUUUCUUUUUUGGAAAUAGCCCUUUUUACAACAUAAAUAUGUUACAAUAUUUCUUUUAGGGCCUAUAAAGGUAAAUAUGGAACAAAGUGUGCUGACAUCAUUUCUUGUCAAUCUAUUGCAUUUCUUUUGUGGACACGGGCUAACUUGGUUACAAAACUAGUUAUAAGUAAGAGUGAUCAGCGUAAUAUCGAAAACAAGAGGGGCACUAGGUGAAAUUGUCCAAACAUUCAGGGGAAGUUUGUGAAAUUAUCCCAAUAGUUUGAGUACCUGCCCUGUUACUUGCAUUAGAGUGGCCCUUUAUUAUUGACUAAUGCAGACGUCCAUGUCUGCACUCUCAGGACGGAGGAAUAAAGUAUUUGUUGUCCUUGUGCGAGUUAUACAUAGUCUUUCUUGACUGCAAAAGUUGAUAAUUGAGCUAAAGAAUCGAAAGAUAAUGUGGCCAUUUUUCAAUCUCUGAUAGGAAGGAUAUCAAUCUCCUACUUUUCCGUCUUCAUGUCUGGAUUGUAUAUCAAUUUCUUUUUCUUUUUCGUUUGUUGGUUAGGUAAACUUUCAUUUUCAUCAGUCUAAAGGCCUAAAGGUCCCUGCCCAUUUCAGAAAUUUACUGAUUUUAAGUGGGCGUAAUAGAGCUUUAAUUAACUCUAUCAAGAUCUUUAUACAUUACGAGCAACUUUCCUGUUAAAAUACUAAUUCAAACAAGCUGUGCAAAUUCAAGGAUGGAACUAGAUGUUGAAAAGGAAUAGUUUAUACUUCAUAAGAAGUACUGAAUUCGUGGAUUAAUUUUCUUGUGCUAUUGCUUUAGAGUUUUAUUUACAUGAGUAGAUUUGAAUGCGCGAUAAGUAAUUGUGAUUCAAACUUGAAGUCAUAUUUUUGCACAUGAAAGAAAUAGUCCAAAAUAUUUUUUUUCUUUUUAGAACUCUACAUGUAGCUUUAACUUGACCAGUCCUAUUACUAGUCGUUGACGAGCACGAGGUAUACAUACAAUAAUUAAGUUCAUUUUACAUUUAUAAAUUGCUAAAUGCUUCAUACACGAUUUUUUGCAAGCAUAUAGAUCGAGAUUGAGUAUAGGGUUUUAAAUGUCGGACUCAUAGGAAAGAUUGUCAAUUACCGAUGAUUUUCGAAUUAUUUUAUUAUUUAGACUAUCACAAGUACAAGAAAUUAAAUCUACGUACACUAUAAACAUGAGAUAAAAGUAAUAAAAAUAACAAUAGAAAGCUCCUAAAAGUAUGAAAUUUCUAACUACUCUUGCAAGUGAAGUUACUGGUUAAGUAAAUAUUAUUAUUUUAGCUAAUUAUGGCGUAAUUCCUAAUGUAUGUGAAACAUAUUCUCGUAGUAAAUCAACUAUACUUGUAAUUAAGCCAUACCUACACAUUCAAACAACCUGUGCAAAUUCGAGAAUGGAACUAGAUUUUGAAAAGUAAUAGUUUAUACUUCAUAAGAAGUACUGAAUUCUGGGAUUAAUUUUCUUGUGCUAUUGCUUUAAAGAUUUAUUUACAUGAGUAGAUUUGGAUGCGUGAUAAGUAAUUGUGAUUCAACCUUGAAGCCAAAAUUUUGCACAUGAAAGAAAUAGUCCAAAUUUUGUUUUCCUUUUAGAAUACUACAUGUAGCUUUAACUUGACUAGUCCUAUAUCUAGUCAUGGUUAAGAAGUUUCAGAAUAUUAGUAAGGUUAUGCAUGAUAAAUUCUGUAUUUAUCCAUUACUUUGUUAAGCCAAUCUCUAGAAAGGUUUGUACUUAUUAAUUCCUUUCGCCAUCUAAACUUAUUGAUAGAACGUAGUAAUUUGUGUCAACACCAGAAACCAGAAAACUCGACCACUAGCUUAUCGAACUGAAUUUAGGUCAUUAAUUUUUUAUGCCCGUCAACUUAAGAAAAACAACAUAUCAUGCAGAUUAAUAAGUGCAGUUCAGUCCAUAGGGUAAAAUAUAAUGCGAAUAGAAUUAAAUCUCUAAAUGUAUAUCCAAGAUAAAACGCGUAUGAUUGAAAUGAUUUGUACUAAAUUUGUUUGAAAUUGCAGUGCUAUAAGUCGAAAAUGUUAAGAGUGCAUGAAAAGCAUGGAAGACUAUGUACUAACUUGACAAAGUGACUUAUUUGAAUAAUAAUGAUAACAUUUUAUAAUUUUUGUGGGUCAAUUUUGUUUUAAUCUCUUACAGUAACAAGCAUGCUUUGAUUUUUUUUUUUUUUUUUUUUGGGCUUGUUUGGAUCAUGGCCAGUCCGUAAAUACAAUAAAACCCACCAACCUUUACUCAAAAAAAAAAAAAAAAAGCACUUCCACCUCAAAAUUUACAAAAAAAAUGGAAGAAAGAAGAAACCCUACUCGUUCUCUUCCAGUGCUAUACGUUUAUCAGAAUAAAGGUCGAAACUUGCAAAAUAUCAUUCUUGAAAGCAUUCAUUAUUCAUACUUUUGUCUUACGUCAAAGUUAGACAUCUUGCAAUUCAUAAUUUUCAUGCUUGACAACUCUUUUGAUAAGAUUGAUGUUCCUCUGAAUAUCAACAUUAAAAUUUUUUUUUUCGAGUAAGUUGUACCGUCGAUACUGAAGAACUUUGAUUCCUUUCUCAGGAAGGAAUAGGAUUGGGUUUAACUCUUGUCGAUACUGAAUUUUUUUACAUUGUAAUGACAAGGAACGAUGAAGAGCACAACACACAUAUUGAAUAUUCUGCACAUCUUAUAUCAAACACAGUAAAUUCUAGCAGGUCCAAGGUACAGAAGUUUACGAUGUAACUGAGAUAGAGAUCAUCAAUUGUGUUGAUGAUCAAGUGGAUUUAUUUAUUCAACAUGACAACAACAUAAGAAGAGCACUCGAACUGAGUACUCAUUACAUGCUUCCCCUGUUUAUUCUACACCAGUUCAAAGAGAAGCCACAUAAGUCUUUUACACAUAGAGGAAAUCAACCAUCAAAAGCAAACACAACAUUACAUAUUAAGGUAAUAAUAUAGGUGUCACGGAUCCUGUGUCACACCCUUAUUUAUUUAGCAUUAAUUUUUGACCUCAUCUCCAGAUGUAGCUUCAGGGGUCUCCUCAGCGGUUGCGCAGCAUCUUUGGCAUUGUCCAUGGUACCAGCUGCAGCAACGAUAUCUGCAACGAUCUGCAGAUAUAGCUUCAGGGGUCUCCUCAGCGGAUGCACAGCAUCUUUGGCAUUGUCCAUGGUACCAGCUGCAGCAACGAUAUCUGCAACGAUCUGCAGAUAUAGCUUCAGGGGUCUCCUCAGCGGAUGCACAGCAUCUUUGGCAUUGUCCAUGGUACCAGCUGCAGCAACGAUAUCUGCAACGAUCUGCAGAUAUAGCGUCAGGGGUCUCCUCCGCGGAUGCACAGCAUCUUUGGCAUUGUCCAUGGUACCAGCUGCAGCAACGAUAUCUGCAACGAUCUGCAUUUACGGCAGCCUUAUCUCCAGAUGUAGCUUCAGGGGUCUCCUCAGGAGAUGCACAGCAUCUUUGGCAUUGUCCAUGGUACCAGCUGCAGCAACGAUAUCUGCAACGAUCUUCACUUAUCUUAUCCUGAUGAGCCUCACCAGUGGUCUUCACGCUCGCUGAUCUGUUUCAAUACACAAGGAGACAAAAAUUUUAGGAGCUUCAUCUUAAGCUGCAAAAGUUGAGUGACCUGCUGGGCUGAAGAUUUGCAAGAUACAUGCAAAGAAAAGAAUAUUAUGGAUUAAACAAAAUAGUCUACUUAUAUAAGAUGGUGCGACUUGGAUAUGAAUUAUUUUGCCUUAUAGUCCACUCAAUAAAUUAGAAUUAGUAUUAAUUAAUUUGGUUUUCGACUUUACUUUAAUCUUUAUCGUGAUAAACAAUAGUGUGAUAUAAUGUAACGUGUGUGCUUGGAGUUAUACUGUAAGGAUGAAAAAUCAGCUGUUCCACUUACCGUUGAUACAAACAACCAAAAUUUACUUUUAUUAAAAAUGAAAUAGAUAUUAGGAAACUAAUAUAACUUCCUUGAUACGAUACAAAUAGCCUACCAUAAAAAUUCACGUCCCAAUAAUGAAUCUCCUAAUCACCAUUCACUUGAGUAUUUAGGUGUAGCAAAAGAAAAAAUGGUAAGUAAAAAAAAGAAAAACUAGGUACCUGCAGCUGUAACAUCAGAGGGGAUUUGGAGUGCAAGUGCAAAGAGAACAACAAAAAGAAAGAGAAAUUUUUUGAAGAUGCCAUUUGAUCACAAUCUCACUCAGAAUGCAAAUGACGUGUUAUAUUUGUUGAUAUCUAG